GUGGGUUGGGUCGAAGCAGGCUGUCUUGGCUGACUUUCGGUACAUGCCGUUUGUGUACCAAAACGUGUGCGAUCAAGGGGCUGUUCAGAAGCUUCAUCUCGACCUUGAACGGUGGUUGCAAAGUUAACAGCCGAGAGUUGUUUUUGAGCUUGUACAGGUUAUAUCUCCAUGAUUAAAUCCAUCUAGAGAAGAUCUUGACUCACACCAAUUGAAAACGCGUAUUGGAAAUUAACACCGGGAGGUUGCAAAACAAUUAAUUCUUACAUAAACGCUUUGCUCAGAAUCAAAUAUAGCUCAAUCAACCGAAAACCAUUAUAAACAUGGCAUCAGCACCCUCUGUUUCGAGAUUGGUGGUCAUUAUAAUUUUAAUUAAUAUUGGUGCUAUAAGUGAUACGACGAUAAUUGUAGCGGCAUCAGCGGCUACAGGAUUAUUGUCGUCACCCAUACAGUUAGAAAGGAAAGCUUUACUUGCUACGGGCUGGUGGGUCAACAUUUGGGCGACGGGCAACCACACGUCCGAUCCUUGUAAGUGGACUGGCAUCAGUUGCAAUUCAGCGGGAAGCGUAAUCGGGGUCAACUUACUCCGGUAUGAAAAUGAUAACAUCAAAGGAGAGCUUGGUCGUUUCAACUUCUCUUGCUUUCCCAACCUCAAAAGUUUCAAAAUUCAUUCAAAUUAUCUUCUCUCUGGGAGCAUUCCAUCUGAAAUUGCUGCCCUUCCAAUGCUCCAAACUCUUGAACUGCCCUCCAACAAUCUUACCGGUAAAUACUUGAGCUUGACUCUCUCUCUCUCUCUCUCUAUAUAUAUAUAUAUAUGUAAUUUUGUAUUUUUUUUUGUUGCUAUGAGGAUAGUGAAUACUAUCUCAUUUUUCAUAAAUCACAUGCACAACAUGAAUUAUCCCUUUAGAGAUAGGGAGAUUGAGGAAUCUCGCCCACCUGGAUCUAUUUGAUAAUCACCUCAUGGGACAUAUCCCUCCAACUCUUGGUCGUCUAAGCAAAUUGAAAUUUUUGAACUUGUCUUCUAACUCCAUUGUUGGUAAUAUCCCCUCCACUCUAGGUCAUCUAACCCAUCUAACUAUGUAUGUAUGUAUGUAUAUAUGAAGUCGUGCUCAUGCUUGAAGCAGGCGUCUGUUUUUACAACACUGAAGAAGUUUUUUUUUUAUGAGGAUUUCUUUAUAAAUUUUAUUUAUAUGAGGAUAGUGCAUAAUGAUCUCGUUUUUCAUAAAUCACAUGUGCAACAGGAAUUAUCCCUUCAGAGAUGGGGAGAUUGAGGAAUCUUGUCCACCUGGAUCUAUCUGAUAAUUACAUCUGGGGAUAUAUCCCUCCAACUCUUGGUCGUCUAAGCAAAUUGGAAAAUUUGAACCUGUCUUCUAACGGCCUUGAUGGUAAUAUCUCUCCAACUCUUGGUCGUCUAAGCACAUUUUUGUUGUGUCAAAGUGAAACUAUAUAAUAAAUUUCUACAUCUUUGUUUAUUACUUCGGUAGUGUUUUAAUUUGGAGAAUAUGCUGGUUGGCUUUUUUUCCUUCAAUUUUUGUAUGAAAUGAAUCGGCUUCAAGUAUCAGUUUCUUUUCCAAAUUGCAUCCAUCAAUUGCAAUUGUUACAUUGGGCGAUUACCAGUUGUACGUAAUUAUUAAGGAAGGCAGGUUUAAGCAUUUUUGGUUUGUACGUUUUCCUCCUUUUUUUUCCCUUUUGCAUUAAAAAUCAUGGUUAUCCUAUAAAAGAUAUGAUUACAAAUCAAAAGCACUAUUUCUAAUUUCACACAUACACAGUUCCUCAUUAAUUUACUAAAUUUACUUUUGUAUUUACAAGAUAGGGUAGUCAAUUGAGAGCACUGAGUGUGAUUCUCUCUAAUCUCCAUAAUUUUAUAUUAAUUUAUUGAUAUAUUUGUUGCAUCUGCAGAUUUAACUUUCAGUCUAAAAUAUGCAACAUUGACGAGCCCCAAAAAAAACAAGAAAAAAAAAACUAUUGAAGCACUAAAAAAUCUAUUAAUUUUUACAACCUAAGCAUUUCUUUAUAAAUUUUAUUUCUAUGAGGAUAUUAAAUACUGAUCUCGUUUUUCAUAAAUCACAUGCGCAACAGGAAUUAUCCCUUCAGAGAUGGGGAGAUGGAGGAAUCUCGUCCACCUGGAUCUAUCUGAUAAUUUCCUCUGGGGAUAUAUCCCUCCAACUCUUGGCCAUCUAAGCAAAUUGGAAAAUUUGCACUUGUCUUCUAACUCCCUUGUUGGUAAUAUCCCCUCCACUAUAGGUCAUCUAACCCAGCUAACUACUUUCGCUAUUGCCUCAAACCACAUUAAUGUUUCCAUCCCAUUAGAAAUCGGGAAUUUGAACUUUCUUCAAGUUCUUGACCUGUCCCGAAAUGAAAUUGGAGGUUCAAUUCCUUCAACACUUGGCCAUUUAAAGAGGUUGAGAAGUUUAGACUUGUCCUACAACAAACUUGUUGGUCCAAUCCCUUCGUCUGUGGGUCAUUUGACUCAGCUAACUACUUUUUAUAUGCACUCAAACCUAAUCAAUGGUUCCAUUCCAUUAGAAAUCGGGAAUUUGAACUUUCUUCAAGUUCUUGACCUGUUUGACAACAAACUUGAAGGUCCAAUUCCUUCGACCAUAGCUAGUUUAGUCAACUUGACAUCUCUGUCCCUGGAUUAUAACAAUCUAACUGGAUCUAUUCCUUCAAUGCUUGGUCGUUUAAAUAGGUUGACAGAUUUAGGAUUGUCCGAAAACAAACUUGUUGGUCUAAUCCCUUCGUCCCUGGGUCAUUUGACUCAGCUAACUACUUUAAGUAUGGACAACAACAAACUUGAUGGUCCAAUUCCUCAAGAACUCAUGAAUUGCUCAAAGCUGGGGGAAUUACGUUUGGGAAACAACUUGUUAAGCGGAAGCAUCCCGUCGGAGAUCGGCAAACUUAAAGAACUAUAUUAUCUUGAUCUGAACCAUAACUUCAUUAAUGGUAAAAUACCUCCCCAGCUUGGAGAAAUUCCACGCAUAGUUACCGUGGACCUUUCCAUGAAUAACCUCUCUGGUAGUAUCCCUGAAUCUGUCAUAAAUGUGCCAGACUUAGAUUUGUCAGGCAACAAUUUUGAGGUAGAAAUCCCAAAUACUUCGGCAAAUGCGCCAUCGCCACAACAAUCUGAAGGCAAUAAAGACAAGCACAAAAAGACUACCACUCGAUUGGUUGCAAUUAUUCUUCCUAUGGCCGCAUUCCUUACCUUAAUAUUUGGAAUCAUGUUUGUCCGUAGACGAAGGGAUAAGAAAGUUGAACCAGCUGAGACAGGAGAAAUUACCAAGUGCGCUGAUGAGUUUGCAAUUUGGAAUUACGAUGGUAGGAUUACAUUUCAAGACAUGAUUGAAGCUACUGAGGAUUUCCAUAUCAAAUACUGCAUUGGAACCGGAGGCUAUGGCAGCGUUUACCGAGCACGACUGCCCAGUGGAAAAGUAGUUGCUUUGAAGAAGCUUCACCGUUCAGAAACUGAGGAGUUAGCUUCCCUCGAGAGUUUUCGGAAUGAGGCUCGUCUACUGUCCCAAAUACGGCAUCGAAAUAUCGUAAAGCUUUACGGGUUUUGUUUGCACAGGAAAUGUAUGUUCUUAAUCUAUGAGUACAUAGAAAUGGGAAGCUUGUUCUGUGUUCUACGAACAGAUGAGGAAGCUGUUGGUUUAGAUUGGGCUAAAAGGGUGAACAUUGUGAAGGGCAUGGCUCAUGCUUUGUCAUAUUUGCAUCAUCACUGCACACCACCAAUUGUUCACCGCGACAUAUCAAGCAACAACAUUCUACUCAACUUAGAAUUAGAAGCAUUUGUUGCCGACUUUGGCGUUGCUAGAUUGUUAAAUUUUGACUCAUCCAAUCGAACUCUAUUGGCUGGCACUUAUGGAUAUAUUGCUCCAGGUAAUCUUCUAGCUAUUCUUCUUCUGCUUCUUUAAUUAUUCUUUUAAUUGAUUUUUAUUUACACUCUGUUAAGUAAUUUUUAAAUAGUUUUAUUGUUAAGGAAUGAAAAAUAAAUUUUAACUUAGCCUGCCCGUUUAACAUAUGUUUCUCAAAAAUAUAAACAAAUUGCUCUUGUUAUUAUAUAGGAAAUAUCACUAAUAAAGGCUUCUGUUUUCCUAUAGAACUGGCCUACACCAUGAUUGUGACGGAGAAAUCUGAUGUUUAUAGCUUCGGAGUGGUGGCACUAGAAGUACUAAUGGGAAAGCAUCCUGGAGAGCUCCUCUCAUCGUUAUCUUCGUCAUUAGAUAAAAAUAUUAAGCUGAUUGAUUUGCUGGACCCACGCCUCUCACCUCCGGUGGAUCAAAAGAUUAGGCAGGAUAUCAUUCUUGUUUCAACAGUAGCAUUUUCAUGCUUGCGUUCUCAACCAAAGUCUCGACCUACAAUGCAACUCGUGUCCAACGAAUUUAUCGCUCGCAAUAAGACACCAAUGCAAAAACCUUUUCAAGAAAUUUCAAUUUUGGAGCUUAGAAACCAAGAAAUGUAUUUGGUUGAUUAAUGUGAUAUCUAAUUAUGGAUAUAUAUAUUUAACUGUUCAUGUAUGUGAUGGGAUUGCUUCUAAUCCUAAUGGAAUUUUCCAAUAAAGGUGACUGUUAAUUGGUUCUGAAAUUAUUAAGUAGUAGCAAUGUAGCAAAUAUUAUGUGUUCGACGAAUUGUCUCCCUUAGUAUUAUUAAUUCUAUUUACACGUUCACUUCCUAUACAUGUUCAAUUGCAAUUAAACGAAUGUGCAAACUACAACAUUAAUCUCAUCUAGAUCUCUCUUGCGAGUAGUACUGACCUGACAGAGGGUACAACUCCAAUCCAUGGGUUUCCUUGAACUCGUCAAAGGGAGCUCACCAGAACCUGCAGGUAGUGUGGCAGCUUCCUGCUUUGGUCCACAAAGAUUGGGAUAGGGCUUAACCUGCAGGGCUUGACAACCCUCCUCUUUCUGGUCCAAACCAACAACAAUUCUAUUAGCUUUAACUGAUUCCUCUUCUACUUUAAGUCUUCAUUUCUUGGCCAGCACUAUCUCUGCUUUCUGUAGAUUUUUUUAUCCACUUCUGAGCUCCAAGUAGUUCUUCUUCCUUGGCUUUCUGCUUCUUACCUUGAGGAUGCUCAUCUAGACCACCCUCCACUUUCUGGUUCAAACCAACAACAGUUUUAUUAGCUUUAACUGAUUCCUCUUCUACUUUAGUCUUCAUUUCUUGGCUAACACCAUCUCUGCUUUCUGUAGAUAUUUUUGACGUGGAUGAAGUGGAGUUAUUGCACAUUUUCUUAUCUCUAAGUAGUCCUGCUACCUUGGCCUUGUGCUUCCUACCUUGAAGAUGCUCAUCCAGACCUCUCUGGGUUGUAGCACUGACCUGACAGAGGGCACAACUCCACUGCUCGGUUUUGGUUGAAUUCGUCGAAGGGAGCUCUCCAGAACCUGCAGGUGGUGCAGCAGCAUUCUGAUUUGUUCCACAAAGAUUGGAAUUGGGCUUAACCUGCAGGGUUUGACCACCCUCCACUUUCUGGUCUAAGCCAACAACAGUUUUUUUGGUACCAACUGAUUCCUCUUCCAUUAGGCUUCAUUUCUUGGUCAGCACUAUUUCUGCUUUCCAUAGAUUUUUUUGAAGUGGAGUUAAUGCACAUCUUCAAAUCUCUAAGUAGUUUUUCCUUGGCCUUGUGCUUCUUGCCUUGGAGAUGCACGUCUAGACCUCUCUCGGUAGUAGCAGUGACCUGACAAAGGGCACAACUCCACUCCUUGGGUUUGCUUGAACUCGUUGAAGGAAGCUCUCCAGAACCUGCAGGUGGUGUGGCAGCUUUCUGCUUUGAUCCACAAACACUAGUAUCAGGCUUAGCCUGGAAAUGAUACCCAAACACAGAAACAACAAUGCCUUAUAUUAGUUAUCACAUCAAUGGUAAAAAUGAAAAGUAUUUCCAGUGAGCUCCAUCAUCUGCUGUUGUAGUACAGAUGAAAGAAUUUGUUUACAAAAUGAUAACGUGCAAAUUUUAUUUUAAAUUGUGAAUUCUCAAAAAAGGUGGGAAUGUAGAAGUAUAGUCAAAUAGUUAAUACAACCAGAAUCCUUGUUUAUUAACAACAUUUCCAGCAUUGAACUAGGAAAAUAUCUCCAUCCCAAAAAAGAAAAAAAAAAGGAAUAUGUUUGAAUAGGAUUAUGAAAUACUUUCUUAAUAAGCUGGACAAGGAGAGAUGAUAUCUUAUGAGCAUUUUAAUUCAUAAUUUGAGGAAAAACCAUUUUAAUGGAGCUUCCAGCCCAACGCACAUACACAAACACAAUCAAUAAGAUUUAACAUAAGAAAUUACCGGGAAAAGAAACAUCACAAAUCAAUCUGUACAAGUUCAUGUGACACUUCAUGGUAAACAUAUGUAACCUCUCUUGGAAACUUAGCUUGUGACAAGCUCACAUUUUCUCUGUGUUUUCGUUCAAAAAAGGUUUCAGACACACAUUAAUUCCAGGCUGUGGAGGACCACAUGUCCUCAUUGCUCAAAUUUUUAAAGCCACAUACAUUGGCAUUUGCACGCAUGGUCAAUGAGUUACACAACUCUGUUGUCUACUUGAGUUGACCAAGCAAACUGAAUUUGUGAACUUUGAGCGACAUAAAUAACCCAAUGCUAACAUGUUUGGAAUUAAAUCAAGAUUGUGAGUCCAAAUGUACUCCCCGACAAACUUGUCACCUGUGCAUCAAGACAAAGUCUUAUAGCACUAAGAAUGGACAUGUGAAUCUCUAAGCAACAACCUCCUAAUAACAUAAAAAUCAAGGUUGGUGUGGGAUAAAGCCAUUCAAAUGGACAUGUAAAGGGUAACUUUGAUGAAUAAGGGUUUAAGAGAAACAAUCUUAUCACAGAGUAUUUCAAUUGGAGCGGAUAAAGAAACUAACAUGAAACAAACUCACUUAUCUCUAUUUAUUUUUCAAUUAUCAUAGAUCCAAAAUCUAAAAUUAUCAUUUUGAGCUACCCUCAAUUAGUAAGCACUGCAUUGUCACUGCUUUCUUCUGAAAUUUUCCAUCAACAGAAAAUCUCUAACAAAUCAAAACAAGACUUACCAAGUUUCAUAAGUAUCAAAACAAAAACGAGCAAAGGUCCACAGGGAAGUUCUAGAAUGAAACAUUAAAACGUUUAGUUCAUGCUUCAAUCAUAUAAUACAAUAUACAAACAUCAUUUAAUCAUGUUUCAGAUAAAUUUUGCAAAUCCACAAUAAUAGACAUGCCUUUAACAUGGAAAGCAUCCCUUCCCACUUAAGGGUCUCCACAACUGCCUUACUAUCAAAAUUAGAUUAUAGUGUGAGUUAAAUUACCAGCACCCAUAGCCUCUGUCAUAUUAGUACUAUAGAUCUCGGAUUUUUCCUCCUUAACUUCAGAGCUGUCAGAUGUCUCCUUACUAGAGGUGGAACCAGUAAUUGCCUGUAAAUAAAUUUCAUCAGCAAAUUUGCACAAGUGAAUGUUCAUGUAUAAUCAAGUAACAGUUCCACAUAAAAAUCAAACAACAAACUGAAUCAACAUGGACUCGAUAAAACUAAUGGCAUAAUCAGACUACCAAUUAUCAGUUGAAGUUAAUUUUUAUACUCGCGUAUUUAGCUCCUCGACAAUAUGUACAUUAAAACCAGUAAAUAAAUAGAACAGAAUAAAGAAGAAUAUUCCAUAUUAUGAAAUAUCUGAAGAUAUUUAUGAAUAAAAAUGUCAGCACUGCUACUGAACAGCAUCACAGUUGAAGCUAAUAUUACUCUUUUAAAAAACAAAAAAAGAAAGAAAUGAAUUUGAAAUUAAAAUAUCAUAUAGUUACCUUAACGGUGAUACGUCGAUUUAGAUCAGCAUAAUUCAUCGUUCCCUGCGAUAAUAAAUCAGACACGAGACUCCAUUUCCAUUAUACACAAAACGCCCAAGCAUUAAGUAUUAACAGGAAGAAAAAACGACAAAAAAUUAUUGCGUUUUACCAGAGAAUUGAAAGAAGAAGUAGGCUUCCGUUGAUUGAAUCUGAAGCUUUGCAAAGGCAAAGCUGAGGAUCUGAAAUAUUAACCAAAAAAAUUAAAAAAUGAAAACAAAUUUAGGGAGAUUUAAAAUAAAAAUUAAAAAGAAAAAGAAAAAGCGGACCUUGGAAGAUUCUGCAGACAGUUCAUUGAUUGAAGAAGAAAGGAAAAUAUCAGAGCAAAUCGUUAAGCAGACAAGUGUGUGUGUGUGUGCGUAUUAAGUGUUGCAUUUCCAAUUGCGGGCAAUUUAUAGAGGUUGGCUGGGAAUCGGCAAAAAGGUUAUCAGCUUUUGACAGAUUCCCCAAAAUGCCAUUGCAUUUCGUUUGUUUCAGUUGCUCUUUUUGGUUCGUUGGUGAUCCAUCAGCGGGCCCGUUUGAUUUUUUUUUUUCGUUUUCCUUAUUUUCAUGGUGAAUUUUAUAUAAUUUUUUGAUUAUAUAUAUAUAUAUAUAUAUUUAUUUAUUUAUUAAAACAUAAUAAAAUAUAACAUAGUGUCUAAGUCAGAUUGAAAAUAAAUCAACACAUAUGAUUGUUGAAUUGUUAAUUGUGUUCGCAUCUUAUUUCAAUUAUUGCCUAUCAGUUUACAGUGAAUCUCAGGGUCCAUUUUUCGUGAGGUUAAUGAUUGCAUUCUGGGUUGUGUUGCUCUCAGUCUUUAGUGUUCAUUCAUCUUUUUAUGGUAAGUUGCAUGCAUUUGUUUUGUCUUUAGAGGUUAUGGUGUCUAAUUGAGCAGACACACGUUUGGCUUAUAGAUGAUAUGACUCUGAAACCAUGUCGCAGCUGUUGCUUGUUUUGUCUUGACGUGCACCCCUUGAUUAUACUCGGCGGGAUAAAUUUUGCACUUAUUUAAAAUAAAUAAAUAAAUAAAUAAAGAAUUUCCUGUGGGGAAUUCAAAGUGCAAAAACGAAUUGAUUAGUGAAGAGGAUACAGAGAUUUGACAUGAUAAUUAAUCAUCUCGUUAUGAUGUGUUAGUGUCUAAUUCACAAAUUCGGAUAAUAAAUUGCCACCCUUUCAUGUGAGACUAUUGUUAAUUGUAUUGUUCUCUUAAUAAAGUGUAAUUAGGCUAGCUACGUUACCCAGCGGUUGGAUUUACAUUGCUUCCAAUCCAAGGCUUAUAGCAUUAGCAUGAUUAACAUAUAUAGUAGCAUCGUAAACAAUGAUUGGAAUCCUGACAUCUUUGGUAGCAUGAUUGUAGAAAAUUACGACCAUGUUUGGGUAGCUUAGUUUAAAAGUUACAGUAUUAAAGUAUCAAGUAAAUAUUAGCUAUUGUAAUUAAAAAAUAUUAUAUCUUUAAUUUUACACUUACAUGAUAGAAAAUUUACUAUUUCUUUACUGAUUUUAUCAAAAUUAUUAUUUAUAAAUUAUGUAUUUACCACAUACUAAAUCAAGUUAAUUACUAGUAAAUAAUUAAUUACAAGUUAAUUAAAUUAGAAAUAUGUGUCCAACCAUUAGAACUACGUAUGUCAAGUUAGUUAAUUACUAAGGAAAGAAUUAAUAAUUUUCAUCGCAACGUAUUUAGUUACGAAACUGAUAACAAUAUAUAUUAGAAAAACCAUAAUUUUAUGAAAACUAAAGAUCAUUACUAAUAUAAAACUAAAAUCACCAAUGAUUAUAUGAUAGGAUAAUAACAAAUCCACAAUAGAUUAAAAAAACACGUCGAUUCUGAAGCUGAAUUUAUAACCGAAUCUUAAUUCUAUUUCUUCUGUAUUUACAUAAUCAUCCUGCUAAUUAAGGAUUUACAACUUUGCCAUGGAAGGUCGGUGGCUUCCAUGCCUUUUUUCUUCUUCUCCUCACAAAUUUUGCUUUUGCUUCCACUUCACCAUUAAAAAACAUCCCAAAGCUUGGUGUUGUGCGUGGAAGGACUAUUUUUCUAAACCCUAGUAAAAAAAUAUUAACUUCAGAACCAGAGGGUGAUCUCCAAACUUAUUAUGAUGAUCAAAUACUUGAUCACUUUAACUAUAAUCCACAAAGUUAUUUAAUUUUUUCUCAUAGAUAUGUGUUGAACUUCAAACAUUGGGGCGGUGGGGAGCCACGGCGGCGCCGAUAUUGGCAUAUCUUGGUGAAUAGAGUAGUCUUGAUGAUGACCUUGGUGGCACUGGAUGGCUUACUGAUAAUGCUCGUUGAUUUAAAGCCUUACAAGUUUACAAAGAGGUAAGUAAAGAAUCUGUUAUCAGGCUAGCUUGAUAAUCAUUGAAAUAGAGUUCGCAUACAAAAUAAUAAUAAUAAAGACAAAUCUUAAUCAGAAUAUUCUACAAUAUGAACUGAAAAGUUGUGAUGGAUUUUUUUCUUUAAUUCGAUUUUUUAUGCAGCAUCGGUUCUAUGGAAAAUCAGUACCUUUUAUAUCAAGCAAAGAUGCCCUAAAGAAUGCAACUCUUCGUGGAUAUUUCAACUCUGGUCAAGCUUUGGCAGAUUAUGCAAAGAUUCUCUUACACAUCAAGGAAAAUUUAUCGGCCGAAAUGUCUCCCAUUAUCGUUGUUGGAGCAUCUUAUGGAGGAAGUACAUUUUAAUAUUAUUAACAUACUUACAUCUUUUGAUUAAUGUCGUAUCAUUUGUUGCGUCAUUUUAUUCAUUUUGAUCUCGUUUGACCAAAAUAUUGAUUACGCAAAUAUUAUUUUGAUACAAAUUUAUUUUGCAUUCCAAUUAAUAAAUACUUUCAGCGAUCAUAAAACUAAGAAAUACUAAAUAUAUUUAAGAUAAUUACGUUUUUAAAAAUAACCAUCUUACAGUGCUUUGGGAGUAGUUGCGUCGUCCGCCCCAAUUAUCUACUUUGAUAAUAUCACACACUCAAACGCAUAUUAUGAUCUUGUCACCAAUGACUUUAAGGUAAGAAAUAAAAUUAAUUAAUUAAAAUUCUAUACAUGUAUGAUUGUGUUUUCUUGUUAAAAUUUAACCAUUAAAUUUUGAAAAUUAAUGAUGCAAGAAGCCAGGGAGAUCUGCUACAUGACCAUCAAACAGUCCUGGGCUACAAUGGAUAAAACGGCUGCUAGAAAAAAAUGGACUUGCUUUUCUCUCUAAAAAGUUCAAAACCUGCAAGAAAUUAAUCAUAUUACUUUACAUAACUGCUUAUAUAUAUCCAUCCGAUUUUCCCUUAAUUACAAUUAAUGCAAUGUUAUUGUAGCGUCAUUAUCGAAUGUACUAUGUCUAAUUAAUUAUCUGUCAUCCUCAGAGUAUAUAUACAUUUCGAUUAACGUGUAAUAUACAAAGUAAAAAUCUGGAUUUGGGCUUAUACACGGCCUUUGCAUUACCAUAUAUAUAGUAUACUGGUGCUUAGAUUCAGCCCUCCAGAGUGUUCGUAUUUUACAGAAUCUAAAUUUGAACUACAAAACCACGCGCAACUCUGAUUAUCAAAUAAGGCCAAAUUUGUACGUUUGCAUUUGAUAAUAUCAAUAGCUUCAUACUUAUAAAGUUUAUUGUAAUCUAACUAAAUAAAACAACAUUUUUUAGACGGCAUGUUGAAAGAUCUUUUAUAAUGUUACUAACCUUGUGGCACUUAAUUCUAUGUUGUUGUUGUUUAUUUGAUUACAAGCCUCUGAAGGAUGUUUCAGAAUUGAAGGAUUAUUUAGAGUGUAUGUAUACGGGUGCAGCUCAGUAUGAUGAUCCUCAGGAAUAUCCAGUGAACAAAGCUUGUGAAGGUAUCGAUGGAGCUUCAGAAGGCACGGAUACCCUAGGCCGGAUAUUCUCAGGAAUUGUUGCUUUAAGAUGGGAGAAUUCUUGCCAUGAUGUUGAUGAAUUCUUAUCCGAUGAAACUCUAGACUCGAGCUGGGGCUGGCAGGUAUGUGAUUACGGGUGACCUGAUUUCAUUAGAUACUUCUAUUGAGAUCGUCAAACAAACAACAUGUUGCGAUGAAUGAAUCUCUCACCUAGCUAACAAUACCUAUUUUAUGUACAUCUCUUAAUUUUAUCUAUGAGACUACAUAUUUAUGAAUGAUUAAAAAUAAUUUUCUCCUUUAUUUAGUUAUUUAUUUAUUAUUAUGAUUUUUUUUUUGUUUUGGGAAGAGAGGGGGAGGGGGGGAGGGGAUUUCUCAUGCAAACAUGCACUGAAAUGGUCUCAUCGAUUGGAAUUGAUAAAAAUAAUACAAUUUUCAAGCAGACGAUAGAAUAUAUGAAUUCAGGCAAUAAGUCUUAUAGAGUGGCUCCAAUACCACAUUGGAUUACAACUUAUUAUGGCAGUCAUGUAAGUGUCAAUUAAUCCCCAGAUUAAUUCUUUUAAUAAUUUAAUUUUUUUCAUUUUCUUUUUUAAUUAUAAAUUUUAUCUCGAUUUUUGUUCGAUUUUUAUUUCUUUUUAAUUUGCAGUGUAUAAGAGUGGUUGUAAAGAGAUUUGGUAGCAACCUUAUUUUCUCUAAUGGCUUUCGUGAUCCCUAUAGCAGCGCUGGGUAAUUAAGCUUAAGAAUUUUGGACAAUCUUUUCUAUCAAAGUUACCUAUUUAAUUAUAAACCUUUUUCUUUUUCUUCUUCUUCUUCUUCUUUUUUUUUUUUUUUUUUGAGAUUACAGUGUUCUGGAAGAUAUAUCAGAUAGCAUAAUAGCAGUGGUAACAAAAAAUGGUAUCUAAAUGUUUCUGUAAAAUACAAAAAUUAGUGUUCAAUUAUUAACUAAAUUAUUGGAUAACAUAAUUAAUAAUGUGUAAAUUAGAGCAGGUUCCCAUUGCUUAGACAUACAGCCAGCAACAGAAGAUGAUCCAGAGUGGUUAGUAAUGCAGCGAAAGAUUGAAGUGGACAUGGUUUAUGAUUGGAUCCUUAAAUACUCUGCAGAUUUGCUUCAAAAUCAGAGCAUAAGAUUAAAUUGGGACUGCAAAAUUAGUGUUUUCUUUUUCUUCCUCUCCUCUAUCUUUCUAAUAUUUAUGGAGCAAAGAUAAAUAAUAGAGCACCUAGCUAGUUUAAGAGUUCAUUUUCAUUAUUCUUAAUCUGGGUUGUCUAAAUGUGUAGAACAAGUGUGCAGUAUUACUUAAUGUAAAGCACAUAUAAAGGGCUCAAUCUUUAUGUAAUCAUCAUAUGGUGAAUAUCAAUUCAUGUACAAUCACAUUGAAUUAACCAUUUUCUCCCUUUGAUUUAGGAGUUACUGUAUAGGUCGUUGAAGCCGGUGAGAGUAAAAUAAUUUGCUCUCCAUGUACAUGUAUCUCUCAUUCUCAACCUGUUCCUAUGCUUCUACAUAAUAGCUUCUUUUGUUAAUUAUUUGACAAUCUCAUGCAAUUCCAAACAUGACUUAAAAUCAGUUUGAGAUUCCGGUGGCUAUUGAAAUAAACUACUUCUGUUAUACAGAUAAAAUAAGCUAAUGAUUAUAAAAGUAGCUCGCUCAGUGUUUGGUAAAUUCAAUUACGAAAGAACUAUUUUAUUAAAUAAUCACUAAAAUAAUUAUAAGUUUAAAUUGUCUUUUAUUUAUAUAUUAGGAUUUAUAAAAAAAAGUAAGAUACAAUUAUUCUUUUCUUAGUUAUAAUAGAAACUUUUAAAAAAUACAUUUUAUUUAAUAAGUUGCUUCUAAAAACAAUCCCAUACUUGUUUUAAAAGCAAUUGUCAAAAUACAGAAAAUAUAAAUUAACUUUUAACAAAUUUACCAAACAUUAUUUUUAUCAAAACUUAUAAAAUAAACUGUUUAUAGUAUUUCAACCGUAAUCCCAAAUAGGACAUUAGUCUUUGUUCAAAAUAAACUGCUUCAUUCUUUUUUUUUCCACAGCAUAUGUCAAGACGUAAGUUCCAAAUCAUUGCUGACUAGGGGAAGAAGUCUUCAAAGUCAAGGUGAUUAGAUUAGCAGGUCACGAAAUUACGUAUCGGAGGGGUUCCCUGCCCUCAACUUAAAAAGAUGCCUUAAAAUUAAAUAUUAAAUAAUAUGGCAUUUAUUAAAUUUAAAAAAUAUAAAAAAAAUUAAAAAGAAAACCUUUUUUUAAGUGCCCAGAGGUUUGAACGGCAACUAUAGGAUUGUUUCACGACGAACUUCAAAUGUGCAAGACUAAGGCAGGCCUAUCACGAUUUGGGCCAACUUUGGUAUACUCAGGAAGGGGCACGGAAGAGGGAGCAUUUUGGUUUAUAUUUUACUCAUACACACAUGAGUAAUUAUAUACAAACCUUUCAUGCCUUCACUACCUUUUUCAUGUGGGACAAAUGUAUUUUCCUUUAAUUUUCCAAUUCCAUGAAUUUACUUUCAGUUACCAUUUCUCAUUUAUCCAAGGAUCAUUUUGAUCAUAUAGAUAAAACCAUUUUGAAGUAUUUACAGAGAAAUAUUUGAAACAAUUUUAACUUUUCACUUACACCACAUAGGUCUCACUCAAAAUCACGCCUCAAAUAGCCACUUGUGCUAUAUUUCCAACACCUUCUGCCUCUUUUCUUUAUUGAUCGCAUGCAAAAAAAUUGAGUGCAAUGAGAUUUUUUAUCUUCUUUCGUCUAUGAUGUUUUUGUGUAAAAAAAAAUAAAAUUCAAAUGGAUGUUAAGUAGCCCAUGAAUUUCCAUAGUUUGUAUGUUACAAAAGGAGCUUUGUAACUAUUUUAAAAAAUAAACAGAUUAUUUUGAUUAUUUUGUCAAAUCACAGGAGUUUACACAUUCUUUUCUCUAUCAGUUUAUUUAUAAUAUUACACCUACACGUUUUUUUAUACAAAUUAAAUUUACACAAAGAUAUGAUUAGUCUUGUUUAUUUUCCUAUUUGAGUCAUAAUUUACAACAAGAACUCUUUGAGCUUUUUAUUUAUUUUAUUAUUUUGGGUGAUAUUUAGUAUCUUAAUAAUGCUAUUAACUAUUUCUAAUAUUUUCCAUAUUAUCUCAUAUUUCUGCAAUGUUAUUCAAAUAGAUCUACACCACACAAAUAUAAGCCAAUAAGCCAAUUGGAUAGUACUAUUGAGACCGUCAAAUAAACAACAUGUCGCAAUGAAUAAGUCUUUCGUCUAACAAUACUUAUUUUAUGUACAUCUCUAAAUUUUAUUUAUGAGAAUACUUAUUUAUGAAUGAUUAAAAAUAGUUUCUUCUUUAUCUUAUUUAUUUAUUUAUAAUUUUUUUUUUAGGGAGGGGGAGUUCCAUCCAGACAUACAGUGAAAUGGUCUCACCAAUUGGAAUUGGCAAAAACGACACAAUGUUUCAAACAUACUCAUUUAAUCUGACAGAAUAUAUGAAUUCAUGCAAUAAGUCUUAUGGAGUGGUUCCGAGACCACAUUAGAUUACAACAUAUUACGGCGUCAUGUAAGUAUUGAUUAAUCCCCAAAUUAAUUCUUUUAAUAAUUUAAUUUUCCUCAUUUUCUUUUUUAAUUAUAAAGUUUACCUCAAUUGUUGUUUGAUUUCUAUUUCUUUUUAAUUUGCAAGAUAUAAGAGUGGUUUUAAAGAGGUUUGGUAGCAACAUUAUUUUACCUAAUGGCCUUCGUGAUCCCUAUAGCAGCGAGGGGUAAUUAAGCUUAAAAAUUUUGUACACUCUUUUCUAUCGAAGUUACCCGUUUAAUUAUAUGCCUUAUUCUUUUUCUUCUUUUUUUUUUUGUUUUUGGUCGGGGGGAGAUUAUAGGGUUUUGGAAGAUAUCAGACAAUAUAAUAGCACUGACAACAAGAAACAGUAUGUAAAUUUUUCUAUAAAAUAAAAAAUUAGUGUUCAAUUAUUAACUAAAUUAUUCGAUAACAUAAUUAAUAGUGUGUAAAUUGGAGCAGGUUCCCAUUGCUCAGACAUACUGCCAGCAAUAGAAGACGAUCCAUAAUGGUUAGCAGUGCAGCGAAAGAUUGAAGUGGACAUGCUUCAUGAUUGGUUCCUCAAAUACUCUUCUGAUUUGCUUCAAAAUCAGAGCAUAAGAUUAAUUUGUGACUACAAAAUUAGUGUUUUCUUUUUCUUCCUCUCCUCUAUCUUUCUAAUAUUUAUGGAGCAAAGAUAAAUAAUAAUAGUGCAUCUAGCUAGUUUGGAUUUGGUUGUAAUUUUCAUAAUUCUUACUCUGAGUUGUCUAAAUGUGUAGAACAGGUGUGCAGUAAACACUUAAGGCUCAAUCUUUAUGUAAUAAUCAUAUGGUGAAUAUCAAUUCAUAUUCAAUUAGAUUGAAUUAACUAUUUUCUCCCUUUGAUUUAAGAGUUACUGUAUAGGUCCUUGAAGCCGGAGGUAGUCAAAGAUUUGCCCUCCACACAUACAGACAUAUAAAAAUAUUCUAAUUCAGAAUUUUAAAGUGCGGAAACGGGGAAAAUGCAUAAACCGUGCAGUUUAAAUGCUUUAAGUAUUAAGCCUUUAAAACCCCGCAGUUUUAAAAUUUUUCCUAAUGUUUCUUGCACUUUAAGAUCCCGUACCAAAAAACUACUAUAUAUAUAUAUAUAUAUUAGGUGUUUAAGCUUGUAUGCUCUGUUUAUUAGUAGCCAAGCUUGCGAGUAUAUUGCUUCUGGCGAACCUCUUCCUAUUAUUCUCCUUAAUAGCUAUUUCUCUUAAUUAUUUGACAAUCUAAUGCAAUCCCAAACGUGACUUAGCAUCAAGUUUAGGAUGGCGGUGGCUAAUAAAAUAAGUUAUUUCUAUUGUGAGGACGAAAUAAGUUGAUGAUUAAAAAAGUAUCUUACUCAUGUUUAGUAAAUUUGAUUAUGAAUGCUGUGAGGAAAUAAGCUACUGGUCAACUAAUGGUCGUUGGGUUUAAAUGGAAGAUUUGAAGAAGUCUGGGGGCAUUGUGCAGAUCGACUUCAGCUGGAGGGGUCUAGUUGAAAUAUUAAAGCUGAUGUGGCAAGAAUUCGUUAUGAGUUCGUUAUGAUUUCCCAGAAAUACCAAAGUAUAUAUACGUGUGUUUUAGCCUCUGAUAUGUGGUUGUAAUCUUUCUCAUUUCUUGAUCAUUUAGUAAGCUAAUUGGUUCUUUGUGAUCCUUGUAAACUCCUCUAUAGAAUCAGCUUGUAAUUCGAUUCAUAGUGAUCAAUAAAAGAGCAGUUUUUCCUUCUACAAGUUGAGUGCUUGGAACUGUGCUCUGUUAAAGUUCUUUCCUGUUUCUUUCUUGAUUAGCUUGCUUUGAUUAGUUCUUUCUAGAUUCAAUACGUUAAUAGGGUUAUAACAAUUGGUAUCAGAGCCAGUGGUGGUUCAAAAACAUGUCUCUUCCAAAACCCGAUAUUGAAAGGUUCACCAUUGGUGGUGACUUUUCACUUUGGAGGAUGAAGAUGAGGGCUCUCCUUGUUCAUCAAGGUCUCAAAUCAGCGCUGGAAGAAGAUGAUCUUGGGGAUGCUUCAAGUUCAGUCUUUGAUGAGAAGAAAAGACAGAUACAGAACAAGGCUCACAGUACCUUGAUCUUGAGUCUCAGUGACUCAAUUCUAAGGGAGAUUUCUAAAGAGAAGACUGCCAUUGGUAUCUGGAACAAGGUGGAGGCCUUGUGUAUGAAAAAGUCCCUGGCACACAGAUUGUUCUUGAAGAAAAGGCUAUAUACCUUUUCUAUGAGAGAAGGAGUCUCGAUUCAAGAACACAUUGACAACUUCAACAAGAUCAUUCUUGAUCUUGAAGGAGUUGAAAAUGUGAAAAUAACUGAUGAGGAUAAAGCCUUCUUUCUACUGAGCUCACUGCCAAAAAUCUAUGAAGGAUUUGUAGACACCAUGCUGUAUGGAAGAACUACACUCACUUUAGAGGAUGUAAAAGCUUCUUUGAGUUCUAAGGAGAUCCAGAAGAAUAAUGGGCAUGAAGUUAGUAAUGGUGAAGGCUUAUUUGCCAGAACAGAAAAGAAAAAUCAGAAGAAGAAGAACCAGAGUCAAGCUAAAAAGGAUGAUGUAUCUGUAAAAGAAAAAAUGAAGAAAAGAAAGUGCUUUUAUUACAAGAAACAAGGUCACUACAUCAGGGAUUGUGCUGAGAAAAAGAGGGAUGAAAAAGAGAGAACAGGUGAUGCAGCAGUAGCCUCAGAAGACUCCUCUGAUGAUGGAUACCAUAGUGCUGAUUUGUUGGUGGCUUCAAACAGCAAUAUCAAAGGUCAGUGGGUUCUUGAUUUAGGCUGUUCAUUUCAUUUGUGUCCUGAUAAAAGCCUUUUCCAUACAUAUAAAUCUGUGGAUGGUGGUAGAGUUUUGAUGGGUAACAACAAUGUGUGUAAGAUUGUUGGUAUGGGGUCUGUCAAAAUAGAGAUGUUUGAUGGGUCUGUUCAAACUCUAAGUGAUGUAAGGCAUGCACCUAGGCUAAAGAGAAACUUGAUCUCUUUAGGCAUGCUAGAUGGUAUGGGAUAUAGCUUCAAAUCUGAAAAUAGUGGUUUGAAGAUUAUGAAGGGGACUGAGAUGGUAAUGAAAGGAGUUAAGAAGAAUGGCCUUUAUGUGUUAGAAGGGUCAUCAGUGCCUGGAUCAGCUCUAAUGCCUGCUGUUUCUGAUGUUAAUAGAACCAUGUUAUGGCACCUUAGACUAGGCCAUAUGAGUAUUAGAGGAAUGCAAGAACUGAGUAAGCAAGGGUUGCUGUGUGGUGAUAAUAUAGAUGAACUAGACUUCUGUGAAAACUGCAUCUUUGGCAAGGCACACAGGUCCAAAUUCACAAAGGGCAUACAUGUAUAUAAACAACCAUUAGAUUAUGUACAUGCUGAUUUAUGGGGGCCUGCACAAGUACCAUCCUUGAGUGGGGGAAGGUAUUUUAUGUCAGUCAUAGAUGACUACUCCAGGAAAGUAUGGAUCCACAUACUGAAGACCAAAGACCAAGCCCUAGAGAAGUUCAAGAUUUGGAAGACUUUGGUGGAGACUCAAUCUGGUUUCAAGGUGAAAUGCUUAAGAACAGACAAUGGACUUGAAUUCUGUAAUAAAGAGUUUGAGCAAUGCUGCCAGGAAUGGGGAGUUAGGAGGCACAAAAUAGUAAGAUUCACCCCUCAGCAAAAUGGUUUAGCUGAGAGGAUGAACAGAACACUUAUUGACAAAACAAGAUGCUUGUUGAUAAACUCUAAGCUUCCUAGGAGCCUUUGGGCAGAAGCUGUUUCUACAGCUAGUUACCUGGUAAAUAAAAGUCCAUCUUCAGCAAUUGGCUUCAAGACACCUGAAGAACUCUGGUCUGGAAGACCUGGAAAAUAUGAACACCUGAGGGUAUUUGGAUGCCCUGCUUAUGUCCAUGUCAGACAAGGGAAGCUUGAUGCAAGAGCUAUAAAAGGAGUUUUUGUUGGCUAUCCAGAUGGGGUUAAAGGCUACAGGGUCUGGUGUAAAGAGGCUAACAAGUGUCUGAUCAGUAGAGAUGUCCAGUUCAAUGAAGUGGCCAUGAUCAAUAACUCUGACCAAGCCACUUCUGCUAAUGACAUCAAUACAAGUGACACACAAGCCACCACAAAAACUGAGCAAGGUGAAAAGAUUGAAGUGGAGUUGUCUAAAGACUAUGAAGAUCAAAUACAACCAGAGGCUGUUGAAGCUGAAACUCAAGUAACUGAUUUACAACAAUAUCAGUUAGCUAGAGAUAGAGAAAGAAGACAUACCAGACCUCCAGCAAGAUAUGCAUAUGCAGAUAUGGUUGCAUAUGCCUUGAUGAGUGCAGAAGACGUUGCAAUUGAAGAGCCUAACAACUAUAGAGAAUCAAUGAGUAGCAAGAAUAGCAGAAACUGGAUUAAAGCUAUGAGGGAGGAAAUGGAUUCUCUGGUAAGAAAUCAGACUUGGAUUCUGGUCCCAAAUCCAAGGAAUAUGAAGAUUGUCAGCUGCAAGUGGAUAUUCAAGAAAAAGGAGGGCAUUCCAGGUGUCGAAGAUUCAAGAUAUAAGGCAAGACUGGUGGCAAGAGGGUUCACACAGAAGGAGGGGAUUGAUUUCAAUGAAAUCUUCUCACCAGUGGUAAAACACAAUUCAAUCAGAAUCUUGCUUGCUAUGGUGGCUUUGUUUGAUCUAGAGCUUGAACAAAUGGAUGUAAAGACUGCCUUCCUACAUGACAAUCUUGAAGAAAAGAUAUUGAUGUCUCAACUUGAAGGCUUUGAAGAACAUGGACAUGAGGAGUAUGUGUGCCUUCUUAAAAGGUCUCUAUAUGGCUUGAAACAAUCCCCUAGGCAAUGGUAUAGAAGAUUUGAUCAGUUUAUGAUCUCCAAUGGCUAUUCCAGGAGCAAAUAUGAUAGUUGUGUCUAUCAUGGGAUUAUAAACUCAGGUGGAGCAGUAUAUCUUCUACUAUAUGUUGAUGAUAUACUCAUUGCUGGUAAAGAUCUCAGUGACAUUAAAGAGCUCAAGAAUUUGCUGAAGGGGGAAUUUGAAAUGAAAGAUCUUGGCAGUGCCAAGAGGAUUCUUGGGAUAUAUAUUAUUAGAGAUAGAACAGCUGGUACCUUGUUUCUAAGCCAGUCAAGGUAUAUCAGCAAAGUACUGGAAAGAUUUCAGAUGAUGGACUCAAAACCAGUACUGACACCUCUAGGGGCUCAAUUCAAACUCUCUGAAGAUAUGUCUCCAACUUCAGAUGUUGAGGAGGAAAAGAUGGUUGAUAUACCAUACUCCCAAGCUGUGGGAAGCUUGAUGUAUGCAAUGGUUUGCACCAGAGCAGACAUAGCUUAUGCAGUAAGUGUGGUGAGUCGAUUUAUGAGUAAUCCUGGUAAGCUUCAUUGGGAUGCUGUAAAAUGGGUCAUGAGGUACCUAAAAGGAACCUUAGAUCAUGGUUUGAUGUAUGGUAAAUCCAAGCAUGAGGUAUGUGAAGUCAGAGGAUACGUUGACUCUGAUUUUGCAGGUGACUUGGACAGAAGAAAAUCCAUCUCAGGUUAUCUGUUUAUGUUGGAUAGUUGCCUCAUAAGUUGGAAAGCUACUCUACAGCACAUAGUAGCUUUGUCAUCUACUGAGGCAGAAUUUGUUGCUGCAACAGAGGCAGUGAAAGAAUCAAUGUAGUUGAGAGGGCUGCUAAAUGAACUAUGGUUGAAACAAAAAACAGUAGAAAUUUUUUGUGAUAAUCAGAGUGCCAUUCAGCUCAUCAAGAACCAAGUUUAUCAUGAGAGAACAAAGCACAUUGAUGUGAAGUUGCACUUUAUCAGAGACGAGGUUGCAAAGGGGUCAGUUGCAGUGAUCAAGAUACAUACAGACAUCAACCUUGCUGAUAUGCUAACCAAAGUGCUAUCAACAACAAAAUUUAAGUUUUGUGUAAACUUCAUUGGUGUUGGCAGCAGCUCUAGUUCCUGAAACAUGUGUCUUUGAAGGUUUUUUAUGUUACUUAAUUGAGAUGAUCAGCUGAAUCGAGUCUGCAAGGUGGAGAGUGUGAGGAAAUAAGCUACUGGUCAACUAAUGGUCGUUGGGUUUAAAUGGAAGAUUUGAAGAAGUCUGGGGGCAUUGUGCAGAUCGACUUCAGCUGGAGGGGUCUAGUUGAAAUAUUAAAGCUGAUGUGGCAAGAAUUCAUUAUGAGUUCGUUAUGAUUUCCCAGAAAUACCAGAGUAUAUAUACGUGUGUUUUAGCCUCUGAUAUGUGGUUGUAAUCUUUCUCAUUUCUUGAUCAUUUAGUAAGCUAAUUGGUUCUUUGUGAUCCUUGUAAACUCCUCUAUAGAAUCAGCUUGUAAUUCGAUUCAUAGUGAUCAAUAAAAAGAGCAGUUUUUCCUUCUACAAGUUGAGUGCUUGGAACUGUGCUCUGUUAAAGUUCUUUCCUGUUUCUUUCUUGAUUAGCUUGCUUUGAUUAGUUCUUUCUAGAUUCAAUACGUUAAUAGGGUUAUAACAAAUGCUCUGUAUUAUUUAAUGACUAAAAUAAACAUGAGUUUAAAUUGUCUUUUAUUUAUAUAUUAGAGUUUAUAGAAAAGUAAGAUAUAAUUAUUCUUUUCUUAAAAUAUUAAGGUUAUAAUAUGAACAUUUAAAAAGAUAUAGCAACUUAUUUGCUUAUAAAAAUAAUCUCUAUUAUGUUUUUAAAAGUUACAGUCAAAAUAGAGAAAAUUAUAAAAAAAACAACUUUUAACAAAGCCAUCAAACUUCAUUUUUAUCUAAACUUAUAAAAUAAGCUGCUUAUAGUAUUUCAAUCACAAUCCUGGGGCAUUAAUCUUUGUGUAGAAUCAGAUUAGACAUUGAAUAUUUCUAAUUUUCUACACAUAAAUUAAAAUAUGUAGACUAGAAAAACACCUUGACUUCGUAAGUCCACUUCAUUCUUUAAUUUCCGCAGCAUAUGUCAAGACGUUAUUUCCAAAUAAUUGCCGACUAGGAGAAGUCUUAAAGUCAAGGUGAUUAGAUGAGCGUGUUAUGGAAUCGUAGUGGUUCCCUGCCCUCAACUAAAAAAGUGGCCUUCAAAAUUAAAUAUUAAAUAAUGUGGCAUUAUUAAUGUUAUAUAUAUAUAUGUGUGUGUGUGUGUAUGUAUAUGUAUAUGUAUGUGUGUGUGUGUGUGUGUGUGUGUAUAAUAUUAUUAAGUAUUAUAUAUAUAUAUAUAUUAGUCUUCAUGUUUUGCACGGGUUCGAACGGCAGUUGUAAUACAAAGAUAUGGUUAGUCUUGUUUAUUUUCCGAUGAGAGUCAUAAUUUACACCAACAAUUCUUUGAGCUUCUUUUUCUUUUAAUUAAUGUUGGUGCUAUAAGUGAUACGACGAUAUCUGUAACAGCAUCGGCUCCUGGAUUAUUGACGUCACCCGUAGAGUUAGAAAGAGAAGCUUUACUUGGUACAGACUGGUGGGUCAACAAUUGGGCGACGUCGGGCAACUACACGUCCGAUCAUUGUAAGUGGACUGGCGUCAGUUGCAAUUCAGCGGGAAGAGUAAUCGGGGUCAGCUUACUCUGGUAUGAAAAUGAUAAUAUCAAGGGAAAGCUCGGUCGUUUCAACUUCUCUUGCUUUCCCAACCUCAAAAGUUUCAAAAUUCGUUCAAAUUAUCUUCUCUCUGGGAGCAUUCCAUCUGAAAUUGCUGCCGUUUCAAUGCUCCAAACUCUUGAACUGCCCUCCAACAAUCUUCACGGUAAGCUACCAAACUUCACUACAUAUAUAUAUAUAUAUGUAUCAUGUAUGUAUGUAUGUAUGAAGUCGUGCUCAUGCUUGAAGCAGGCGUCUGUUUUUACAACACUGAAGAAGUUUUUUUUAUGAUGAUUUCUUUAUAAAUUUUAUUUAUAUGAGGAUAGUGAAUACUAAUCUCGUUUUUCAUAAAUCACAUGCGCAAUAGAAAUUAUCCCUUCAGAGAUGGGGAGAUUGAGGAAUCUCGUCCACCUGGAUCUAUCUGAUAAUUACCUCUCGGGAUAUAUCCCUCCAACUCUUGGUCGUCUAAGCAAAUUGGAAAAUUUGAACCUGUCUUCUAACUCCCUUGUCGGUAAUAUCCCCCCCACUCUAGGUCAUCUAACCCAUCUAACUACUUUGGCUAUUGCCUGGAACCAAAUUAAUGGUUCCAUCCCAUUAGGAAUCAGGAGUUUGAAGGCUCUUCAAGUUCUUGACCUGUCCGGAAAUGAAAUUGAAGGUUCAAUUCCUUCAACACUUGGCCAUUUAAAGAGAUUGAGAAGUUUAGACUUGUCCCUAAACGAACUUGUUGGUCCAAUCCCUUCGUCUGUGGGUCAUUUGACUCAGCUAACUUUUUUUAAUAUGGACUCAAACCACAUAAAUGGUUGCAUCCCAUUAGAAAUCGGGAAUUUGAACUUUCUUCAAGUUCUUGACCUGUACGACAACAAACUUGAAGGUCCAAUUCCUUCGACCAUAGCUAGUUUAGUCAACUUAACAUCUCUGUCCCUGGAUUAUAACAAUCUAACUGGAUCUAUUCCUUCAACACUUGGUCGUUUAAAUAGGUUGAGAAGUUUAGACUUGUCCCAAAACAAACUUGUUGGUCCAAUCUCUUCGUCUGUGGGUCAUUUGACUCAGCUAACUUUUUUUAAUAUGUACUCAAACCACAUCAAUGGUUGCAUCCCAUUAGAAAUCGGGAAUUUGAACUUUCUUCAAGUUCUUGACCUGUACGACAACAAACUUGAAGGUCCAAUUCCUUCGACCAUAGCUAGUUUAGUCAACUUAACAUCUCUGUUCCUGUGCAAUAACAGUCUAACUUGAUCUAUUCCUUCAACACUUGGUCGUUUAAACAGGUUGACAAGUUUAGACUUGUCCGGUAACAAUCUUGUUGGUCCAAUCCCUUCGUCUGUGGGUCAUUUGACUCAGCUAACAACUUUUGAUAUGCACUCAAACCGAAUCAAUGGUUCCAUCCCAUUAGAAAUCGAAAAUUUGAACUUUCUUCAAGUUCUUAAUCUGUCCCACAACAAACUUGAAGGUCCAAUUCCUUCGUCUGUGGGUCAUUUGACUCAGCUAACUACUUUGAAUAUGUACAAUAACAAACUUGAUGGCCCAAUUCCUCCAGAACUCAUGAUUGCUCAAAGCUGAGGAUAUUAAAAUUGGGAAACAACUUGUUAAGCGGAAGCAUUCCGUCAGAGAUCGGCAAACUUCAAGAACUAUAUUUUCUUGAUCUGAGCCAUAACUUGAUUAAUGGUAAAAUACCUUCCCAGCUUGGAGCAAUUCCAAGCAUAGUUACCGUGGACUUUUGCAUGAAUAACCUCUCUGGUAGUAUCCCUGAAUCUAUCAGAAAAGUUCCUUUCUUAUGUGUGGAUGGCAUUUAUUUUGAGGCAGAAAUCCCAACUACUUUAGCAGAUGCGCCACCGCCACAUCACAAAGGCAAUCACAAAAAGAUUGCCACUCGAUUGGUUGCAAUUAUUCUUCCUAUGGCCACAUUCAUUGCCUUAAUAUUUGGAUUCUUGUUUGUCCGUAGACGAAGGGAUAAGAAAGUUGAACCAGCUGAGACAGAAGAAAUUAACAAGUGCGCUGAUGAGUUUGCAAUUUGGAAUUACGAUGGUAGAAUUACAUUUCAUGACAUGAUUGAAGCUACUGAGGAUUUCCAUAUCAAAUAUUGCAUUGGAACCGGAGGCUAUGGCAGCGUUUACCGAGCACGACUGCCCAGUGGAAAAGUAGUUGCUUUGAAGAAACUUCACGGUUCAGAAACUGAGGAGUUAGCUUCCCUCAAGAGUUUUCGGAAUGAGGCUCGUCUACUGUCCCAAAUACGGCAUCGAAAUAUCGUAAAGCUUUACGGGUUUUGUUUGCACGAGAAAUGCAUGUUCUUAAUCUAUGAGUACAUGGAAAUGGGAAGCUUGUUCUGUGUUCUACGCACUGAUAACGAAGCUGUUGAGUUGGAUUGGACUAAAAGGGUGAACAUUGUGAAGGGCAUGGCUCAUGCUUUGUCAUAUUUGCAUCAUCACUGCACACCACCAAUUGUUCACCGGGACAUAUCAAGCAACAACAUUCUACUCAACUUAGAAUUAGAAGCAUUUGUUGCCGACUUUGGCGUUGCUAGAUUGUUAAAUUUUGACUCAUCCAAUCGAACUCUAUUGGCUGGCACUUAUGGAUAUAUUGCUCCAGGUAAUCUUCUAGCUAUUCUUCUUGUGCUUCUUUAAUUAUUCUUUUAAUUAAUUUCUAUAUGCACUCUGUUAAGUAAGUUUUAAGCAGUUUUAUUUAGUUAGCUACUUAAGUUCGAAUUUUGGAAUAGGUAAGGUGCUGAAAGAUAAAUUUGAACUUUGCCUACCCGUUUAACUUUUUUUUGUAAAAAAAAAAAAUUACACGCAGUUUAAAUAUCAAUUAAAAAUGUAAACAAAUUGUCAGACCUUGCUGCAGAAGCUCAAAAAUAUAAACAAAUUGUGCUUGUUAUUGUUUAUGGAAACAUCACUAAUAAAGGCUUCUGUUUUCAUACAGAACUUGCCUACACCAUGGUUGUGACGGAGAAAUCUGAUGUUUAUAGCUUCGGAGUGGUGGCACUAGAAGUACUAAUGGGAAAGCAUCCAGGAGAGCUCCUCUCAUCGUCAUCUUGGUCAUUGGAUAAAAAUAUUAAGCUGACUGAUUUGCUGGACCCACGCCUCUCACCUCCGGUGGAUCAAAAGAUUAGGCAGGAUAUCAUUCUUGUUUCAACAGUAGCAUUUUCAUGCUUGCGUUCUCAAGCAAAGUCUCGACCUACAAUGCAACUCGUGUCCAACGAAUUUAUCGCUCGCAAUAAGGCACCGAUGCAGAAACCUUUUCAUGAAAUUUCAAUUUUGGAGCUUAGAAACCAAGAAAUGUAUUUGGUUGAUUAAUGUGAUAUCUAAUUAUGGAUACGUAUAUUUAACUGUUCAUGUAUAUGAUGGGAUUGCUUCUAAUCAUAAUGGAAUUUUCCAAUAAAGGUGACUGUUAAUUGGUUCUGAAAUUAUUAGGUACUUGCAAUGUAUUAUUAAUUCUAUUUUCACAUUCACUUCCUAUAUAUGUUGAAUUGCAAUUAAACAAAUGUGCAAACUACGACAUUAAUCUCUUUGGUUAAGCUAGGACUUUCGCAGUUCACUCUGAUAAAAUAAGUUUUGUCUAAUUGUCUCCGUCUGAGUGAGCUGAAUUAAAUAAGGAAUUUAAGGUUGUAUCUGUACGAGUUAAAAGGGUAAAUUGUCAUUUUAAUUAUUAGUUUAUUUUACAAAUUAUAUACAUAUACUUUAUUCAGAACGAGGUUCUUAAUGUCGCGUUAUUUAAUAUAUAUUAGUUUUUUCACUCCUUUGUAAAUAUUCACACAAACAUAUACAAAAAAAUUUUAAUUUAGCCGAUCCGAUCAAACAUCCUGGACCCACAGCUGAUGUUAGUAAGCUUUUGCAUAAGUUGUGGUUAGUGAUAUCUAGAGGUGCCAAAAAUACAUGCCCGGUCCGGACCCGGACCGUACCUGGGCGUUGUGGGCCGGGUAUUACCCAACCUGGGUAUGAAGCCGGAUCGGUCUUGGGCAUCACUUGAUAAACUCGGAAUCCGAAUUUUAUUAAAAAAAAUUAUAAAAUAUAUAUUAUUUUAAAUAUGUAUAUUUAUUUGACUCAUUUAAAUAUGUAUACAUAUAUAAAAUUUUAAACACUUAAAGUUUAUAUUUUCAUGUCAAAUUUUAUUGAAAUAAAUUUAAAACUUAUAAAAUUACCAAAAAAUAAAAAAUAUAUACACAUAUAAUAUUAAAAAAUAUAGCUGGGACCCGGACCCGGACCCGGUCCCAGACUGGUUGCAUCCGGACAGAGUCCGGUCAUUGCAAUACCCGAACCCGGCCAGGGGUUUUGCCAUCCCUAGUGAUAUCCCACCAACUACCUGCCAGCACAAGAUAAACUAAUGUCAGGUCAUGAUCAAGAAAAAUUUGCAUUGGGCCUAAGAGUCCAAUGUCAUAAUCAUGCAUAUAUGAAGCACUUUCAAAUGGUUGAUCUAACAGUGUCUGGUUUUCAUUUUUUGAGCUUUUUACCAACGACGGGAGAGUAGAGAACAACACAUGAUCCCCAUUACAGUAUUGUUGCUUGAAUUUACAGGCUUCAUCAUUCAGUACCUUCAAAUCCAUAUAUGACGAGAUGGAAGAAUGAACUUAAAUUUAUUAUUGUAAUUUCUGCAGUUUUAAAAUGAUAAAGUAACACGCAGCUGGUUCAUUGAAAUUUAAGACAUUCAAAAUGGAGCGCAAGAGCAAAAUAAAAGUUAAGAGCUUUAACUUCAGCAUAAUAAGGAGUCUGCUGCAUCAGGCUCACUUUAUCUGCCUCUAUAGACCACCACCUCUUCAUCUUCAGCCUUCUCAAUAACACUCUCUGCGGUUUCUUCAUUUGAUUCUUGGGCCACCGCAUCUUCAUCUUCAACAUUCUCAGUAGGCUCUGAUGGUGUCACAAUUGUAGUGCGGGUGGUGAGGGGGACAGCCUCAUUAUUUUUCCUAGAUCCAUUAGACCGAGCCAUAUGUUUCUUCCCCAUUUUAUGACCCUCCAUCACAACAGCGGAGUGAGUACCAACCUGAAAAACUUCACACCAGGAUUCGAAGUUCUCUCUAAGGGGAAGUUUUCUCCUCAUCGUCCCUUCAGUUGGUAUUCCAUUUGUUGUCUUCUGAGUGAUUGCAUUCAACGCCUUCUUCUUUGGCAGCUCCUCAUUUUUGUUCUCUGAAUCUUCUUCGCCCCCCACAUUCUGGUCAAAACCCACAACAGUUUUAAUAGCUUUAACUGAUUCUGUUUAGGCUUUCAUUUCUUGGCCGGCGCUAUCUCUGCUUUCGGUAAGCUUAAUUGUCUUUCCAGAUUCUUUUGAUGUUGUUGAAGAUGAGGUAGUGCACAUCUUCUGAGCUCCAAUUAGCUCCACUUCCUUCGCCUUGUGCUUCUCACCUCGAAGAUGCUCAUCUUGACCACCCUCCACUUUCUAUUCUAAAACAACAGCAGUUUUAUUAGCUUUAUCUGAUUCCUUUUCUACAGUAGCCUUAAUUUCUUGGCCAGCACUAUCUCUGCUUUCAGUAGAGUUUUUUGAAGUGGAGUUACUGCACAUCUUCUGAUCUCCAAGUAAUUCUUCUUCCUUGGCCUUAUGCUUCUUGCCUUGAAGAUGCUAAUCUGGAUCUCUGUUGUGAGUAGUGUUGACCUGACAGAGGGCACAACUCCAAUCCAUGGGUUUCCUUGAACUCGUCAAAGGGAGCUCACCAGAACCUGCAGGUAGUGUGGCAGCUUCCUGCUUUGAUCCACAAAGAUUGGGAUAGGGCUUAACCUGCAGGGCUUGACAACCCUCCUCUUUCUGGUCUAAACCAACAACAGUUCUAUUAGCUUUAACUGAUUCCUCUGCUACUUUAGUCUUCAUUUCUUGGCCAGCACUAUCUCUGCUUUCUGUAGAUUUUUUUAUCCACUUCUGAGCUCCAAGUAGUUCUUCUUCCUUGGCUUUCUGCUUCUUAACUUGAGGAUGCUCAUCUAGACCACCCUCCACUUUCUGGUUCAAACCAACAACAGUUUUAUUAGCUUUAACUGAGUCCUCUUGUACUUUAGUCUUCAUUUCUUGGCCAACACCAUCUCUGCUUUCUGUAGAUAUUUUUGACGUGGAUGGAGUGGAGUUAUUGCACAUUUUCUUAUCUCUAAGUAGUCCUUGGCCUUGUGCUUCCUACCUUGAAGAUGCUCAUCCAGACCUCUCUGGGUCGUAGCACUGACCUGACAGAGGGCACAACUCCACUGCUCGGUUUUGGUUGAAUUUGUCGAAGGGAGCUCUCCAGAACCUGCAGGUGGUGCAGCAGCAUUCUGAUUUGUUCCACAAAGAUUGGAAUUGGGUUUAACCUGCAGGGUUUGACCACCCUCCACUUUCUGGUCUAAACCAACAACAGUUUUUUCGGCACCAACUGAUUCCUCUUCUAAAUUAGGCUUCAUUUCUUGGUGCAGUAUUUCUGCUUUCCAUAGAUUUUUUUGAAGUGGAGCUAAUGCACAUCUUCAAAUCUCUAAGUAUUUUUUCCUUGGCCUUGUGCUUCUUGCCUUGGAGAUCCACGUCUAGCCCUCUCUCGGUAGAGCGGCGACCUGACAGAGGGCACAACUCCACUCCUUGGGUUUACUUGAACUCGUUGAAGGAAGCUCUCCAGAACCUGCAGGUGGUGUGUCAGCUUUCUGCUUUGAUCCACAAACACUGGUAUCAGGCUUAGGCUGGAAAUGAUACCCAAACACAGAAACCACAAUGCCUUAUAUUAGUUAUCACAUCAAUGGUAAAAAUGAAAAAUAUUUCCAGUGAGCUCCAUCAUCUGCUAUUGUAGUACAGAUGAAAGAAUUUGUUUACAAAAUGAUAAUGUGCAAAUUUUAUUUUAAAUUGUGAAUUCUCAAAAAAGGUAGGAAUGUAGAAGUAUAUUCAAAUAGUUAAUACAACCAGAAUCCUUGUUUAUUAACAACAUUUCCAGCAUUGAACUAGGAAAAUAUCUCCAUCCCAAAUGGUAGUUUCGUUAAGGUGCACCAAAUUUAAAACUUUAUCACUAAUAUAAAUAAUUAGUACAGAGCGAGUAAGGAUCGAUCCCACAGAGACUAUGCUAGUUAUAUUUAUUAUUAACUCCAAAGCAAGAUUUAAAAUAAAAUAAUAGUAAUAAUACUAAUAGUAAUAGUAAAAAUAAUAUAAAUUAAUCUAACUAAAGAAAAUGCCAAUUAAAAAUAAAAGGGGGGUUUAUGAAUUUUUAACUAAAUAGUAAGAAAUAAAGAAAUUAAAAUUACGAACAAGAAUUUAAUAAAAACUCUAAUUAAAGGAGAAAGAAAUAAUAAUGAUGAAAACUUUGGUUAAAGGAUCAUUCGCCACCACCAAACAUGCACAUAAUAUAUCAAUUCUAUCAUCAAUUUAUAUUAAAACUAUCAACCUUAGACAACAAUAAGCUCUGUUAGUCUCAAUCUUUCCUUAGUGUGUCGUUAGGCAAAAUAAGCUCUUCACCUAAUCUCUAACCAUUAAAUAAUUUAAAACAAGCUCUUUAAAUUUAAGAUAAUGGAAGCAUUAAACAGAUAAAGAUAUUAGGUUGAUCUAGGCAAUAAACACACAAGCUCGGAUUAUUUAACCUAGGUUAUGUUCUUCAAUUGAAAUCACUAAUUCCAACCUGCUACUAAUAAUUAAAAUAUCAAGACAAUUACGGAUCAAGAAUUUUAAUCUAGUAAUAAAAUUUAUUCAAGUCCUAUCUAAUUGGCCACUCAAAUAAAACAAGAAUAAACCAUGUACAUUAAUUAUAGAAGAACAUAAACAAUCUCAAUUAAAUAAAUUGAAUGAUAGAAUUUAAAUUUAAUUGCAUAGCAUGUUUAGGGUUUUGAAUUCACCCUCAACCAAAUAAAAAUCUAGCCUAACAUGAUUGAAUUGGAAAUAAGAGAAUUGACAAAACCAAUCAUGGAGAUCAAUUCAAGCGGCUGCCUUUUUCUUUAAUUGAAUUCCGGCUGCUGAUUUUUUUCUUCUUCUUGCGGCUGUUGAUUUUCCUCUUGCUGCCGAAUUGGAUCUGCCCUCUUCUUUUUUUCUGUCCAGCGGCUGCAAUCUCCUUUUAUAAUGCUAGUUGACCGAAUUCUUCUCCAACAAGAAUAAAGAAAUCCUUUUUCAAUUCUAAUUGAAAUCCUUUUCCAAUUUAACACCACCAAAAGCCAUUAAUUCCAACUUUUGAAAGUCAAUUGCUGGCCCGUUUAAAUGCUUUCUACUUUUGCAAUGCCAUGCACGUGUACUCCAAUUGCCAAUUGGAAAAAAUUAAAUCUUUUAAUUAUUCAACAUUUCUCAAUUAGAUUAAUUAUUUUGAUUUCUUCCACUCGGUUUUAUCAAUUUUUGUCUGUAUUUUUGUCUUCCAAUUUAAUCUUUAUUCCUUCUCAAUUUGAACUUCUUAAUGCCCUUUUUAUUCAUAAUCUCCAAUUGAUUUCCUAUUCAAUAAAAUAAUUUAAUUAAUUAAAAAUAACAAAUAAAAAUAACUAGUAAUUAAAUAAUUAAGGGUAAAAUAUGUAUAAUUUAAAAAUUAACUAAAAUAACUAGAAUAUUUAAGACCAAAACAAGAAAAAGAUGGAGAAGUUAAUAGUAAAAUAUAUGAACAAUAUGCACUUAUCAAAUUCCCCCACACUUACCCUUUGCUCGUCCUCGAGCAAACCUAGAACAAAAAUAAAAAGAAAACCUAAACUAGACCACUUUCGUAGGAAAUCACGAUUGCAUUUACCAUAUGCAACAAGCCUUUAAACCCCUAGGCGGCCCUAGUGGACGAGUUAUAGUCUCGUGAGGGCUUCAGCGAUGAUACCCACAAACAUCAUUGCAUUUUUUAUUUUAUUUUAGCAGAAAAAGAACAAAGGAAUUUAAAAUAAAACUAGCCUCAAAGAUUGCAUAAAUCAUAUAGCUCAAAGAAAAUUUCAAAUAUUAUCGAAGUUCUAACUUUAAUUCAAUAGUCAAUCACAUCUCUCUUUUGAUUCUCAUAGUGUGUGUGUGAAUCAAUUCUAUUAAAAUCCAUUCCCAAAAUCUUCAAUAUCAACAGCCUUUGCCUUGAACAAAGAAAAGAGUAGGUCAAACUAAUCUUAUCAUCUUGAUCUCCAAUUUUUUUUUCUUUUACAGGCAUUUGUGUGCAUUUUCUUUUGAAGUUCUUUUUUUUUUUUUUUUUGUUCAGGAGCUUUCACUCUACCCCUUAAGGUAGUCUUCUUCUCAUGGUAGAUUAUCCUCUACAUACUGGUGGUACAUAGGCCCAAAUUACUCAAGGAUAGCUUCACUCUUAAGGGUUAUAGGUAGCUAUUUCUGACUAUGGUGCCUGUGUAUACUACACUGUAUUGUGGAGAUAAGAAUCAAGACAAACAGUCAUUUACUCAAUCUAAAAUUCUCAACUCAGGCUGCGUCAAUCUCAAAUUCUAAGUCAAAAUUAUAAAAGAAUUUAUAUUAGUGCUCAUGGUUUAAAGAAUCUCAAUUAAGAGGAAAUCAACACAAGAAUCAAGUAUAAACUAAGGUAAUAUUCAACCCUUUCUAAGAACCAUAUUCAUUGUCAAUCAAAUUCUUAUCACUGGCUAAUAUUCAAAACAAUAUUUUUUUUUUUUUUUUGUAAAAAGAAAAAGACGAAGUAACAAAAACUAAGUUCGAAACCCACCCCCCACACUUAAUUCUUACAUUGUCCUCAAUGUAAGCCUAAGCUAACAAAAGACAGAAUUAAACAUGGGAAAAUGAGAUGAGACACACAAACAGAAACAAACAAAAUUCAACACAACGUAGGUAAAGUAAAUGAGAAUGAGAGGGAGAAAAAUCAAAUCUGUUAUGGCGUGCUCUCAAAAUCUUUUCUCCAGCCAUUGGGUUGCCUCCCAAUAAGCGCUUGGUUUAUUGUCCUCAGCCUGACCUGGUUCUCAAGUUUCACUCAUCAAUGUACGCAGGUUCAUAAAGUGGAGCCUCCUCUACAUUGAGUGUUUGAAAAUUUUCAUAGUAAGGUUUCAACCUAUGACCAUUAACUUUGAACUCUUUACCUGUCUUUAAGCUCUUGAUCUCAACUGCACCAUGAUGAAAAACAUUAAUAACAACAAAAGGCCCAACCCAUCGAGAACGUAACUUACCUGGAAACAACUUAAGGCGAGAAUGGAAUAGCAAAACUUUAUGUCCAACUUUAAAAUUCUUUCUCAAGAUCUGCUUGUCAUGAAAAACCUUAGUCUUUUCCUUAUAGAUUCGUGAACUCUCAUAGGCAUCAUUUCGAAUUUCCUCUAAUUCUUGCAAUUGGAGCUUUCUGUGUUGGCUGGCAGUGUUCAGUUCCAUGUUACAUUGUUUCACAGCCCACCAUGCUUUAUGUUCAAGUUCCACUGGAAGAUGACAAGGCUUACCAUAUACCAACCUGUAGGGUGACAUACCAAUAGGAGUUUUGUAUGCGGUCCUAUAUGCCCAAAGUGCAUCAUCAAGCCGUAAGCUCCAGUCCUUUCUAUUCAGAUUAACUGUCUUUUCAAGGAUUGAUUUCACUUCCCUAUUAGACACCUCAACUUGCCCACUAGUUUGGGGAUGGUAAGAUGUAGAUACCUUGUGAGUGAUGUUGUAUUUUCGAAAGAGGGCUUCUAUUGACCUGUUACAAAAGUGAGUGCCUCUGUCGCUGAUAAUUGCCUUUGGUGUUCCAAACCUUGUAAAGAUGUUACUUUUUAUAAAAUCUACCACAACCUUAGAAUCGUUAGUUCGGGUGGCUUUUGCUUCCACCCAUUUAGAAACAUAAUCAACCGCAAGAACAAUAUAGAGAUGACCAAACGAUGAAGGAAAUGGUCCCAUGAAGUCGAUGCCCCAAUCAUCAAAAAUCUCAACUAUAAGAAUGGGAGAUUGUGGCAUCUGAUUUCUAGGUCCCAAAUUACCUAUUCUCUGACAACGAUCACAAGAUUUGCAAAACACAUAUGCGUCCUUAAAUAGUGAUGGCCAAUAAAAACCGCUCGCAAGUACCUUAAGGGCUGUUCUCUUUGGUCCAAAAUGUCCUCCACAAGCCAAAGUAUGAAAAAAGGUAAGAAUAUAAGUAAAUUCAGUUUCGGGUACGCACCUUCUAAUAACUUGAUCAGAACAAUGCUUCCACAAGUAUAGCUCAUCCCACACAUAGUACUUGGCAUCACUCUUGAUCUUGGCCUUUUGUGCACGGGUUAUCUCUUCUGGUACUGUCUUGGUAACUAAGUAAUUGACAAUAUCUGCAUACCAAGGAGUAACUGUACCUACCUGUAAUAACUGCUCAUCUAGAAAGUUCUCAUGCAAUGGAAGUUCAUCUUCGUUAUGGAUAAGUCGACUCAAAUGAUCUGCUACCAAAUUCUCAGAGCCUCUCUUAUCUAGAAUCUCUAUGUCAAAUUCUUGCAAUAGAAGUAUCCAUCGUAUAAGGCGCAGUUUGGCAUCCUUUUUGGUGAGCAAGUACUUAAUAGCUGCAUGGUUAGAGUAAACGAUUACCUUAGAUCCAAUUAAAUAAGAACAAAAUUUCUCUAAGGCAAAGAUAACUGCUAAAAGUUCUUUCUCUGUGGUAGAGUAGUUAAGUUGUGCAUCAUUCAAUGUACGAGAGGCAUAAUAGAUGACAUGAGGAAGCUUGCCCACACGCUGGCCCAACACGGCUCCAACAGCAUAGUCACUGGCAUCGCACAUAAUCUCAAAUGGUAAAUCCCAGUUUGGUGGUUGAAUCACAGGGGCCGAUGUCAAAACCUCUUUUAACUUCUUAAAAGCUCUUUGGCACUCUUCAUUGAAGUCAAACGUUGCAUCCUUUUGAAGUAAGUUGCAGAGAGGUAAAGCUAUCUUGGAGAAGUCCUUGAUAAACCUGCGAUAGAAACCUGCAUGACCAAGAAAAGAACGAACCUCCCUCACACUAGUGGGAGGUGGUAAGGAGCGUAUAAGAUCUAUCUUAGAUUUAUCAACUUCAAUCCCCUUUUCAGAAAUAACAUGGUGAUGGUUGUCGAAGCCAACAAAAAUAAAUUCCUACUCUAAAUAAAUUGUGUAUAGUGAUUGAGCAGGGUCGUGUCCACAGAGAUCGGUAAUUAUUUAAAUCCUUUUGAAACGUAAAACGUAAAAUGGGGGAAUUGUAAACAAUAAUAAAAAUCAAAUUAAAUAACAAGAAUGCAAAUUAAAGUUGUAAUUCAAAUUGGAGAAAGCUCUAGUUGAAGGAAUUAACUAAGCUUGAUUCGACUACUGAUCAUUGAUUCAAAUAUAGAUUAUUAUUACUUAUGAAUAAACCGGUUAUAGCUAUUGAGACCCUCGAAUAGCCAAUCUCUCCUUAACUAGUCGAUAACCAAGGUACGACCGUUGGAAAUUUCCCUAAUCAAUAGACAACCCUAGAUACGAUCAUAGGAUUUAAUCAAUUGACAGCCUGAAAAACCAGAGAGACCCAAAUCCUAAUCAACACAUAUGAUGAUUCAUUUAAAUUAGAUUGUUUAUUCUCACAACACAACUCUCUGCUAUGUUAUUUGUCACAAACAUUAAAUUCUUCAUACGAUGAAUCCUUUAAUUGACAAUAGAUUAAGUUGAUAAUUAAAUAGUGGCCAAUUACCUAAUUAACAAACAUAAUCAUGAAACUAAUUCAGAGAAUAAACAAAUACCCAAAAAGUAAUAAAACAAUUAAAGCAUAAGAAAGAUCUCACAGUAGUGAUGAAUCAAAGCUUCAUUAUCCUUCAACCAGAAAAAUAGGUUUAGUUCUUCAUAGAGAGAAGAGAAAAAUUAGAUCUAGGGUUUCUUUCUUCUUCUCCAAUCCAAAAAUCCCCCCCUUCUUUCACAAUAGAUUCCUCCUUAAAUACUCUCUCUCUCUUCUCUUUUAGAGUUCUAUUUAAAAUAAAAUACUAAUAUCUUAAAUAUUAAAUUCGUAAUUACAAAAAUAGCCAAAAAUACAAAACACGUUAAACUAAAAACUGCAGGUCCGCAGUUGACAGCACGCGCCCACGCCUUAUCAAUAAAGUUCUUCUGCCGCUCAUAAUUUCUCCAAGAGAACAAUCAUCCUUAAAAAUCAUCUUGUAGCUCAAUUUUAUCACCAAUCAAUAGAAUUGCACCUACAAAAGUAAAACACAAGUAAAUUAUUAUUAUUAAGUGCAAAACAUCGAUAUUAAGGGAAGUAAACAAUGCAAAACUAGUGCAUAAAUUGCACUCUAACACAUGGCCUAGUACAAUACCUUGAUUAACCAUAAAAUGACAUUUUUCCCAAUUAAGCACAAGGUUAGUGUCAAUGCAUCGUUUAAGAACAAGUGUAAGGUUAUCUAAACAUUUAUUGAAAGAAUCACUAUAAACUGUAAAAUCAUCCAUAAAUACCUUAAUGAUGUUCUCUACAUAAUCAGAAAAAAUACUCAUCAUAUACCUUUGGAAAGUGGCAGGAGCGUUACAGAGACCAAACGGCAUGCGUCGGUAAGCAAAUGUUCCGAAGGGGCAUGUGAAUGUCGUUUUCUCUUGGUCUUCCGGAGCGAUAACGAUCUGAUUAUAACCCGAGUAACCAUCAAGAAAACAAUAAUGAGAGUGACCACUUAACCUUUCAAGCAUUUGAUCAAUGAAUGGCAGAGGAAAAUGAUCAUUGCGAGUGGUUGCAUUCAGUUCAAACUCUCCACCCAGUUUGAACUCUAGCUGGCACAAGCUCGUUUUCUUCAUUCUUGACCACUGUGAUGCCUGAUUUUUUUGGAACUACCUGCACAGGACUCACCCAUUUACUAUCAGAAAUGGGAUAAAUAAUCCCCACAUUAAGGAGUUUCAGUAUCUCCUUUUUUACGACUUCCAUCAUUGGUGGAUUAAGGCGGCGUUGUGCAUCUCUCGUUGGUUUAGACCCUUCCUCUAGCAAAAUGCGAUGCAUGGAAGGACUAAUUCCCUUAAUGUCGGCAAUGGUCCAGCCAAUCGCCGUCUUGUGAUCCCGAAGCACCCUAAUUAAUUUUUCUUGUUGAACUGGGGUGAGGGUUUUAGCAAUUAUGACUGGAAGUGUUUCAUUCUCACCCAAGUAAAUAUAUUGCAUGUGUUCUGGGAGUGGUUUAAGUUCUAAGGUAGGUGCAUGCACAAUUGAAGGUAAAAGUUUCUCGUUUAAUAAAGGCAAUUCAAGGUAAGAAACAUUAUACCCAUGGGUGCGUAAUGUGACUGCUCCAUCUAAGAUCGCCAUAGCUUCCUCUACCUCAUCAUCCAACUUUAUCAAAUUUGCAUGUUCCUUAGAAUCAUCUUUCGUAAGAUUUUUGCUUAUCGAAAUUUCAAAACUGUCAUUACCAGAUAAUUCAAAGAAAUCUUGCACCAAAGUAUUAAUAUCAUCCAUGGCAAAAACAGAAUGAACAUCACUAGGAUACCUCAUUGCCUCAAAGAUAUUGAAGCGGAUCACUUCACCAUCAAAUUCCAUUGUGAGGGUUCCAUCGUGAACAUCAAUCUUGGUUCGGGCUGUCUUAAGAAAUGGCCGCCCCAACAAAAUAGGAGUGGGAUUGGGCGACAACUCAUCCUCCAUUUCAAGGAUAUAAAAAUCAGCUGGAAAGACCAAUUCAUUGACCUGCACAAGAACAUCUUCCAUAACCUCCUUCGGGUAAGCAUUAGAUCUGUCAGCCAAUUAAAUAAUUAUACCAGUUUCUUCCAUUGGACCUAAAUUCAAGGAGUUAUAAAUCGAGUAUGGCAUAACAUUAAUUGAGGCCCCUAAAUCUAGCAUACAUCUUUCGAAUCUGGUAUUACCAAUAGUGCAGGGGAUAAUGAAAGUACCGGGAUCCUUGCACUUAGGCGGAAGUUUUCUUUGAAGUACAGCAGAAACAUUCUCUCCAACACUUACCUUUUCGUUACCGCUCAACUUUCGCUUGUUGCUGCAUAAUUCCUUCAAAAACUUUGCAUAACGCGGCACUUGUUUAAUAGCAUCAAGUAGAGGAAUAUUUACCUCUACUUUACGAAAGGUCUCAAGGAUCUCUUUUCUUGCUCCUCUUUCUUGGAUUGUUUAAAUCUGCUAGGAAAUGGUGGAGGAAUGGAGAGAGUCUUAAUUCGAGGUGAGGGGAUACUUACCUUGCCAGAUGGAUCGACUGGCAAUGCCGAGUGGGAAUCAUCUUUCCUUGUUAAAGGAAGAACCUUAGGUGAGGAAUUGGUCACAGAAGGUGAUAAUGUUGUGGAUACUUUUGAUGGCUUAGCUAAUAAUGGUUCCAAUUGCUUUCUGCUCCUGAGAGACAUAGCACUAGCAUUCUCAUUUGGAUUAAUUUCUAGUUGAGAAGGUAACUUUCCUGAAGUUCUACCCUCCAUCCUACUCAUAGAUGUGGCUAGUUGGCCAAUUUGAUUCUCUAAAUGUUGGAGCUGUGUCUGGGUAGUCUGUUGGAAUUGCAUAGAGUUAGUAGCGAGAGCUUUUACAAGAUCCUCCAAAGACAUACCUUGAUUUUGAGGAGGUGGAGGUGGCCGAACUUGGUAAGGCUGUUGCACCCGGUGUUGGGGGUAGCCUGGUGGUCGAGACGGUGCCACAUUAGAAAUGCCUUGUUGUUGGUUCCCAUACCUAAAAUUAGGGUGAUCCUUCCACCCUUCAUUGUAAAAAUUAGAGUAGGGAUCAUACCUUUGUCUUGGUUGGCCUAGGAACCCCUCAACUGCGUUGGCUUGUUCAUGUGAACCCUCUUGGAUAGCAGGGCACAUGUCAGUCGCAUGUCCGACCAUAGAACAUACGCCACACGGUCUCAUUUGUUGCCCUAGAGCUAAUUGUUGCACCAAAGAAGUAAGAUUUGAAACUUGUUUUUCUAGAGAAGUAGUACUUACCUCAUUGACUCGCUUAGGUGGCGGCAGUAGAUCGUUCCUAGUGUUGAACUGUUGGGAAUUAGCAGCCAUGUUAGCAAUGAGAUUUCGGGCUGCUUCUGGUGUCUUAUCCACGAGUGCUCCUCCACUAGCGGCAUCAAUCAUACUCCUAUCCAUAGGUAGUAGACCCUCAUAAAAGUAUUGAAUAAGAAGUUGAUCACUUAUCUGAUGGUAAAGGCAACUAGCACAUAGCUUUUUGAAUCGUUCCCAAUAGUCGUAGAGCGGCUCUCCAUUAUACUGUCGGAUUCUACAAAUUUCUUUUCGAAUGCUACCAGCUUUUGAUGCUGGGAAAUAUUUCUCCAAAAAUAGCUGACGCAUCUCAUUCCAUGUUGUGACAGUAUCGGAGGGAAGAUAGUACAACCAUUCCUUGGCUGAAUCCGCCAAAGAGAAUGGGAAGGCCAUUAGCUUAACUUGCUCUUCAGAAACUCCGGCUGGUUUCAUUGUGGAGCAGACCACAUGGAACUCCUUCAAGUGCUUAUUUGGAUCCUCUCCUGCAAGACCAUGAAAAGUAGGAAGAAGAUGAAUCAUCCCAGAUUUGAGUUCAAAGUUUACCUGAGGGUUUGGAUUCUCAAUGCAUAAGGGUUGCUGGUCCAAGUUAGGAGCUGCCAACUCUUUAAGUGUUCGGUUGUUAUUCUGAGCCAUUGGUUCGGGUUCUGGGCUGCUUGGUUAUGUUUUCGGGAGUGAAAUGUGAAUGGCAAAAUCGAGUUCUGAAUAUGAUGAGGUUGCUCUAAGUUGUUCGAGUUUCAAUCGAAUGUCCUCUAUGCUCAUGAAAAUCUAAAUAUAGAACAAAAAAUAACUAAUUAAAAUAAAAUAAAUAAAUAAAAUGAGAAAAUAAAUAAAAAAUAAAAUAAAAAAUAAAACGAGUGAUAAUAAACAAACUAGACGCUAGUCCCCGGCAACGACGCCAAAAAUUUGGUAGUGUCGUUAAGGUGCACCAAAUUUAAAACUUUAUCACUAAUAUAAAUAAUUAGUACAGAGCGAGUAAGGAUCGAUCCCACAGAGACUAUGCUAGUUAUAUUUAUUAUUAACUCUAAAGCAAGAUUUAAAAUAAAAUAAUAGUAAUAAUAAUAAUAGUAAUAGUAAUAAUAAUAUAAAUUAAUCUAACUAAAGAAAAUGCCAAUUAAAAAUAAAAAGGGGGUUUAUGAAUUUUUAACUAAAUAGUAAGAAAUAAAGAAAUUAAAAUUACGAACAAGAAUUUAAUAAAAACUCUAAUUAAAGGAGAAAGAAAUAAUAAUGAUGAAAACUUUGGUUAAAGGAUCAUUCGCCACCACCAAACAUGCACAUAAUAUAUCAAUUCUAUCAUCAAUUUAUAUUAAAACUAUCAACCUUAGACAACAAUAAGCUCUGUUAGUCUCAAUCUUUCCUUAGUGUGUCGUUAGGCAAAAUAAGCUCUUCACUUAAUCUCUAACCAUUAAAUAAUUUAAAACAAGCUCUUUAAAUUUAAGAUAAUGGAAGCAUUAAACAGAGAAAGAUAUUAGGUUGAUCUAGGCAAUAAACACACAAGCUCGGAUUAUUUAACCUAGGUUAUGUUCUUCAAUUGAAAUCACUAAUUCCAACCUGCUACUAAUAAUUAAAAUAUCAAGACAAUUACGGAUCAAGAAUUUUAAUCUAGCAAUAAAAUUUAUUCAAGUCCUAUCUAAUUGGCCACUCAAAUAAAACAAGAAUAAACCAUGUACAUUAAUUAUAGAAGAACAUAAACAAUCUCAAUUAAAUAAAUUGAAUGAUAGAAUUUAAAUUUAAUUGCAUAGCAUGUUUAGGGUUUUGAAUUCACCCUCAACCAAAUAAAAAUCUAGCCUAACAUGAUUGAAUUGGAAAUAAGAGAAUUGACAAAACCAAUCAUGGAGAUUAAUUCAAGCGGCUGCCUUUUUCUUCAAUUGAAUUCCGGCUGCUGAUUUUUUUCUUCUUCUUGCGGCUGUUGAUUUUCCUCUUGCUGCCGAAUUGGAUCUGCCCUCUUCUUUUUUUCUGUCCAGCGGCUGCAAUCUCCUUUUAUAAUGCUAGUUGACGAAUUCUUCUCCAACAAGAAUAAAGAAAUCCUUUUUCAAUUCUAAUUGAAAUCCUUUUCCAAUUUAACACCACCAAAAGCCAUUAAUUCCAACUUUUGAAAGUCAAUUGCGGGCCCGUUUAAAUGCUUUCUACUUUUGCAAUGCCAUGCACGUGUACUCCAAUUGCCAAUUGGAAAAAAUUAAAUCUUUUAAUUAUUCAACAUUUCUCAAUUAGAUUAAUUAUUUUGAUUUCUUCCACUCGGUUUUAUCAAUUUUUGUCUGUAUUUUUGUCUUCCAAUUUAAUCUUUAUUCCUUCUCAAUUUGAACUUCUUAAUGCCCUUUUUAUUCAUAAUCUCCAAUUGAUUUCCCAUUCAAUAAAAUAAUUUAAUUAAUUAAAAAUAACAAAUAAAAAUAACUAGUAAUUAAAUAAUUAAGGGUAAAAUAUGUAUAAUUUAAAAAUUAACUAAAAUAACUAGAAUAUUUAAGACCAAAACAAGAAAAAGAUGGAGAAAUUAAUAGUAAAAUAUAUGAACAAUAUGCACUUAUCACCAAAAAAGAAAAAAAAAAAGGAAUAUGUUUGAAUAGGAUUAUGAAAUACUUUCUUAAUAAGCUGGACAAGGAGAGAUGAUAUCUUAUGAGCAUUAUAAUUCAUAAUUUGAGGAAAAACCAUUUUAAUGGAGCUUCCAGCCCAACGUACAUACACAAACACAAUCAGUAAGAUUUAACAUAAGAAAUUACCGGGAAAAAGAAACAUCACAAAUCAAUCUGUACAAGUUCAUGUGACACUGCAUGGUAAACAUAUGUAACCUCUCUUGGAAACUUAGCUUGUGACAAGCUCACAUUUUCUGUGUUUUCGUUCAAAAAAGGUUUCAGACACAUUAAUUCCAGGCUGUGGAGGAUCACAUGCCUCGUUGCCCAAAUUUUUAAAGCCACAUACAUUGGUAUUUGCACGCAUGGUCAAUGAGUUACACAACUCUGUCGUCUACUUGAGUUGACCAAGCAAACUGAAUUUGUGAACUUUGACCGACAUAAAUAACCCAAUGCUAACAUGUUUGGAAUUAAAUCAAGAUUGUGAGUCCAAAUGUACUCCCCUACAAACUUGUCACCUGUGCAUCAAGACAAAGUCUUAUAGCACUAAGAAUGGACAUGGGAAUCUCUAAGCAACAACCUCCUAAUAACAUAAAAAUCAAGGUUGGUGUGGGAUAAAGCCAUUCAAAUGGACAUGUAAAGGGUAACUUUGAUGAAUAAGGGUUUAAGAGAAACAAUCUCAUCACAGAGUAUUUCAAUUGGAGCGGAUGAAGAAACUAACAUGAAACAAGCUCACUUAUCUCUAUUUAUUUUUCAAUUUUCACAGAUCCAAAAUCUAAAAUUAUCAUUUUGAGCUACCCUCAAUUAGUAAGCACUGCAUUGUCACUGCUUUCUUCUGAAAUUUUCCAUCAGCAGAAAAUCUCUAACAAAUCAAAACAAGACUUACCAAGUUUCAUAAGUAUCAAAACAAAAACGAGCAAAGGUCCACAGGGAAGUUCUAGAAUGAAAAAUACUAAUGACGUUGUUACAGUGAAUCUCAGGGUCCAUUUUUCGUGAGGUUAAUGGUUGCAUUCUAGGUUGUGUUGCUCUCAUUCUUCAGUGUUCAUUCAUCUUUUUAUGGUAAGUUGCAUGCAUUUGUUUUGUCUUCAGAGGUUAUGGUGGAAUUGUUUGCACCAUCUAUGUCUUUACGUGCACCCCUUGAUUAUACUCGGCGGGAUAAAUUUUGCACUUACUUUUAAAAAAAAUAAAUAAAGAAUCCCCCGUGGGGAAGUCAAAGUGCAAUACGAAUUUAUUAGUGACGAGGACACAGAGAUUUGACAUGAUAAUUAAUCAUCUCGUUAUGAUGUGUUAGUGUCUAAUUCACAAAUUCGUGUAAUAAAUUGCCACCCUUUCGUGUGAGACUAUUGUUAAUUUUAUUGUUCCCUUAAUAAAGUGUAAGGUAGCUUUACAUUGCUUCCAAUCCAAGGCUUAUAGCAUUAGCAUGAUUAACAUAUAUAGUAGCAUCGUAAACAAUGAUUGGAAUCCUGACAUCUUUGGUAGUAUGAUUAUAGAAAAUUGCGACCAUGUUUGGGUAGCUUAGUUUAAAAGUUACUGCAUUGAAAUAUUAAGUAAAUAUUAGCUGUUAUAACUAGAAAAAUUUAUUAUAUCUUUAAUUUUAUACUUAUAUGAUAGAAAAUUUAUUAUUUCUUUAUUGAUUUUGUCAAAAUUAUUAUUUAAAAAUUAGAUAUUUACCACAUACUAAAUCAAGUUAAAUAAUAGGAAAUAAUUAAUUACAAGUUAAUUAAAUUAGAAAUAUGUGUCUAACCAUUAGAACUACGUAUAUCAAGUUAGUUAAUUACCAAGGAAAGAAUUAAUAAUAAAUUUUCAUUAUUUAAUUACGAAACCGAUAACUAUAUAUUAGGAAAACUAUAAUUUUAUGAAAACUGAAGAUCAGUACUAAUAUAAAACUAAAACCAACAAUAAUUAUAUGAUAGGAUAACAACAAAUCUAGUAUAUAUUAAAAAACACGUCGAUUCUGAAGCUGAAUUUAUAAUCCAACCUUAAUUCUAUUUCUUCUGUAUUUACAUAAUCAUCCCGCUAAUUAAGGAUUUUACAACUUUGCCAUGAAAGUUCGGUGGCUUCCAUGCCUUUUUCUUCUCCUCCUCAAAAAUUUUGCUUUUGCUUCCACUUCACCAUUAAAGAAAAUCCCAAAGCUUGGUGUUGUGCGUGGAAGGACUAUUUUUCUAAACCCUAGUAUAAAAAAUAUCAACUUCAGAACCAGAGGGUAAUAUCGAAACUUAUUAUUAUGAUCAAAUACUUGAUCACUUUAACUAUAAUCCAUUAAGUUAUUUAACUUUUCCUCAUAGAUAUGUGUUGAACUUCAAGCAUUGGGGCAGUGGCGGAGCCAAUAUUGGCAUAUCUUGGUGAAGAGAGUAGUCUUGAUGAUGACCUUGGUGGCACUGCAUGGCUUACUGAUAAUGCUCAUCGAUUUAAAGCCUUACAAGUUUACAUAGAGGUACGUAAUUAAAGAAUCUAUUAUCAAGCUUAAUUUAAAAAUUACAGCAUUAAAAUAUCAGGUAAAUAUUAGCUGUUGUAACUAGAAAAAAUUAUUAUAUCUUUGAUUAUGCACUUAUAUGACAGAAAAUUUACUAUUUCUCUACUGAUUUUAUCAAAAUUAUUAUUUACAAAUUAUAUAUUUACCACAUACUAAAUCAAGUUAAUUACUAGCAAAUAAUUAAUUACAAGUUAAUUAAAUUAGAAAUAUGUGUCCAACCAUUAGAACUACGUAUAUCAAGUUAGUUAAUUACUAAGGAAAGAAUUAAUAACAAUUAGGAAAGAAUUAAUAACAAAUUUUCAUUACUACGUAUUUAGUUACGAAAUUGAUAACAAUAUAUUAGAAAAACUAUAAUUUUAUGAAAACUGAAGAUCAAUACUAAUAUAAAACUAAAACCAACAAUAAUUAUAUGAUAGGAUAACAGCAUUAGCACAUAACCUCCAUUGGUGUUGUUGAGCGGCUGGUCGAGCGAGGCUUGGCACCAUCACAUGCUUGUCGCAUCUUGAGAAAAGUCGUGUGACACUAACCUUAUGGUACUUAAUUCUAUGUUGUUAUUGUUUAUUUGAUUACAAGCCUCUAAAUGAUGUUUCAGAAUUGAAGGAUUAUUUAGAGUAUAUGUAUACGGGUGCAACUUUGUAUGAUGAUCCUCAGGAAUAUCCAAUGAACAAAGCUUGUAAUGGUAUUGAUGGAGCUUCAGAAGGCACCGAUACCCUAAGCCGAAUAUUCUCAGGAAUUGUUGCUUUAAGAGGAGAAAGUUAUUGCCAUGAUGUUGAUGAAUUCUUCUCCGAUGAAACAUUGGGAGGCACCGAAAUCUAUGGUCUUUAAAAAUUCUCAUGGCACUCCCAUUAACAUACUAAGUCUGCUUAACCCAUAGGUGAGUGAACCCAUAGGUGAGUGUAAUCUUCUUUUACAUCCAAUUUAAUUAAAAAAUAACAAUUAUCCAAUAGAGAAAUCUUAGAAUUUCCUUUUUUAUCCCAACGAGCUAAAAAAAUUUCUAAUUAAUUACAUAUGAGGGCGAUUGUAAGAUAACUUACCGACCAAAGUCAACUGGAAUGGAAUAGCCAUUGCUUUGACUAACUCUACGGAAAACUACACGUUCGGCUCACCCACGUACGAAGAGAUUUUCUUGAUGGGGACUGUCGAGGGUGUGGGCUCGUUUAUAAUUUCAGCAAAGGAUUUUUUUAUCGGCCUAUUUAAAUUUCGAUUAGGAGUUGAAGUCAAAACUGAUGCAUAUGUCGGGAUGAAAGUGGGCUGAUUUUGAGGUUCGUUUUGAGCCGCUGGAUUAGAGGAAUUAUUGGUUUGGGAUUAGGGAUGGUAAAAUCUGGGUCCGGGUUUGGCCUUUCUGGUUCCGGACUCGGAUGAGAAUUCGUCUUACCGGAUCCGGAUAAAAACUUGAAUUUUUUGAGUGCGGGUCUGAUACGGGUUAAACCCGGAUAAUUUGUUUUGGUACCUAAUUUCUCUCAUUUGCUUUGAAAAACCCUUUAUCAAACUUUUCUUGCUGCAACUUGCAAGGAAUAAAUGAUGAAGUGAUGAAUAUUAAAUAACUAAAGCCAGAUUAUUAUCAACAAGAUCACUCAACCAAAGCUUCUUGAAUUCGCAAUCUUAAAAGGGAAUUUUUUUUUUCAAGAUCCCAUUUAUAGCCUUUAAUUGUUUUGCAAUUGCCUUGUUCGUACUCCCAUCAAAUCACAAUCCAAUACCCUUCCAAUAAUCAGAACCUAAAAUGAAUGAAAUCACAUUCUUGGGCCAACUUCUCGAAAAUAUAGUUGAUGAAACUGCUUGCCCGUGGCCUUGCUGGAGAUUUCAAUAUCGAGGUGGACUUGCUUCAGGAUUGGUCUUCUUCGUCUUGUUCUUCUUUUUCUCGACUGUAUUGCCGUCUUUGGUGAUGACUAUUAAUGAUUUGUUUCGGGCUUUAGUGGUGAGGAUGAGGAAUAAAGCACGAUUCACGAUGAUUUGAUGAGGAAAUAUUUGGCUUUCGGCUUUGGCGGCGCGGCUGUGAAACUGAAACUAGGGCAGAGCUGCUAUUUCUUUUUUCAAUAGUUUCUAUUUAUAUUUAAAAAAAUAUAAAAAUAAAUACACCCGGGUUCGGGUUUCAGAUUUGCUGUUUCACCCAAAUCUGGAUCUGGACCCGAAUAUGUCUGAGUUUAGAAAAUCACAUCUAGAUUCUGGAUUUAAUUUAGUCCGGUGUAGGUUAAAUCCGACCCAGAUUAUUCGGGUUUGGUUGGGUUCGGGUUAAAUUGUCAUCCAUAUUUGGGAUUGAUUUUGGACUUGCAGACUUAUAUUGGAUGAUUGGGCUUUUUGUGGUUUAAUGGAUUGACAUUGGUUUUGGGAUUGAGAAUUUAAGUUGGAUGUAUGGAUAUUAGUGGGAUGGGCUUCCAAGUGCAUUUGGGCUUGUGAGUUAAAUGUUGAAUGGUUAUGGAGGGUGUAGAAACUAAGGUGCUAUUAACAGACUAAGCAACCUUAGAUUCUGCCCUAAGAUCACCAACCAACUAAUCAAGAUGCUGCAAGAUUGAUGACGGAAAAGCUACGACUAAGAUGAAUCUAUGGAACUAGACGAUUAACCAAUUUGGAUUAAAGAAUCAACAUAAGUAGAGCAAUCAAAGAACAAAAGAAACUUAAUGUGGUUCAACUAGAUUUCUCUAGCUUACAUCCACGGGAGGGCAAAGAAUAACUUUAUUGAUUUAACAAGAUGAAUUACAGAGUAAUGCUUUUUUUUUUUACCACAGAAAAGAUCUGAACUGAUUAUAUAUAAACCAGUCCCUUCUCUCUCUUCAGCUCUCUCUGCACACCAAUCUGUUGCUUCCACAUCAGCUGCUCGAUAACAGCUUCAUAACGAACCCAGAAAUUCCCCAGCAACUCACGUGAGUUCCUCAUGCGUUUAACGGCUUUUAACGAACCUUGCAAGCUGGACACAAGCAUGUGAUACAAGCGUGCUUCACUUAGACUUAAACGACAAACUCACAUGUCGUUCAUAAGAGUAUUUCUUUUGCUCUUCAAAACGCAAGACUCCAUGUCGUUGAGCUUAAGUGAUUUCAGCUCUAAACGCAAAGGCUUCUGCCGUUUUGGUUUUCUGGACUUGCUUUCAUAAACAACAGAGGGUUUCAUGAUUACGGUGGGCAUUGCAAGUAUUAGGGGUAGAAAAAUUUUGGGGGGAAGAAAAAUAAGCCGAAAGUUGUGCAUUUGUUGGUGGAAUUGAGGGGUUUGAUUUUGAAUGAGUGGGAGACAAAAGCGGGUCCCCUGCACUAUUUGAAUGUUGGCUUUUUGGUGAUGCCAUAGGAAAAGUGUUAUGAGUAUAUGUGUUUUGUGAGGCUGCAUGUUGAUUUUUGGCUUGAGUGGAGGCAUGUGAGGUAAUUUUGGAAAUCUUUGAUGCAUGUGAAGGCUUUGAAAUGUUGAGCUCAUAGGGGACGACAUUAAUUGAGCACGGCUGACUUUGUGGACUUUGUGAAAGAGAGUUAUGGGCGUGAUUGUGUUUGUGUGUGGUCAAAAGCUGCAAGGGGUUGUCGAGAUUUUCCGAAUUUUUGCAUGUGGGUUGGGCCGAAGCAGGCUGUCUUGGCUGACUUUCGGCAGAUGCCGUUUGUGUACCAAAACGUGUGCGAUCAAGGGGCUGUUCAGAAGCUUCAUCUCGACCAUGAACGGUGGUUGCAAAGUUAACAGCCGAGAGUUGUUUUUUGAGCUUGUACAGGGGCUGUGAUGGCUGGAUCUUGUGAUUCACCAUGUUUAACUUGUUCACGGUUGGAGGUGCAAACUUUGGUAUGCGAUGAGGGGUUUUGGUCACGGCUUUCUUCCACUUCCUCUAGUGGUUGAUUAUAGAGUCCGUUUAAUUAUAUACCUUUUUCUUUUUCUUCUUCUUUUUUUUUUUCGAGAUUAUAGGGUUCUGGAAGAUAUAUCAGACAACAUAAUAACAGUGAUAACAAGAAACGGUAUGUAAAUUUUCUGUAAAAUAAAAAAAAAUUAGUGUUCAAUUAUUAACUAAAUUAUUGGAUAACAUAAUUAAUAGUGUGUAAAUUAGAGCAGGUUCCCAUUGCUUAGACAUACAGCCAGCAACAGAAGAUGAUCCAGAGUGGUUAGUAAUGCAGCGAAAGACUGAAGUGGACAUGGUUCAUGAUUGGGUCCUCAAAUACUCUGCAGAUUUGCUUCAAAAUCAGGGCAUAAGAUUAAAUUGGGACUACAAAAUUAGUCUUUUCUUUUUCUUCCUCUCCACUAUCUUUCUAAUAUUUAUGGAUCAAAGAUAAAUAAUAGUGCACCUGGCUAGUUGUAGAUUUCAUUUUCAUAAUUCUUAAUUUGGGUUGUCUAAAUGUGUAGAACAAGUGUGCAGUAUUACUUAAUGUAAAGCACAUAUAAAGGGCUCAUCAUAUGGUGAAUAUCAAUUCAUAUACAAUCACAUUGGAUUAACCAUUUUUGCCCUUUGAUUUAAGAGUUACUGUAUAGGUCCUUGAAGCCAGGGAGAGAAAAAGAAUUUGCCCUCCAUAUACAUGUAUCUCUCAAAACUUAGGUGUUUAUCCUUAUAUGCUCCGUUUAUUAGUAGCCAAGCUUAUGAGUACAUUGCUCCAGGUGAACCUGUUCCUAUUCUCCUACAUAAUAGCUUCUUCUAUUAAUUAUUUGACAAUCUCAUGCAAUUUCUAUUAAUUAUUUGACAAUCUCAUGCAAUUCCAAAGACUUAGGAUUUUGAGAUUUUGGUGGCUGAUAAAAUAAGCAACCUCUAAUAUGCGGAUGAAAUAAGCUAAUGAUUACAAAAGAAGCUUACUCAGUAUUUGGUAAUUUUGAUUACGAAUUUAUAUAUUAGCGUUUAUAAAAAAAAAGUAAGAUAAAAUUAUUCUUUUCUUAAAAUAUUAAAGUUAUAAUAGAACCUUUAAAAAAUAUGGCAUUUUGUUUAAUAAGUUACUUUAAUAAGUUGCUUAUAAAACAUAAUCUCAUACUUGUUUUAAAAGCUAUUGUCAAAAUGGAGAAAAUAUGAAUUAAACUUUUAACAAAUUUACCAAACAUCAUUUUUAUCAAAACUUAUAAAAUAAGUUGUUUAUAGUAUUUCAAUCAUAAUCCCAAAUAGGACAUUAGUCUUUGUUCAGAAUAAGGUUAGGCAUUGAAUACGUGUACACGCAUAAACUAAAAUAUCUAGACUGAAGAAACAGCUUGACUUAAUAAGUCUACUUCAUUCUUUAUUUUCCACAGCAUGUGUCACGAGUAAGUUCCAAAUAAUUGCUAACUAGGAGAAGAAGUCUUUAAAGUCAAGGUGAUUAGAUUCGCAUGUUACGGAAUUACGUAUCGGAGGGGUUCCCUGCUCUCCACUUAAAAAGAUGCCUUAAAAAGUUAAAUAUUAAAUAAUACGGCAUUUUUAAAUUUAAAAAAUUGUAAAAUAUAUAUAAAAAAUUAAAAAUUAAAAAAAAAAAACUUUUUUUUAAGUGCGUGGAGGUUUGAACGGCAACUACAGGAUCGCUUCACGAUGAACUUCAGAUGUGCAAGACUAAGGCAGGCCUAGCACGAUUUGGGCCAACAUUCGUAAACUCAGGAAGGGGGACGGAAGAGAGAGCAUUUUGGUUUAUAUUUUACUCAUAUACACACGAGUAAUUAUAUACAAACCUUUCAUGCCUUAACUAACUUUUUCACGUGGGACAAAUGUAUUUUCCUUUAAUUUUCCAAUUCCAUGAAUUUAAUUUGAGUAACAAUUUCUCAUUUAUCCAAUUUGAUCAUGUAGAGAAAACCAUUAUGAAGUAUUUAUGGAGGAAUAUUUGAAACAAUUUUAACCUUUCACUUACACUAGGUAGGUCUGACUCAAAAUCACACCUCAAAUAGCCACUUGUGCUAUAUUUCUAACACUUUCUACUUCUUUUCCUUAUUUGAUUGCAUGCAAAAAAAUUGAGUGCAAUGAAAUUUUUAUCUUCUUUCGUCUAUGAUGUUUUGGUGUAAAAAAAAAAAAAAAUUAAAAUGGAUGUUAGGUAGCCCAUGAACUUCCAUAGUUUGUAUGUUACAAAAGGAGUUUUGUAACUAUUUUAAAAAAGAGUAAUGAUAUAGCCACAAUCUUUUAUACAAACUUAUCUUAUACAAACUGAUGUGACAUGAUAAAAUUGGUUAAAUUAAAUAUCUCUUGGCUCACAUGAUUUAUUUUCAUUAUUUUAUAUUUUCAUUCAAUCAAUAAAUUGAUGCCAUAUCAGUUUGUACAAAAUAAAUUUGUACAAGAGUUUAUGGCUGUAUCAUCACUCUAAAAAAUAAAGAGAUUAUUUUGAUUAUUUUGUCAAAUCACAGGAGUCUACACAUUCUUUUCUCUAUGGUUAUUUAUAAUAUUACACCUACACGUUUUUUUUAUACAAAUUAAAUUUAUACAAAGAUAUGGUUAGUUCUUGUUUAUUUUCCCAUGAGUCAUAAUUUACAACAACAAUUCUUUGAGCUUCUUUUUCUUUUUAUUAUUUUGGGUAAUAUUUAAUAUCUUAAUAAUGCUAUUAAUUAUUUCUAAUAUUUUCCAUAUUAUCUCAUGUUUCUGCAAUGUUGUUCAAAUAGAUCUACACCACACAAAUACAAGCCAAUAAGGUUAUAUCUCCAUGAUUGAAUCCAUCUAGAGAAGACCUUGACUCACACUCUUUGAAAACGCGUAUUGGAAAUUAACACCGGGAGGUUGAAAAACAAUUAAUUCUUAUAUAAACGCUUUGCUGAGAAUCAAAUGUAGCUCAAUCAACCGAAAACCAUUAUAAACAUGGCAUCAGCGUCCUCUGUUUCGAGACUGGUGGUCAUUAUAAUUUUAAUUAAUGUUGGUACUAUAAGUGAUACGACGAUAUCUGUAACAGCAUCAGCUGCUGCAGGAUUAUUGUCGUCACCCAUACAGUUAGAAAGGAAAGCUUUACUUGCUACGGGCUGGUGGGUCAACAUUUGGCCGACGGGCAACCACACGUCCGAUCCUUGUAAGUGGACUGGCAUCAGUUGCAAUUCAGCGGGAAGCGUAAUCGGGGUCAACUUACUCUGGUAUGAAAAUGAUAACAUCAACGGAGAGCUUGGUCGUUUCAACUUCUCUUGCUUUCCCAACCUCAAAAGUUUCAAAAUUCAUUCAAAUUAUCUUCUCUCUGGGAGCAUUCCAUCCGAAAUUGCUGCCGUUUCAAUGCUCCAAACUCUUGAACUGCCCUCCAACAAUCUUACCGGUAUGCUACGAAACUUCACUAUAUAUAUGUAUGUAUGUAUGUAUGUAUGAAGUCGUGCUCAUGCUUGAAGCAGGCGUCUGUUUUUACAACACUGAAGAAGUUUUUUUUUAUGAGGAUUUCUUUAUAAAUUUUAUUUGCUAUGAGGAUAGUGAAUACUGAUCUCGUUUUUUAUAAAUCACAUGCGCAACAGGAAUUAUCCCUUCAGAGAUGGGGAGAUUGAGGAAGCUCGUCCACCUGGAUCUAUCUGAUAAUUACCUCUCAGGAUAUAUCCCUCCAACUCUUGGUCGUCUAAGCAAAUUGGAAAAUUUGAACCUGUCUUCUAACGGCCUUGAUGGUAAUAUCUCUCCAACUCUUGGUCGUCUAAGCACAUUUUUGUUGUGUGAAAGUGAAACUGUAUAAUAAAUUUCUACAUCUUUGUUUAUUACUUCGGUAGUGUUUUAAUUUGGAGAAUAUGCUGGUUGGCUUUUUUUCCUUCAAUUUUUGUAUGAAAUGAAUCGGCUUCAAGUGUCAGUUUCUUUUCCAAAUUGCAUCCAUCAAUUGCAAUUGUUACAUUGGGCGAUUACAAGUUGUACGUAAUUAUUAAGGAAGGCACGUUUAAGCAUUUUUGGUUUGUACGUUUUCCUCCUUUUUUUUCCCCUUUGCAUUAAAAAUCAUGGUUAUCCUAUAAAAGAUAUGAUUACAAAUUAAAAGCACUAUUUCUAAUUUCACACAUACACAGUUCCUUAUUAAUUUAUUAAAUUUACUUUUGUAUUUACAGGAUAGGGUAGUCAAUUGAGAGCACUGAGAGUGAUUCUCUCUAAUCUCCAUAAUUUUGUAUUAAUUUAUUGAUAUAUUUGUUGCAUCUGCAGAUUUAACUUUCAGUCUAAAAUAUGCAGCAUUGACGAGCCCCAAAAAAAAAAAAGAAAAAAAAAACUAUUGGAGCACUAAAAAAUCUAUUAAUUUUUACAACCUAAGCAUUUCUUUAUAAAUUUUAUUUCUAUGAGGAUAGUGAAUACUGAUCUCGUUUUUCAUAAAUCACAUGCGCAACAGGAAUUAUCCCUUCAGAGAUGAGGAGAUUGAGGAAUCUCGUCCACCUGGAUCUAUCUUUUAAUUGCCUCUAUGGAUAUAUACCUCCAACUCUUGGUCGUCUAAGCAAAUUGGAAAAUUUGAACCUGUCUUGUAAUGCCCUUGAUGGUAAUAUCCCUCCAACUCUUGGUCGUGUAAGCAAAUUGAAAAAUUUGAACUUGUCUGCUAACUCUCUUGCUGGUAAUAUCCCCCCCACUCUAGGUCAUCUAACCCAUCUAACUACUUUGGCUAUUGCUUGGAACCAAAUUAAUGGUUCCAUCCCAUUAAGAAUCGGGAGUUUGAAGGCUCUUCAAGUUCUUGACUUGUCCAUAAAUGAAAUUGAAGGUUCAAUUCCUUCAACACUUGGCCAUUUAAAGAGAUUGAGAAGUUUAGACUUGUCCGGUAACAAUCUUGUUGGUCCAAUCCUUUCGUCUGUGGGUCAUUUGACUCGGCUAACAACUUUUGAUAUGCACUCAAACCGAAUCAAUGGUUCCAUCCCAUUAGAAAUCGGAAAUUUGAACUUUCUUCAAGUUCUUGACCUCUCCUACAACAAACUUGAAGGUUCAAUUCCUUCGACCAUAGCUAGUUUAGUCAACCUAACAUCUUUGUUCUUGUGCAAUAAUAGUCUAACUGGAUCUAUUCCUUCAACACUUGGUCGUUUAAACAGGUUGACAAGUUUAGACUUGUCCGGUAACAAUCUUUUUGGUCCAAUCCCUUCGUCUGUGGGUCAUUUGACUCAGCUGACAACUUUUGAUAUGCACUCAAACCGAUUCAAUGGUUCCAUCCCAUUAGAAAUCGGAAAUUUGAACUUUCUUCAAGUUCUUGAUAUGUCCCACAACAAACUUGAAGGUUCAAUUCCUUCGACCAUAGCUAGUUUAGUCAACCUAACAUCUUUGUUCUUGUGCAAUAAUAGUCUAACUGGAUCUAUUCCUUCAACACUUGGUCGUUUAAACAGGUUGACAAGUUUAGACUUGUCCGGUAACAAUCUUGUUGGUCCAAUCCCUUCGUCUGUGGGUCAUUUGACUCAGCUAACAACUUUUGAUAUGCACUCAAACCGAUUCAAUGGUUCCAUCCCAUUAGAAAUCGGAAAUUUGAACUUUCUUCAAGUUCUUGAUCUGUCCCACAACAAACUUGAAGGUCCAAUUCCUUCGACCAUAGCUAGUUUAGUCAACUUAACAUCUCUGUUUCUGUGCAAUAACAGUCUAACUGGAUUUAUUCCUUCAACACUUGGUCAUUUAAAUAGGUUGACAAGUUUAGACUUGUCCGGUAACAAUCUUGUUGGUCCAAUCCCUUCGUCUCUGGGUCAUUUGACUCAGCUAAUAACUUUUGAUUUGCACUCAAACCGAAUCAAUGGUUCCAUCCCAUUAGAAAUCGGGAAUUUGAAACAUGUUGAAGAUGUGUACCUAUUCAACAACAAACUUGAUGGUCCAAUUCCUCCACAACUCAUGAAUUGCUCAAAGCUGGGGGAAUUACGUUUGGGAAACAACUUGUUAAGGGGAAGCAUCCCGUUAGAGAUCGGCAAACUUAAAGAACUAUAUUAUCUUGAUCUGAGCCAUAACUCCAUUAAUGGUAAAAUACCUUCCCAGCUUGGAGAAAUUCCACGCAUAGAUACCGUGAACCUUUCCAUGAAUAACCUCUCUGGUAGUAUCCCUGAAUCUGUCAUAAUUGUGCCACACUUAUAUGUGUCAGGCAACAAUUUGGAGGUAGAAAUCCCAAAUACUUCGGCAUAUGCGCCACCGCCACAACAGUCUGAAGGCAAUAAAGACAAGCACAAAAAGAUUGCCACUCGAUUGGUUGCAAUUGUUCUUCCUAUGGUCGCAUUGCUUGCCUUGAUAUUCGGAAUCUUGUUUGUCCAUAGACGAAGGGAUAAGAAAGUUGAACCAGUUGAGACAGGAGAAAUCACCAAGUGCGCUGAUGAGUUUGCAAUUUGGAAUUACGAUGGUAGAAUUACAUUUCAAGACAUGAUUGAAGCUACUGAGGAUUUCCAUAUCAAAUACUGCAUUGGAACCGGGGGCUACGGCAGCGUUUACCGAGCACGACUGCCCAGUGGAAAAGUAGUUGCUUUGAAGAAGCUUCACCGUUCAGAAACUGAGGAGUUAGCUUCCCUCGAGAGUUUCCGGAAUGAGGCUCGUCUACUGUCCCAAAUACGGCAUCGAAAUAUCGUAAAGCUUUACGGGUUUUGUUUGCACAGGAAAUGCAUGUUCUUAAUCUAUGAGUACAUGGAAAUGGGAAGCUUGUUCAUUGUUCUGCGCACAGAUGGGGAAGCUGUGGGGUUGGAUUGGGCUAAAAGGGUGAACGUUGUGAAGGGCAUGGCUCAUGCUUUGUCAUACUUGCAUCAUGACUGCACACCACCAAUUGUUCACCGGGACAUAUCAAGCAACAACGUUCUACUCAACUCAGAAUUGGAAGCAUUUGUUGCCGACUUUGGCGUUGCUAGAUUAUUAAAUUUUGACUCAUCCAAUCGAACUCUAUUGGCUGGCACUUAUGGAUAUAUUGCUCCAGGUAAUCUUCUAGCUAUUCUUCUUGUGCUUCUUUAAUUAUUCUUUUAAUUAAUUUCCAUAUGCACUUUGUUAAGUAAGUUUUAAGCAGUUUUAUUUAGUUAGCUACUUAGGUUCGAAUUUUGGAAUAAGUAAGGUGCUGAAAGAUAAAUUUGAACUUUGCCUACCCGUUUAACUUUUUUUUAAAAAAAAAAAAUUACACAGUUUAAAAAUCAAUUAAAAAAAUAUGUUUCUCUGUCAUACCUUGCUGCAGAAGCUCAAAAAUAUAAACAAAUUGCUCUUGUUAUUGUUUAUGGAAACAUCACUAAUAAAGGCUUCUGUUUUCAUACAGAACUUGCCUACACCAUGGUUGUGACGGAAAAAUGUGAUGUUUAUAGCUUUGGAGUGGUGGCACUAGAAGUACUAAUGGGAAAGCAUCCAGGAGAGCUCCUCUCAUCGUCAUCUUGGUCAUUGGAUAAAAAUAUUAAGCUAAUUGAUUUGCUGGACCCACGCCUCUCACCUCCGGUGGAUCAAAAGAUUAGGCAGGAUAUCAUUCUUGUUUCAACAGUAGCAUUUUCAUGCUUGCGUUCUCAACCAAAGUCUCGACCUACAAUGCAACUCGUGUCCAACGAAUUUAUCGCUCGCAAUAAGGCACCAAUGCAAAAACCUUUUCAUGAAAUUUCAAUUUUGGAGCUUAGAAACCAAGAAAUGUAUUUGGUUGAUUAAUGUGAUAUCUAAUUAUGGAUACGUAUAUUUAACUGUUCAUGUAUGUGAUGGGAUUGCUUCUAAUCCUAAUGGAAUUUUCCAAUAAAGGUGACUGUUAAUUGGUUCUGAUGAAAUUAUUAAGUAGUAGCAAUGUAGCAAAUAUUAUGUGUUCGACGAAUUGUCUCCCUUAGUAUUAUUAAUUCUAUUUACACGUUCACUUCCUAUACAUGUUGAAUUGCAAUUAAACGAAUGUGCAAACUACGACAUUAAUCUCUCUGGUAAAGCUAGUGCUGAUAAAAUAAGGUCUGUCUGAUUGUCUCCCUCUGAAUGAGCUGAAUUAAACAGGAUUUUAAGGAAUUUAAGGUUGUAUCUCUACGAGUUAAAAGGGUAAAUUGUCAUUUUAAUUAUUAGUUUAUUUUACAAAUUAUAUAUAUAAACUUUCUCCAGAGCGAGGUUCUUGAUGUCACGUUACUUAAUAUAUUAGUUUCUUCACUCCUUUGUAAAUAUUCACACAAACAUAUAUAAUAAAUUUUUAAUUUAGCCGAUGCGAUCAAACAUCCUGGACCCACCGCUGAUGUUAGGAAGCUUCUGCACAAGUUGUGGUUAGUGAUGUCCCACCAACUGCCUGCCACCACAAGAUAAACUAAUGUAAGGUCAUGAUCAAGAAAAAUUUGCAUUGAGCCGAAGAGUCCAAUGUCAUAAUCAUGCAUCUAUGAAGUGCAAGAGUAGAGAACAACACACGAUCCCCAUUACAGUAUUGUUGCUUGCACUUAUAGGCUCCAUCAAUCAGUACCUUCAAAUCCAUAUAUAAUGAGAUGGAAGAAGGAACUUAAAUUUAUUAUUGUAAUUUUCAACUUUUAAAAUGAUAAAGUAAGUCGCGGCUGGUUCAUUGAAAUUUAAGACAUUCAAAAUGAAGUGCAAGAGCAAAAUAAAAGUUAAGAGCUUUACCUUCAGCAUAACAAGGAGUCUGCUGUAUCAGGCCGACUUUAUCUGCCUCUAUAGACCACCACCUCUUCAUCAUCAGCCUUCCCAAUAACACUUUCUGCUGUUUCUUCAUUUGAUUCUUCGACCACUACAGCUUCACCUUCAACAUCCUCGGUAGGCUCUGAUGGUGUCAUAAUUGUUGUGCUGGUGGUCAGGGGGACAGCUUCAUUAUUUUUCCUAGAUCCAUUUGUCAAACUUCACGACAGCAGAGUGAAUACCAACUUGACAAACUUCACACCAGAAUUCGAAAUUCUCUCUAAGAGGAAGUUUUCUCUUCAUCGUCUCUCCAGUCGGUAUUCCAUUUGUCAUCUUCUGAGUGUUUGCAUUCAAGUCCUUCUUCUUUAGCAGCUCCUUAUUUUUGUUCUCUGAAUCUUCUUCACUCUCCACUUUCUGGUCUAAACCAACAACAGUUUUAAUAGCUUUAACUGAUUCCUCUUCUACUUUAGCUUUCAUUUUUUGCCCAGCACUUUCUGGUCUUAACCCACUUUCUGGUCUACUUGUCUUUCCAGAAUCUUUUGAUGUCGAUGAAGAUGAGGUAGUGCACAUCUUCUGAGCUCCAAUUAGGUCCGCUUCCUCCGCCUUGUGCUUCUCACCUUGAAGAUGCUCAUCUUGACCGCCCUCCACUUUCUGGUCUAAAUCAACGAUAUUUUUAUUCGGUGUAACUGAUUCCUCUUCUAGAGUAGCCUUAAUUUCCUGGCCAGCACUAUCUCUGCUUUCAGUAGAGUUUUUUGAAGUGGAGUUACUGCACAUCUUCUCAUCUCCAAGUAGUCCUUCUUCCUGGCCUUGUGCUUCUUGCCGUGAAGAUGCUCAUCUAGAUCUCUUGUUAGAGUGCAAUUUAUGCACUAAUUUUGCAUUGUUUACUUCUCUUAAUAUCGAUGUUUUGCACUAAAUAAUAAUGAUUUACUUGUGUUUUACUUUUGUAGGUGCAAUUCUAUUGAUUUGUGAUAAAAUUGAGCUAUAAGAUGAUGUUUAAAGAUGAUUGUUCUCUUGGAGAAAUUAUGAGCGGCAGAAGAACUUUGUUGAUAAGGCGUGGGCGCGUGCUGUCAACUACGGACCUGCAGUUUUUAGUUUAACGUGUUUUGUAUUUUUGGUUAUUUUUGUAAUUACGAAUUUAAUAUUUCAAAUAUUAGUAUUUUAUUUUAAAUAGAAUUCUAGAGAAGAAGAGAGAGAGAGUAUUUAAGGGAGGAAUCUAUUGUGAAAAAGGCAGAUUUGGAUUGGAGAAAAAGAAAGAAACCCUAGAUCUUAAUUUUUCUCUUCUCUCUAUGAAGAACUAAACCUAUUUUUUUGGUUGAAGGAUAAUGAAGCUUUGAUUCAUCACUACUGUGAGAUCUUUCUUGUGCUUUAAUUGUUUUAUUGCUUUUUGGGUAUUUAUUUAUUCUCUGAAUUAUUUUCAUGAUUAUGUUUGUUAAUUAGGUAAUUGGCCACUAUUUAAUUAUCAACUUAAUUUAUUGUCAAUUAAAGGAUUCAUCGUAUGAAGAAUUUAAUGUUUGUGACAAAUAACAUAGCAGAGAGUUGUGUUGUGAGAAUAAACAAUCUAAUUUAAAUGAAUCAUCAUAUGUGUUGAUUAGGAUUUGGGUCUCUCUGAUUUUUCAGGCUGUCAAUUGAUUAAAUCCUAUGAUCGUAUCUAGGGUUGUCUAUUGAUUAGGGAAAUAACCAACGGUCGUACCUUGGUUAUCGACUAGUUAAGGAGAGAUUUGCUAUUAGAGGGUCUCAGUAGCUAUAACCGGUCUAUUCAUAAGUAAUAAUAAUCUAUAUUUGAAUCAAUGAUCAGUAGUCGAAUCAAGCUGAGUUAAUUCCUUCAACCAGAGCUUUCUCCAAUUUGAAUCACAACUUUAAUUUACAUUCUCGUUAUUUUAAUUUGAUUUUUAUUAUUGUCAACAAUUCUCCCAUUUUACGUUUUAUGUUUCAAAAGGAUUUAAAUAAUUACCGAUCUCUGUGGACACGACCUUGCUCAAUCACUAUACACAAUUUAUUUAGAGUAGGAAUUUAUUUUUGUUGGCUUCGACACCCAUCAAAUUUUGGCGCCGUUGCCGGGGAUUGGUGUCAUUUAUUUAAUUAUUUUUACGUUUUACUUGGUGUAUGGUUCGUUCUUCUCGUACAGGUACACUUUCGUUUGAUCCUGAAAUUGAGAAGACAGCUCGCCAGCUGAGACAGCAGACAAAGCGAGCUAAGCAACGAUCCUCGUCGCCUUUGCUUUCUGAAACAGAUACGGUGCCUGAUUUAGUUGAAUCAUCUAGCGAUUCAGAAGAACAAGUGAUGGAUAGAGCUGCACCUGUAGAAAGAACUCUUAGAGAGUUAGCUGAACCAGACUUGAAUCAACAACCACUCUGCAUUCAAUAUGUAGACUUGGAGGUAAAUUUUGAAUUAAAGUCUGGUCUUAUUCAUUUAUUACCCAAGUUUCAUGGUUUUGCAGGUGAAGAUCCUCAUAAACAUCUUAAGGAGUUUCAUGUUGUGUGUUCAAGUAUGAGACCACAAGGCGUGACUGAAAAGCAGAUUAAGCUGCGUGCUUUUCCGUUCUCUGUAGAUGGGCUAGCUAAAGACUGGUUGUAUUACUUGCCUCCUGGAUCGAUUACAACGUGGAAUGAUUUGAAGAAGCAGUUCCUCGAGAAGUACUUUCCUGCUUCAAGAGCUGCCAACAUAAAAAAAGACAUUUGUGGGAUUAGACAACUUCCUGGGGAGACUUUGUAUGAGUAUUGGGAGCGAUUCAAACAAUUGUGUGCCAGCUGUCCUCAGCAUCAGAUUUCUGAUCAACUUCUUAUUCAAUAUUUUUACGAAGGACUAUCAUUGAUGGAUAGAAGUAUGAUAGAUGUUGCUAGUGGAGGCGUGUUGGUGAACAAGACUCCUACUCAAGCAAGGGAGUUGAUAUCAAAUAUGGCUGCCAACGCACAACAAUUUGGCAGCAGGCAAGAUCCCACUUCAAGGAAGGUGAAUGAGGUAAAUAUUUCUUCUGUUGAACAACGUUUAGAUAAACUCACUUCUCUUGUGGAAAAGUUUGUUGUAGGUAAUGUGCAACAGGUGAAGACUUGUGGUAUUUGUUACAAUAUGGGUCAUUCAACUGAUAUGUGUCCUACACUUCAAGAAGAACCCGUUGAACAAGCCAAUGCAGUUGGAGGAUUUCCAGGCAUGCCUCAGAGGAGGUAUGAUCCUUAUGCACAAACAUACAAUCCGGGAUGGAAAGAUCAUCCCAACUUCAGCUAUGGAGUUAGGCCGUCAGGAUUCCCACAACAGUAUCCACCAAGACAACCAGCACCUCCACAGUCAACCUCCAAGUCAGGUAUAUCUCUUGAAGAAAUUGUUAAAUCGCUUGCGACUAACACUCAACAAUUUCAGCAGGCAACUACAACAAGCAUUCAGAACUUGGAGAACCAAAUGAGUCAAUUGGCGACUACAGUGAGCCGUCUAGAGUCUCAAGUAUUAGGGAGAUUGCCUUCACAAUCUGAGGUGAAUCCAAAGCAAAACGUUAGUGCUGUCAUCCUUAGAAGUGGGAAGGAGUUGCAAGAGCCUAGUAAGAAAGUGACAGAGCAUGUAGAAGAUGAGCUUGAGAAGAAUGAAUUGAUGCCUCAAUCUCAAGAUGCACAACCCACCAGAGCGAAACCCCUACCUAUUGUGAUACCUCCUCCUUUUCCAAGCCGGUUUGCAAAAUCCAAGAAGGAGGAACAAGAUAAAGACAUCAUUGAGACAUGUCGCAAGGUUGAGGUAAAUAUCCCUUUAUUAGAUGCUAUAAAAUAAAUACCUCGAUAUGCUAAAGUCCUUAAGGAACUAUGCACCUCUAAGAGAAAAUUAAGAGGAGAUGAAAAAGUUCAUAUGGGGGAGAAUGUUUCAGCAGUUCUCCAAAAGAAACUACCUCCUAAGUGCAAGGAUCCAGGUAUGUUUACUAUCCCUUGCAAAAUUGGUAAUGUCAAAGUUGAAAAGGCUAUGUUAGAUCUAGGAGCUUCUAUUAAUGUCAUGCCUCGUUCCAUUUAUUCAUCUUUGAAUGUUGGUCCAUUAAAAGAAACUGACGUGAUAAUUCAACUAGCCGAUAUGUCUAAUGCAUAUCCUGAUGGGGUAUUAGAAGAUGUCCUAGUACAAGUUAAUGAGUUGGUUUUUCCUACUGAUUUUUAUGUACUUGAUAUGGAAGAGGAUAACUUCUCUAAUUCUGUCCCAAUUUUGCUAGGAAGACCUUUUCUUAAGACUGCUAGGACUAAAAUGGAUGUACAUAAAGGGACUCUCACUAUGGAAUUUGAUGGAGAGGUUAUAGAAUUCAAUAUGAAUGAUGCCAUGAAAUAUCCUAGUGAGGAACAUUCGGUAUUUUCUGUGGAUGUUAUUAACCCUAUACCGCAGGAAGUUUUUUUCAAGGAAAAGACGAAGACAUUUCAUGAUAGAAUGAUUUUGAGAAAGGAGUUCUCUGUUGGUCAAAAAGUUCUUCUUUUUCAUUCUAAGCUUAAACUUUUUCCAAGUAAAUUACGUUCUUGCUGGGUUGGACCUUUUAUUGUUACUAAUGUUUUUCCUCAUGGUGCAGUUGAGAUUCGGAGUCCGACCUCUGACAAAGUUUUUGAAGUUAACGGUCAUCGUUUAAAACCUUUUUAUGAAGGUUUUUUGGUGAAUAUUGUGGAGGAAAUGGCUCUCGAGGGUCCUAUUUAUGGAGAUUGAUGCAUAAAUGUGUCUAGCCAAAGACAUAAAACAAAGACGCUUUUUGGGAGGCAACCCAAAUGAUUUGUUUAUUUUGGUUUUUGUUUUAUCGUCUUUUAGUUUUGAUUCAAAUUUAAAAAAAAAAAAAAAUUUUUGUGUUUGCUUAUUUUGGUCAGAAGUAAAAUAGUUUUAAGACGUGCCCACGUGCUUAUUAAAAAAGUACUUCUGAAAUUUUUGGUGUCUCAAAGUGAUUCAUCACUAAAAAAAUAAAAAAAUUAAUAAUUUACUGUUCACAAAAUUCCUAAUUUUCCAGAUCUUGUUUUCUUCUCCAGCCGCUUGCAGCACACCAGCAGCAAACCAGCCUGCCGGAAAACGCACCACCCCGCGCGCGCAGCACCAGCAUCCCGUGUCUCGCAAGUCCAACCAGCGCACAACGCAAGCCCCAGCAGCGCGCAACGUAAGCCCCAGCUGCGCGCGCAGCGCGAACCAGCCCCAGCCCGAGCACGCAACCCAACAAGCGUCACCAGCGCAGCACCAGCAAUCCCCCAGUGCACAGCAACAGCCGCAGUACGCAGAUCCAGCAUCACCAGUUCGCAGCAUCAGUCCCAGCCCGCACGCGCAACACAACCAGCACCAACCCGCGCAGCACAACCAUCCGCGCGCAACUGAACCAACAGCCGUGUACCCGCAAGCUCCAGUCGAGCAGCAAUAGUCCGCAACCAGCCUACGACCUGCAUUCCAGCCGCGUGAAUCGAAAUCCGUGACAAGAUGGAGCAGAAUUUGGCCGCAUACUUCAAGAGUGUGGGAUUUAUCCCACCAUUCCCGCCAAGCCCAUAGACGUUAUGAGGAUCAAAGUUCACAAUUCAGGGAAGUUUUUGCCUUUAAUCUUUUAUCCUUACGCUUUAAUUUUUAUGUGAGCUUUAAUUAUCUUACAUUGGGGACAAUGUAAGUUCUUGGUGUGGGGGAGGGAUUUUUGCAUUAUUGAUGUCUGGAAUUAUUAUUUUCACUCUACUCAUCCUUAAAUGAUUUUGGAGUUAGUAUGCUUCAUAUAUUAUUAUUUUUCUUUUCUUUUCUUUCUCAUCACUCACAUUUUAUCUUUCACUUUUCAUAUUACUACAUACAUCUUUCUCACUUCUUAUCAUUUUUACCUUUUCUUCACUCAUACCUUCUUCUCAUUCUACACCACUAUUGAUGGUUGAUUCAUUUGAAGAGUGUACAUGAUUUGAUGGCAAAUUUACCAACUUUGUGAGGAUUUGAGCCUAUGAGCAACCACUUUGCUCUAAUUAUUUUUAUUAUGUGAAUAUCAAUCUUAGUUUGUUUAUUCUAGAACUUGCUUUGUUAUGCAUGUUGAAGCCACAUUACGGAAUUUUUUGCAUUAAAAUGAUAAGGGUAAACCAUUUACCAUUUUUCUAUUCUCGCAUUUUUUUUUUCUCUACCUGAAGACCUUGAUUUACUAUCUUUGUUUGAGCUUUAACCAUUACCCAUCUAAUUCUCUCCAUCUACUUAACCAUUUUUCUUCUUUUUGAGCCUCAAUUUUAAGGAGAUUUUUGGACUCAUUGUGUUGAUAUAUUUUGUUGCUUUUUCUACCUUGUAUUAAAGUUUCUCAAUUAGAUCAACAAGCAUUAUGCUUGAAUUAAAUUGUGCAAGGUUCGUUUCUUUUGUUUGAUUAAAAAAAAAAACAACAACAAAAAGAAAAAAAAAAAGAAAAAGAAAAAUCGAAAAAAAAGAAAAAAAAAAAGAGAAAAAGAAAAAUCGAAAAAAAAGAAAAAAAGAAAAAUCGAAAAAAAAGAAAAAAAAAGAAAAAAAAAAGUUUACAUUCUUGGUGACUUGAGUAGAAAUAAGCAUUUUGAUAUUAUAAAUUCAUUCAAUGAGUUCAUUCUUCUCAUUUUGAUCUCUUUUUCUCUUUCAUAGACCUUUCUUUUUCAUUUAACCUAUUUAACCCCAUUACAACCCUUUUAAGACCCUUAGAUUUUUGCAUUUUCUUCAUGUUUUGUGGAUUGAGAUGUGAUAUAUGAGCAAGCUUAUGGUAAUAGCAUUCUUUGAUUUGAUUUGAGUGAAUACAUGACACCCUAAACACUUUGAGUGCAUAGAGUGAAGUUAUUGAGACUAUUAAAUUUUGUUGCACUUGAAUUUUGAAUGGAUCUUCUUGGUGGUUGAAUGUUCUUAUUCUAUCUUAUGAAAUUCUUUGCUCUAAAAUCCUUGUCUCUCGAAUGUUGAUCGACUUAAUUUCUUGAUGUAUGCUUGCUUAAAAUUAUUUUUGGAUGAGUUGAGAUGAAAAUUGAGUGGAGAUUUGGGAUUAGUCUUGAGUUAUAUGCUUGAGGACAAGCAUCAUCUUGGUGUGGGGGAUUUUGUUAGAGUGCAAUUUAUGCACUAAUUUUGCAUUGUUUACUUCUUUUAAUAUCGAUGUUUUGCACUUAAUAAUAAUGAUUUACUUGUGUUUUACUUUUGUAGGUGCAAUUCUAUUGAUUUGUGAUAAAAUUGAGCUAUAAGAUGAUGUUUAAAGAUGAUUGUUCUCUUGGAGAAAUUAUGAGCGGCAGAAGAACUUUGUUGAUAAGGCGUGGGCGCGUGCUGUCAACUACGGACCUGCAGUUUUUAGUUUAACGUGUUUUGUAUUUUUGGUUAUUUUUGUAAUUACGAAUUUAAUAUUUCAAAUAUUAGUAUUUUAUUUUAAAUAGAAUUCUAGAGAAGAAGAGAGAGAUAGUAUUUAAGGGAGGAAUCUAUUGUGAAAAAGGCAGAUUUGGAUUGGAGAAAAAGAAAGAAACCCUAGAUCUUAAUUUUUCUCUUCUCUCUAUGAAGAACUAAACCUAUUUUUUUGGUUGAAGGAUAAUGAAGCUUUGAUUCAUCACUACUGUGAGAUCUUUCUUGUGCUUAAUUGUUUUAUUGCUUUUUGGGUAUUUGUUUAUUCUCUGAAUUAUUUUCAUGAUUAUGUUUGUUAAUUAGGUAAUUGGCCACUAUUUAAUUAUAAACUUAAUCUAUUGUCAAUUAAAGGAUUCAUCGUAUGAAGAAUUUAAUGUUUGUGACAAAUAACAUAGCAGAGAGUUGUGUUGUGAGAAUAAACAAUCUAAUUUAAAUGAAUCAUCAUAUGUGUUGAUUAGGAUUUGGGUCUCUCUGGUUUUUCAGGCUGUCAAUUGAUUAAAUCCUAUGAUCGUAUCUAGGGUUGUCUAUUGAUUAGGGAAAUAACUAACGGUUGUACCUUGGUUAUCGACUAGUUAAGGAGAGAUUGGCUAUUAGAGGGUCUCAGUAGCUAUAACCGGUCUAUUCAUAAGUAAUAAUAAUCUAUAUUUGAAUCAAUGAUCAGUAGUUGAAUCAAGCUGAGUUAAUUCCUUCAACCAGAGCUUUUUCCAAUUUGAAUCACAACUUUAAUUUACAUUCUCGUUAUUUUAAUUUGAUUUUUAUUAUUGUCAACAAUUCCCCCAUUUUACGUUUUACGUUUCAAAAGGAUUUAAAUAAUUACCGAUCUCUGUGGACACGACCCUGCUCAAUCACUAUACACAAUUUAUUUAGAGUAGGAAUUUAUUUUUGUUGGCUUCGACACCCAUCAUCUCUCUUGCUAGUGGUACUGACCUGACAGAGGCAACAACUCCAAUCCAUGGGUUUCUUUGAACUCGUCAACAGGAGCUAUCCAGAACCUGCUGGUAGUGUGGCAGCUUCCUGCUUUGAUCCACAAAGAUUGGGAUAGGGCUUAACCUGCUGGGCUUGACAACCCUCCUCUUUCUGGUCUAAACCAACAACAGUUCUAUUAGCUUUAACUUAUUCCUCUGCUGCUUUAUUCUUCAUUUCUUGGCCAGCACUAUCUCUGCUUUCUGUAGAUUUUUUUAUCCACUUCUGAGCUCCAAGUAGUUCUUCGUCCUUGGCCUUCUGCUUCUUACCUUGAGGAUGCUUAUCUACACCAACCUCCCCUUUCUGGUCUAGGCCAAUAACAGUUUUUUAGCUUUAACUGAUUCCUCUUGUACUUUAGUGUUCAUUUCUUGGCCAACACCAUCUCUGCUUUCAGUAUAUUUUUCUGACGUGGAUGAAGUGGAGUUACUGCACAUUUUCUUAUCUCUAAGUAGUCCUGAAACCUUGGCCUUAUGCUUCCUACCUUGAAGAUGCUCAUCUAGACCUCUCUUGGUAGUAGCACUGACCCGACAGAGGGCACAACUCCACUCCUUGGGUUUGUUAGAAUUCGUCGAAGGAAGCUCUCCAAAACCUGCAGGUGGUGCGGUAGCUUUCUGAUUUGAUCGACAAAGAUUGGAAUUGGGCUUAACCUGCAGGGUUUGACCUUCCUCCACUUUCUGGUCUAAACCAACAACAGUUUUAUUACCUUUAAGUGAUUCCUUUUCUACAUUAGACUUCAUUUCUUGGUCAGUACUAUCUCUGCUUUCCGUAUAUUUUUUUGAAGUGGAGUUAAUGCACAUCUUCAAAUCUCUAAGUAGUUUUUCCUUGGCCUUGUGCUUCUUACCUUGGAGAUGCAGGUCUAGAUCUCUCUCGGUAGUAGCAUUGACCUGACAGAGGGCACAACUCUACUCCUUGGGUUUGUUUGAACCCGCUGAAGGAAGCUCUCCAGUACCUGCAAGUGGAGUGGCAGCUUUCUACUUUGAUCCACAGGUAUUGGAAUCAGGCUGAGGCUGGAAAUGAUACAGAAACCAUUAUGCCUUAUAUUAGUUAUCACAUCAAUGGUAAAAAUGAAAAAAAUUCCCAGUGAGCUCCAUCAUUUGCUAUUGUAGUACAGAUGAAAGAAUUUGUUUACAAAAUCGUUAAUACAACCAGAAUCCUUGUUAAUUAACAACAUUUCCAGCACUGAACUAGGAAAAUCUUUCCUUCCAAAAAACAGAAAAAAAAGGAUUAUGUUUGAAUAGGAUUCUGAAAGACUUUCUUAAUAAUCUGGACUAGAAGAGAUGACAUUAACACUUACGAGCAUUAUAAUUCAUAAUUUGAGGAAACACCAUUUCAAUGGAGCCUCCAGCCCAACGCACAUACACAAAGACAAGCAAUAAAAUUUAAAAUAAGAAAUUACCAGGAAAAAGAAACAUCAGAAAUCAAUCUGUACAAGUUCAUAUGACACUUCAUGGUAAACAUAUGUAACCUCUCUUGGAACCUUAGCUUGCGAGAAGCCACAUUUGCUCCGGGUUUUCGUUCAAAAAAGGUUUCAGACACACAUUGAUUCCAGGCUGUGGGGGAUCAUAUGUCCUCACAGCCAAAUUUUAAAGCCACAUACAUUGGCAUUUGCACGCAUAGUCAAGAGUUGCGCAACUCUCUCGUCUACUUGAGUUGACCACGCAAACUGAACUUGCGAACUUUGACCAACAUAAAUAACCAAAUGCUAUGAUGUUUGGAACUAAAUCAAGAUAGUGAGUCCAAAUGUACUCCCCAACAAACUUGUCACCUGGGCAUCAAGACCAAGUCUUUUGGCACUAAGAGUGGACAUGGGAAUCUCUAAGCAACGACCUCCUAAUAACAUACAAAUCCAGGUUACUGAUAAUGCUCAUCGAUUUAAAGGCUUACAAGUUUACAAAGAAGUAAGUAAAGAAUUUGAUAAUAAUUGAAACAGAGUUCGAACGGAUCAAUAAUAAUAAAGAUAAAUUUAAUCUAUAAUAUCAACUAAAAAGUUGUGAUAUAUAUAUUUUUUUCUAAUUUGAUUUUUUGUGCAGCAUCAGUUCUGUGGAAAAUCGGUGCCUUUUGUAUCAAGUAAAGAUGCCCUACAGAAUGCAACUCUUCGUGGAUAUUUCAACUCUGCUCAAGCCUUUGGCUGAUUAUGCGGAGAUUCUCUUACACAUCAAGAAAAAUUUAUCGGCCGAAAUGUCUCCCAUUAUCGUUGUCGGAGCAUCUUAUGGAGGAUCUUUUGAUUGACAUCAUGUCAUCUGUCACCUUAUUUUAAAUAUUUGACUAAAAUCUGGAUUACGCCUCAAUUAUUAUGAUACAAUUUUAUUUUAUAUUCCUACUAACAGAUACUCUUUGAGAGUUACUCGUGUGGGUUUGUUAUUGUUAUCAUCAGUGCUCGCUGCAUGGUUUCGCUUGAAGUAUCCUCAUAUUGCUUUAGGAGCAGUUGCCUCUUCAGCCCCAAUUCUCUACUUUGAUAAUAUCACACCAUCGAACGCAUAUUAUGAUCUUGUCAGCAAGGAUUUUAGGGUAAGAAAAUAAUAUUAAUUAAUUAAAAUUCUAUAUAUGUAUGAUUAUAUUUUCUUGUUAAAAUUUGACUAUUGAAUUUUGAAUACUAAUGAUGCAGGAAGCUAGUGAGAGUUGCUACAAGACCAUCAAACAGUCCUGGGCUGAAAUCGAUGAAGCCGCUGCUGGAAAAAAAUGGACUUACUGUUCUCUCUUAAAAGUUCAAAACCUGCAAGUAAUUGAAUCAUAUUACUUUUAUAACUGCCGAUAUAUAUCCAUCUGAUUUUCCUUUAAUUACAGUGCAAUGUUAUUGUAGUAUCAUUACAUAACUGUCUAUAUAUAUCCAAUUAAUGAUCUGUCAUCCUCAAGGUAUAUUUACAUUUCAGUUAAUGUGUAAUAUACGUACAUAGUAAAAUCUGGCAUUUUAUUUAAUAAGUUGCUUAUAAAAAACAAUCUCAUACUUAUUUUAAGAGUUAUUGUCAAAAUGGAGAAAAUAUGAAUUAAACUUUUAACAAAUUUAUCAAACAUCAUUUUUAUCAAAACUUAUAAAAUAAACUACUUAUAGUAUUUCAACCAUAAUUCCAAAUAGGACAUUAGGCUUUGUGCAGAAUAAAGUUAGGCAUUGAAUAUUUGUACACGUAUAAACUAAAUAUCUAGAUUCUAGACUGAAGAAACAACUUGACUUUCAUUCUUUGUUUUCCACAGCAUAUGUCAAGACGUAAGUUCCAAAUAAUUGCUGACUAGGGGAAGCAGUCUUUAAAGUCAAGGUGAUUAGAUUAGCAUGUUUCGGCAUUACGUAUCGGAGGGGUUCCCUGCCCUCAAUGUAAAAAGAUGCCUUAAAAUUAAAUAUUUAAAUAAUAUGGUUGAUGGUUGUCGAAGCCAACAAAAAUAAAUUCCUACUCUAAAUAAAUUGUGUAUAGUGAUUGAGCAGGGUCGUGUCCACAGAGAUCGGUAAUUAUUUAAAUCCUUUUGAAACGUAAAACGUAAAAUGGGGGAAUUGUUGACAAUAAUAAAAAUCAAAUUAAAAUAACAAGAAUGUAAAUUAAAGUUGCAAUUCAAAUUAGAGAAAGCUCUGGUUGAAGGAAUUAACUCAGCUUGAUUCGACUACUGAUCAUUGAUUCAAAUAUAGAUUAUUAUUACUUAUGAAUAGACCAGUUAUAGCUACUGAGAUCCUCUAAUAGCCAAUCUCUCAUUAACUAGUCGAUAACCAAGGUACGACCGUUGGUUAUUUCCCUAAUCAAUAGACAACCCUAGAUACGAUCGUAGGAUUUAAUCAAUUGACAGCCUGAAAAACCAGAGAGACCCAAAUCCUAAUCAACACAUACGAUGAUUCAUUUAAAUUAGAUUGUUUAUUCUCACAACACAACUCUCUGCUAUGUUAUUUGUCACAAACAUUAAAUUCUUCAUACGAUGAAUCCUUUAAUUGACAAUAGAUUAAGUUGAUAAAUAAAUAGUGGCCAAUUACCUAAUUAACAAACAUAAUCAUGAAAAUAAUUCAGAGAAUAAACAAAUACCCAAAAAGUAAUAAAACAAUUAAAGCAUAAGAAAGAUCUCACAGUAGUGAUGAAUCAAAGCUUCAUUAUCCUUCAACCAGAAAAAUAGGUUUAGUUCUUCAUAGAGAGAAGAGAAAAGUUUAGAUCUAGGGUUUCUUUGUUUUUCUCCAAUCCCCCUUUUUCACAAUAGAUUCCUCUCUUAAAUACUCUCUCUCUCUUCUCCUCUAGAAUUCUAUUUAAAAUAAAAUACUAAUAUCUGAAAUAUUAAAUUCGUAAUUAUAAAAAUAACCAAAAAUACAAAACACGUUAAACUAAAAACUGCAGGUUCGUAGUUGACAGCACGCGCCCACGCCUUAUCAACAAAGUUCUUCUGACGCUCAUAAUUUCUCCAAGAAAACAAUCACCCUUAAAUAUCAUCUUGUAACUCAAUUUUAUCACCAAUCAAUAUAAUUGCACCUACAAAAGUAAAACACAAGUAAAUCAUUAUUAUUAAGUGCAAAACAUCGAUAUUAAGGGAAGUAAACAAUACAAAACUAGUGCAUAAAUUGCACUCUAACAAUGGCAUUCAUUAAAUUUAAAAAUAUGAAAAAUAUAUAAAAUACAUAAAUAAUAUAUAAAAAAAAAACUUUUUUUAAAGUGCGCAGAGGUUUGAACGGCAACUAUAGGAUCGUAUCACAUUGAAUUCGUGUACUUAGGACGGGGCACGGAAGAGAGAGCAUUUUGGUUUAUAUUUUACUCAUAUACACGAGUAAUUAUGUACAAACCUUUCAUGCCUUUGCUAUCUUUUUCAUGUGGGACAAAUAUAUUUUCCUUUACUUUUCUAAUUCCAUGAAUUUACUUUGAGUAACAAUUUCUCAUUUAUCUAAGGGUUAUUUUGAUUAUAUAAAUAAAAUCAUUCUGAAGUAUUUAUGGAGGAACAUCUGAAACAACAGAUAAGUCUCACUCCAAAUCACGCAUCAAAUAGUAACUUGUGCUAUAUUUCCAACACUUUUUGCUUCUUUUCCUUGUUUGAUUGCAUGAAAAAAAUUGAGUGCAAUGAAACUUUUAUCUUCUUUUGUCUUUGAUGUUUUGGUGUAAAAAAAAUAAAAUUAAGUGGGAUAUUAGGUAGCCCAUGAAUUUCCAUAUAGUUUGCAUGUUGCAAAAGGAGUUUUGUAACUAUUUUAAAAAAUAAAGAGAUUAUUUUUAUUAUUUUGUCAAAUCACAGAAGUCUACACAUUCUUUUCUCCACCAGCUUAUUUAUAAUAAUACACCUACAAGUUUUUUUUAUACUUAAAUUUAUACAAAGAUAUGAUUAGUCUUGUUUAUUUUUCUAUUUGAGUCAUAUUUUACAACAACAAUCCUUCGAGCUUUUUUUUUCUUUAUUAUUUUGGGUAAUAUUUAAUAUCUUAAUAGCGCUAUUAAUUAUUUCUAAUAUUGUCCAUAUUAUCUCAUGUUUCUGCAAAGUUGUUCAAAUAGAUCUACACCUCACAAAUACAGGCCGAUAAGGUUAUAUCUCCAUGAUUGAAUCCAUCCAGAGAAAGACAUUGACUCACACUAUUUGAAAACGCGUAUUGGAAGUUAACACUGGGAGGUUGCAAAACAAUUAAUUCUUAUAUAAAUGCUUUGCUGAGAAUCAAACAGCUCAAUCAACCGAAAACCAUUAUAAACAUGGCAGCAGCAUCCACUGUUUCGAGAUUGGUGGUCAUUUUAAUUUUAAUAAAUGUUGGUGCUAUAAGUGAUACGACAAUAUCUGUAACGGCAUCAGCUGCAGGAUUAUUGUCGUCACCCAUACUGUUAGAAAGGGAAGCUUUACUUGCUACCGGCUGGUGGGUCAACAAUUGGGCGACGUCGGGCAACUAAACGUCCGAUCAUUGUAAGUGGACUGGCGUCAGUUGCAAUUCAGCGGGAAGCGUAAUCGGGGUCAGCUUACUCUGGUAUGAAAAUGAUAACAUCAACGGAGAGCUCGGUCGUUUCAAAUUCUCUUGCUUUCCCAAUCUCAGAAGUUUCAAAAUUCGUUCAAAUUAUCUUCUCUCUGGGAGCAUUCCAUCUGAAAUUACUGCUCUUUCAACAAUCCGAACUCUUGAACUGACCUCCAACGGCCUUACCGGUAAGCUGUGAAACUUCACCAUAUAUAUAUAUAUGUAUGUAUAAAAUCGCGCUGCUGCUUAAAGCUGGCGUCUGUUUUUACAACACUGAAGAAGUGUGAGUCGUCCGCACUUGAGCUUGACUCUCCCUCUAUGUAAUUUUUUUUAAAGAAGAUAGUGAAUACUGAUCUCGUUUUUCAUAAAUCACAUGCACAACAGGAAUUAUCCCUUUAGAGAUGGGGCGAUUAAGGAAUCUCGUCCACCUGGAUCUAUCUGAUAAUCACCUCAUGGGACAUAUCCCUCCAACUCUCGGUCGUCUAAGCAAAUUGAAAAUUUUGAACUUGUCUUUUAACUCCCUUGUCGGUAAUAUCCCAUCCAAUGUAGGUCAUCUAACCCAGCUAACUACUUUGGCUAUUGCCUCAAACCGAAUGAAUGGUUCCAUCCCAUUAGGAAUCGGGAAUUUGAAGGUUCUUCAAGUUCUUGACCUGUCCAGAAAUGAAAUUGGAGGUUCAAUUCCUUCAACACUUGGCCAUUUAAAGUGGUUGAGAAGUGUAGACUUGUCCCAAAACAAAUUUGUUGGCCCAAUCCCUUCGUCUCUGGGUCAUUUGACACAGCUAAUUACUUUGAAUAUGUACAACAACAAACUUGAUGGCCCAAUUCCUCCAGAACUCAUGAAUUGCUCAAAGCUGAGGAUAUUAAAAUUGGGAAAUAUUAUCUUGAUCUAAGCGGUAACUUCAUUAAUGGUAAAAUACCUUCCCAACUUGGAGAAUUUCCACGCAUAGACACCGUGGACCUUUCCAUGAAUAACCUUUCCGGUGGAAUCCCUGUAUUUGUCAGAAAAGUGCCACACUUAGAUGUGUCAGGCAAUAAAUUCGGAGGAGAAAUCCCAACUACUUUGGCAAAUGCGCCACCGCCACAUCACAAAACGAUUGCCACUCGCUUGGUUGCAAUUAUUCUUGCUAUGGUCGCAUUCCUUGCCUUGAUAUUUGGAAUCUUGAUUAUCCAUAGACGAAGGGAUAAGGAAGUUGAACCAACUGGGACAGGAGAAAUUACCAAGUGCGCUGAUGAGUUUGUAAUUUGGAAUUACGAUGGUAGAAUUACAUUUCAAGACAUGAUUGAAGCCACUGAGGAUUUCGAUAUCAAAUACUGCAUUGGAACCGGAGGCUACAGCAGCGUUUACAGAGCACGGCUGCCCAGUGGAAAAGUGGUUGCUUUGAAGAAGCUUCACCGUUCAAAAACUGAGGAGUUAGCUUCCCUCGAGAGUUUCCGGAAUGAGGCUCGUCUACUGUCCCAAAUACGGCAUCGAAAUAUCGUAAAGCUUUACGGCUUUUGUUUGCACAAGACAUGCAUGUUCUUAAUCUAUGAGUACAUGGAAAUGGGAAGCUUGUUCUGUGUUCUACGCACAGAUGAGGAAGCUGUUGGGUUGGAUUGGACUAAAAGGGUGAACAUUGUGAAGGGUAUGGCUCAUGCUUUGUCAUACUUGCAUCAUCACUGCACACCACCAAUUGUUCACCGGGACAUAUCAAGCAACAACAUUCUACUCAACUCAGAAUUAGAAGCAUUUGUUGCGGACUUUGGCAUUGCUAGAUUGUUAAAUUUUGACUCAUCCAACCGAACUCUUUUAGCUGGCACUUUUGGAUAUAUUGCUCCAGGUCAUCCUCUAGCUAUUCCUCUUAUGCAUCUUUAAUUAUCCUCUUAAUUAAUUUUAUAUAUACUCUGCCAAAUAGUUUUUAAGCAGCUUUAUUUAGGUCACUACUUGGUUCGAAUUUUGAAAAUGCUAAGGGGCUAAAAAUAAAUUUAAACUUUGCCUACCCCUUUUCCUUUUAAAACACACACACUGAACAUAAGUUAAAACAUAAGUUUCUUUGUCAUAACUUGCUGCGGAAGCUAAAAAACAUGAACAAAUUGUUCUUGUUAUUAUUUAUGGAAACGUUACUAAUGAAGGCCUUUGUUUUCCUAUAGAACUUGCCUACACCGUGGUUGUGACAGAGAAAUGUGAUGUUUAUAGCUUUGGAGUGGUGGCACUAGAAGUACUAGUGGGAAGGCAUCCAGAAGCGCUCCUCUCAUCGUCAUCUUCAUCAUUGGAUAAAAAUAUAAAGCUGAUUGAUUUGUUGGACCCACGCCUCCCGGCUCCGGGGGAUCAAAUGAUUACGCAGGAUAUCAUUCUUGUUUCAAUAGUAGCAUUUUCAUGCUUACGUUCUCAACCAAAGUCUCGACCUACAAUGCAACUCGUGUCCAACGAAUUUAUCGCUCGCAAUAUGACACCAAUGCAGAAACCUUUUCAUGAAAUUUCAAUUUUGGAGCUUAGAAACCAAGAAAUGUAUUUGGUUGAAUAAUGUGAUUUUUCCAAUAAAGGAGACUGUUAAUUGGUUGUGAAAUUAUUAGGUAGUAGCAAUGUAGCAAAUAUUAUGUGUUCGACGAAUUGUCUGCCUUAGUAUUUUUUAAUUCCAUUCACACUACGACAUUAAUCUCUUUUGUAAAGCUUGUACUUUCGCAGUUCACUCUGAUAAAAUAAGGUUUGUCUAAUUGUCUCCAUCUCAAUGAUCUGAAUUAACCAGCAUAUUAAGGAAUUUAAGGUUGUGUCUCUACAAGUUAGAAAGGGUAAAUUGUCAUUCUAAUUAUUAGUUUAUUUUACAAAUUAUAUAUAAAAAUUUCAUUCAGAACGAAGUUCGUGAUGUCGCGUUAUUUAAUAUAUUAGUUUUUUCAGUCCUUUGUAAAUAUUCACACAAACAUAUACAAUAAAUUUUUAAUUUAGCCGAUCCGAUCAAACAUCCUGGACCCACCGCUGAUGUCAUUCGAAGGUGAGGAAGCUUCUGCAGAAGUUGUGGUUAGUGAUAUCCUUGCCAGCACAAGAUAAUUAAUUACUGGGAAAGAAAUAAUAAAAAUUUUUAUUAAUUACGAAACUGAUAACUAUAUAUUAGACACACUAUAAUUUUAUGAAAACUGAAGAUCCAUACUAAUAUAAAACUAAAACCAACAUUAAUUAAAUUAUACGAUAACAACAAAUCCAGGAUAUAUUAACAAACACGUCGAUUUUGAAGCUGAAUUUAUAAUCUAAUCUUAACUCUAUUUCUUCUGUAUUUACAUAAUCAUCCUGCUAAUUAAGGAUUUACAACUUUGCCAUGAAAGGUCGGUGGCUUCCAUGCCUUUUUCUUCUUCUCGUCACAAAUUUUGCUUUUGCUUCCACUUCACCAUUAAAGAACAUCCCAAAGCUUGGUGCUGUUCGUGGAAGGACUAUUUUUUAAAACCCUAGCAAAAAAAUCCACAAAGUUACUAUUAUGAUCUCGAAACUUACUAUUAUUAUCAAACACUUGAUCACUUUAACUAUAAUCCACAAAGUUAUUUAACUUUUCCUCAUAGAUAUGCGUUGAACUUCAAGCAUUGGGGCGGUGGCAGAGCCAUGGCGGCGCCGAUAUUGGCAUAUCUUGGUGAAGAGAGUAGUCUUGAUAUGAUGACCUUGGUGACAUUGGAUGGCUUACUAAUAAUGCUCAUCGAUUUAAAGCCUUACAAGUUUACAUAGAGGUAAGUAAAGAAUAUGUUAUCAGGCUAGCUUGAUAAUAAUUGAAAUAGAGUUCACAUACGAAAUAAUAAUAAUAAAGACAAAUCUUAAUCAGAAUAUUCUACAAUAUGAACUGAAAAGUUGUGAUGGAUUUUUUUUUAAUUCAAUUUUUUAUGCAGUAUCGGUUCUAUGGAAAAUCAGUACCUUUUGUAUCAAGCAAAGAUGCCCUAAAGAAUGCAAUUCUUCGUGGAUAUUUCAACUCUGCUCAAGCUUUGGCUGAUUAUGCAGAGAUUCUCUUACACAUCCAGAAAAAUUUAUCGGACGAAAUGUCUCCCAUUAUGGUCGUUGGAGCAUCUUAUGGAGGAAGUAAAUUAUAAUAUUAUUAACUUACUUACAUCUUUUGAUUAAUGUCGUGUCAUCUGUCACAUCAUUUUACUCAUUUAGAUCACGAUUGAUCGAUCAAGAUAUUGACUACGGCAAUAUUACUAUGAUACAAAUUUAUUUAAUAUUGCAACUAACGAUACUCUUGGCGAUCGUAAAAUCAAGAAAUAAUAAAUAUGUUCAAGAUAAUUAUGUAUUUAAAAAUAAUCUUCUCAAUUCAUCCUAUUUUAUCAGAUCUGGGAUGUGAUAUGGUUUCGAGAGUUACUCGUUUGUUGGUUUGUUAUCAACAAUGCUUGCUGCAUGGUUUCGCUUGAAGUAUCUUCACAUUGCUUUGGGAGCAGUUGCCUCAUCCGCCCCAAUUCUCUACUUUGAUAAUAUCACACCGUCAAACGCAUAUUAUGAUCUUGUCACCAAGGACUUUCGGGUAAGAAAUAAAUUAGUUAAUUAAAAUUUUAUAUAAGCAUGAUUAUGUUUUCUUGUUAAAAUUUAGCCAUUGAAUUUUGAAAAUUAAUGAUGCAGGAAGCCAGCGAGAGCUGCUACAAGACCAUCAAACAGUCCUAGGCUGAAAUCGAUAAAGUCGCUGCUGGAAAAAAUGGACUUGCUUUUCUCUCUAUAAAGUUCAAAACCUGCAAGUAAUUAAUCAUAUUACUUUACAUAACUGCUUAUAUUGUAUAUCCAUCCGAUUUUCCCUUAAUUACAAUUAAUGCAAUGUUAUUUUAGCAUCGUUAUCGAAUGUACUAUGUCUAAUUAAUUAUAUGUCAUCCUCAGCGUUUAUAUACAUUUCGAUUAACGUGUAAUAUACAAAGUAAAAAUCUGGAUUUGGGCUUAUUCACGGCCUUUGUGUUACCAUAUAUAGUAUACUGGUGCUUCGAUUCAGACGUCCAUAUUUUGCAGAAUCUAAAUUUAAACUACAAAACCACGCACAACUCUGAUAAUCAAAUGAGGCCAAAUUUGAACGUUUGCAUUUGAGAAUGUCAAUAGCUUCAUACUUAUAGAGUUUAUUGUAAUCUAACUAAAUAUAACAACAUUUUUAAGACAGUAUGUUGAAAGAUCUUUUAUAAAGUUAAUGACCUUGUGGCACUUAAUUCUAUGUUAUUGUUUAUUUGAUUACAGGCCUCUGAAGGAUGUUUCAGAAUUGAAAGAUUAUUUAGAGUAUAUGUAUACGGGUGCAGCUCAGUAUGGUGAUCCUCAGGAAAGCCCAGUGAACAAAGCCUGCAAUGGCAUUGAUGGAGCUUUAGAAGGCACAGAUACCGGAUCUUCUCAGGAAUUGUUGAUUUAAGAGGGGAGGAUUCUUGCCAUGAUGUUGAUGAAUUCUUCUCCGAUGCAACAUUGGACUCCAGCUGGGGCUGACAGGUAUGCAAUUACAAGUGACAUGAUUUCAUUGGAUAGUUCUAUUGAGACGUUAAAUAAACAACAUGUGACAAUGAGAACAAUACCUAUUUUAUGUACAUCUCUUAAUUUUAUUUAUGAGACUUAAUAUUUAUGAAUGAUUAAAAAUAGUUUUCUUCUUUAUCUUAUUUUAUUAUUAUUAUUUUUUAUUAUUGGGGGGUUUCUCAUGCAGACAUGCAGUGAAAUGGUCUCACCAAUUGGAAUUGGCAAAAACGACACAAUGUUUCAAGCAGACCCAUUUAAUCUGACAGAAUAUAUGGAUUCAUGCAAUAAGUAUUAUGGAGUGGUUCCAAGACCACAUUGGAUUACAACUUCUUAAAGUGGUAAUGUAAGUGUCGAUUAAUCCCCAAAUUAAUUCUUCUAAUAUUUUAAGGUUUCUCAUUUUCUGUUUUAAUUAUAAAGUUCACCUCAAUUUUUGUUUGAUUUCUAUUUCUUUUUAAUUUGCAGGAUAUAAGAGUGGUUUUAAAGAGAUUUGGUAGCAACAUUAUUUUCUCUAAUGGCCCUCGUGAUCCCUAUAGUAGCGAAGGGUAAUUAAGCUUAAGAAUUGUGUACACUCUUUUCUAUCGAAGUUACCUGUUUAAUUAUAUACCUUUUUCUGUUUCUUCGUUUUUUUUUUGGGGGGGGGGAGAGGAUUAUAGGAUUCUGGAAGAUAUAUCAGACAGUAUAAUAGUAGUGACAACAAGAAACGGUAUUUAAAAUUUUCUAUAAAAUAAAAAAUUAGUGUUCAAUUAUUAACUAAAUUAUUGGAUAACAUAAUUAAUAGUGUGUAAAUUGGAGUAGGUUCCCAUUGCUUAGACACACAGCCAGCAACAGAAGAUGACCCAGUAUGGUUAGUAGUGCAGCGAAAGAUUGAAGUGGACAUGGUUCAUGAUUGGAUCCUCAAAUAUUUUGCAGAUUUGGUUCAAAAUCAGAGCAUAAGAUUAAAUUGUGACUACAAAAUUAGUCUUUUGUUUUUCUUCCUCUCCUCUAUCUUUCUAAUAUUUAUGGAGUAAAGAUAAAUAAUAAUAGUGCACCUAGCUAGUUUGGAUUUGGUUGUCAUUUUCAUAAUUUUUACUCUGAGUUGUCUAAAUGUGUAGAACAGGUGUGCAAUAUUACUUAAUGUAAAGCACUUAAGGCUCAAUCUUUAUGUAAUAAUCAUAUGGUGAAUAUCAAUUCAUAUACAAUCAGAUUGGGUUAACCAUUUUCUCCCUUUGAUUUAAGAGUUACCGUAUAGGUACUUGAAGCUGGAGAGAGUCAAAGAUUUGCCCUCCACACACACACACAUAUGGAAAUGUUUUAAUCUGGAAUUUUAAAGUGCAAGAAUAUCUUGGAAAACACAUAAACCAUGCGGUUUAAGCCUUUAAAACCCUGUGGUUUUAAAGUUUUUCUGAACGUUUCCCGCACUUUUAGAUCCCUUAUAUGCCUCAAAAGUUAGGUGUUUAUGCUUAUAUGCUCCGUUUAUUAGUAGCCAAGCUUACGAGUAUAUUACUUUAGGCGAACCUCUCCCUAUUCUUCUCCAUAAUGGCUAUUUCUCUUAAUUAUUUGACAAUCUAAUGCAAUCCCAAACGUGACUUAGCAUCAAGUUUAGGAUGGCAGUGGCUGAUAAAAUAAGUUAUUUUUGUUGUGAGGAUGAAAUAAGUUGAUGAUUAAAAAAGUAUCUUGCUCGUGUUUGGUAAAUUUGAUUAUGAAUGAGUUGUAUAUUAUUUAAUCACUAAAAUAGACAUAAGUUUAAACAGUGUUUUAUUUAUAUAUUAGAGCUUAUAGAAAAGAAAGAUAUAAUUAUUCUUUUCUUAAAAUAUUAAGAUUAUUAUAGGAACAUUUGAAAAGAUCUAGCAACUUAUUUAAGAAGUUGCUUAUCAAAAUAAUCUCCUGCCUGUUUUUAGAAGUUGCAGUCAAAAUUGAGAAAAUUACGAACGAAGCAACUUUUAACAAAGCCAUCAAACCUCAUUUUUAUCUAAACUUAUAAAAUAAACUGCUUAUAGCAUUUCAAUCACAAUCUUGGGUCAUUAGUCUUUAUGUAGAAUCAGAUUAGACAUUGAAUAUUUCUAAUUUUCUACACAUAUAAAUUAAAAUAUGUAGACUAGAAAAACCCCUUGACUUCGUAAGUCCACCUCAUUCUUUAAUUUCCACAGCACAUGUCAAGCCGUUUUUUCCAAAUAAUUGCUGACUAGGAGAAGUCUUAUAGUCAAGGUGAUUGGAUGAGCGUGUUAUGGAAUUACGUAUCGUAGGGGUUCCCUGCCCUCAACUAAAAAAGUUGCCUUAAAAAUUAAAUAUUAAAUAAUAUGGUGUGUGUAUAUAUAUAUAUAUAUAUAUAUAUAUAUAUAUAUAUAUACCAGAAGGAAAUAGGAUCGAAGGAUGGGUGUGCUUUCGUUGGAACUCAAAAUUAAAAACUCAAAUUAAACAAUGGAUUGAAAUGGAUCGGCUUUGUCCAAAUUUUAAAAUAAAUUACCAGCUUUAAAUGAAGUAGAUUUGCUUUGGAACGCGGUUGGUCAAAUUUUAUAGUAUUUAAAGUACGUGGCGUUGUUAGACCAGAUCGAUCGCAGAAGUUAAUCUGCCUUUGGACCCAGAUCUGACUUAGACCAGAUCAAUAGUCCGCACGUUCGGGUUUCCAGCCUAUAUACUUCAAUAUAUUUACCAGAUAUUUGUUAGAUUCUUUAUCAAGCCUAGCAACACAUACAUCUAAGGCUUGGGUACAUACACAGUACUAGAUCCGGAUCCCGGAAAUAGUGCUCUGAAGAAGGAAGGAGAAAGAAAGAUACAACUGAGGAUUGAGAUCUGGUCUCGUUGCCUCAGAGGAAUGUAUAAUUUAUAUGGCAGAUCUGAUACAGAUCAGUCUGCAAGCAUGCUUUAAAAGGAAAUGCUUUAAAGUAAAUUACUGAAAUGUAAAUUACAUUGAACUUUAAAAAUUUAAAGAACUGAACUUUAAACAUACAUGUUGCUUUGAUGCUUUGGUGAUUGAUACAAUUUUAGGGAUGUGUCUUUGAAAGAAAGAUUGAAAGACGGGAAGAUUACAAGACAGGAAACCUCCUUGAUGUCUUGAGCAUUUACAAGACAGGAUAGUUUUCCCGAGUGUCUUGAUCCAGACUUCCCUUAGAGAGAGAGAGAUUUUUAGAGAGAAUGAGGAGAAGAAGAGAGAGAAGUGAAAAACCAAAAAUGAAAAACCUGAGGAGUCUAAGUCUUCCUCUUGGUUUAUAUACAAAAUCUUUAAACUGUUCACUGUAGCGGAGUUUUGAGUGCACAGUAAUCUUUGGAAAUUGGCACUGUUCACUGUAGCGGAGCUUUGAGUGCACAGUAAUAUUUGGAAAUUGGUACUGUUCUUUGCAACAUAUGUCGAGCAGGAAUUACUGCAGCUGUUAUGCCGAGCAGGAAUUACUGUAGCUGUUAUGCCGAGCAGGAAUUACUGUAGCUGAUAAACAGAGCAGGAAUUACUGUAUGCAGAGCAGAGAACUUUGGAUGGUAACUUUGAAGAUUUUGUAACACGGGUGAAGAGACAUGUGCGCUCUCACUUGUGUCCAAGGGACCACUCGAAAAUGUAAAAUUAUCAAGAAAUUACUUUUUUUUUUUUUUUAAACAGUUACAUGAACUAUUUACAAUGCUUUACAGGAGGGAAAAUUCCGAAACAAUCGUCUUCAUUUUCGUCUCCGAGGGAGAUGGUUGGCUCAUCUUCUUCGUCUUCAUCUUCAGAGGAGUCAGCCACUGAUGACUUUGACCGGGAGGCGAGGAGCUGUUCCAUGGCUUUGAAGUACUCUUCUUCUUUCUUGGCACUUGCCAGAAGAGAUUGGGCUUUGGAUUUUUGGGUAAGGAAGGUUUGCUGGGCUUUGGAGUCUUUAAUGGUUGGCUAUAGAUGGCCUCUAGUGGAGAGCCAUUUUUCAAUAUCAUUAGUAGUCAAUUUGGUUCUUUCAUCAAAUUUUGACCACCAUUUGACUUUGAAAGUUCUUUGAAGGAUGAAUUGGGCAUCUUGAUUGUGGUACCGAAGGCUCCACAUCCAAACCCAAGGGAGAAAGAAGUUUGUACAGAAACAGAGAAAAGGAGGAAAUCUUUUUUCAGACUCAGUAGGUUUGUAAUGGGCUUUAAAAAGAUUUAGACAUUGUAUGGCGUUUGGGGUAAGGAUAUCUGGGCUUGGCCCAAAAUGAUUCCACCAAUGAUGAAACCAAUUUGGUAGGCUUUGGACGGUUAUUUUUGAAUUAAAGAAAAAUAACCAAGAAUGGGAUUUUUUAGGAUUUUGAAUAAAAAAUGUGUUGUACCAGGCUUGUUGGUAAUCCUAGUAGGAAAAAGUCCGACAAUGUGGUAAACGGGUCUCAAAAUUUAAAGGAAAGGUUUUAUAAUUGUGGAGUAGGUCACCCCACUGAUUUGGGCUCAAGACUUUAAGGAUUGUGGCCGUGGAAUAGGCCGGCUCAGAAUGAGUAUCACUGAGAAAGAAAUGUUUGAAUUUGACUGACUCAGUAAUUUCUAAAAUGCUUUGAUAAUAAGACUGGGGUUUUGUUAAAUCCCAUGGUUUAAAAAACCAGCCUUUGGGAAAAAACUUUGAAAUACUUUGAAAAGGAUCAGUAUGGUAAAAUCCAUCUUCCAUAGAAAGAAUGUUUUGAAAAUGGGCUUUAUCAAACCAAUCGGAGGUUUUCUUUGAAGGUGUUGGCUGAGAAAGCACAAUUUGGGAGGAUGAGCUUUCACAGGACACAACAACAUUUUGGGAAGAAGGCUUUGAAAUUUCUUUGGAAAUGGGUUUUUCUUUGCCUUCUACUUUAGGAGAAGAUUGGCUUUGAGAAAGAUUUUGUAAGGCGAGCAUAAGCUCAGGGGAUUUUGUAAUGGAACUCAUCCAUUGCUUUACUUGGUCAUCAGAAGAAAUAGAUUUGUAUUGGGCUUCAUGUUCCUCGACCAAUUCAAUCCAGGAUUUAAUGGGCAAGGCAGAAGAAAGAAGCUUUUCUUUAGAGGGGGUUGUUUGAGGUUCUUUAGAAGGUUCUUGAGAUUCAGUGUCUUUAAGAACUGCUUUACCUUUGUCCUUUCUUUUUGGCGCCAUUAUCUGUUUUGAAGAAAUUCUCUGGUUAGAAAAUCAGGAAUAGAAUUUUUGUCACCUUUAAUAAACUCAAUAUCAAAAUCAAAAACACUUAAAAUAGCUUGCCAACGUGCAAAAAUCUGUUUGGAUGCAAUGUUUUGAACAUCUUUUUCUAAAACAUGUUUUGCAGCUUUGCAAUCAAUUCUAAGUAAAAAUUUUUGAUUUAAUAAAUCGCUUUGAAAUUUAGAUAUGCAUAAAACAAUGGAAAGAAUUUCUUUUUUGAUAGUAGAAUAUUUUUUCUGGCAAUCAUUCCAAUGAGCAGAAACAUAUUGUACUAUCUGUUCUUUAUCAUUUUCCUUUUGUUUUAAAAUACCUCCAUAACCUAUAUCAGAUGCAUCAGUCUCAACAAUUUUAGGUAAUGCAGGAUUUGCAAGAAAUAAACAUGGGAUGUUUUUUACAGAUUGCUUUAUUAAUCUAACAACUUUAGUAUGUUCAUCUGACCAUGCAAUAUGAUUCUUUUUCAACCUAUCAUGCAAGGGUUUAGACAUCCUAUUGAUGUUAGGGCAGAAAUCGAGAACAUAAUUUAAACUACCAAGAAAUCUUUGUAAUUGGGUUUUGUCAAGAAUUUUGUCUGGGAAUUUAUCCGCAAACAAAAGAGAUCUUUCAAUUGGAGUAAUGGUUCCUUUAGAAAUAUGGUGACCAAGGAACCUGACUUUUGUGUGAAAUAACGAAAUUUUUGAACUAGAGAGGGCCAACCCAGCCUUUCUAGUAGCAAGAUAAAAAGUCUUUAAAUGUUUGAAAUGUUGAUCAAUAGUCUGAGAAAAAAUCAACACGUCAUCAAUAUAAACAAUGCAAAACUCAGAAUAAGGAUUGUAAAUGUCAUUCAUGAUUCUUUGAAAUUCUGAGGGUGCAUUUUUCAAACCAAAAGGCAUUACUGUCCACUCGUACUGACCAAAGGGAACAGUAAAAGCUGUUUUAUAACGGUCUUUAGGGUGAAUCUGAAUUUGCCAAAAACCAGACUUCAUAUCAAAUUUUGAAAAAAUGAAAGCUGAGCAGAGUUUUUGGAGCAAAUCUUUUUUGUUAGGUAUGGGAUACCUAAUCCACUUUAAAGCUUUAUUCAAAGGUUUGUAAUUUAUCACAAGUCUUGGAAUACCUCUUUCAAUUUCAGAGUUUUUAUUAACAUAGAAAGCGGCACAAGACCAUGGUGAUCUGGACUUUACAAUAAGACAUUUGGUUUCUAAAUCUUUUAUUUCAUUUUUACAAUGUUGUUCCAAUUCCAUAUUCAUUUGGAUUGGACGAGCUUUAGUGGGUAUUUUCUUUUCAUCAAAAGAAUUCUCAUAAGGCAGAUCUACCAGGUGUUGUUUUCUAUUCCAAAAAGCAGAAGGUAGAUCAGCACAAAUUUCUUUUUCAAUAAGGGCUUUAAAAUCAGAAAUUUUACUUUGUAUAAAAUCAUUUUGCAAUUGACUCUCAAUUCUUUGAAAACUUAAUUCCUUUUGUAAACAAAAUAAAUCAUCUUGUUUAGAAUUAAGGAUGGCAUUGACUUUGUUUUGAUAAACAGAACAAGCUUUGACAAUAUUAAGAUUCCUUGUCUUUGGUUUUUCAAUAAAUGAGAAAAUAAGAUCUUUGGAUUUUGCUCUGAAAUAAAUACCAUCAUAAUUGAUAGCAUAAGGGGUUAUAAGAUUUAUAAAAGGGGUUAUAAGAUUUAUAAAAGGGGUUCCUAAAAUGAUAGCAUGGUGUAUAUCAUUUGUAAGAACAAAAGAGGUUUUGAAAUCAAUUCCAUCGUUAAAAAUAGAAGCUUCAACUUUGGAAUUUACUUUUAGUUUUGAAUUAUUAGCAGCAGAAAGUCUUUCAUUUGUCUUUUCAUGAAAUCUCUUUGGAACAAUGUCCUCUCUAAUACAAUUUAAAUCAGCACCAGUGUCAAAAAGGGCAAUGGCGUCCAUUGCAAAAUCUUUGGAAAAGAUUAAAGUAAUUUUUACCAAAUAUUUUCUGGUGGUGAUUUGCUUUAAAACAAACAAAAAAUCUUUUGGAACAGACUCAAUGUUUUCAACUUUGUCAUCAUCAUCAGGAGUUGACUCAUUAUCUGAGUUAUCCUGUAAUUGUUUUUGUAAAAGAAGUUGGAUAGUAAUAGAAUCACUUUUUUGUUUUUCUUUCAAAUCCUUUAUUUCAAGUUUAAUAUCCUUGAUCUCCUUCUGAAGAUCUUGGAUACUAGGAAUGGACUUCUUUGUUUUCUUUUUGUCUAAAAUCUCAGUAAGAUCAUAAGAAUUCUUUUUAACAAUAGGAACUUUAGAAGUUUCUGCCUUGUUUGAAUCCAUGGUUUUCAAAAGUUUAUCAAGAUAUUCUUUUUGAAGAUUUGGAUCAGAAAUAUGCUUUACAAGUUCGAGGAAAAUCUCUUGGUCUUUAGUCAAAACAUUGAUUUUCUUUAAAUAAGAAUCCGAAUCAGAAUCGCUACUGCUAGAUGCAGAGGUAUCUGAAUCAAAUAACUCAUCAACUUGAAGGGGGUCACUAUCUCCCGACACGGAGGACUCAGAAUCAGAGGACUCUACCAGAAGGGGGGCAAUUUUAGAAAGGAUGUCCUUAUUAAGGUCAAGCUCUUGGAGUCUUUUGUUCAUUCUGCAAAAUUUUGCAGUAUGACCUUUCAUACCACAUUUGAAACACGUGGCAUCUUUGAAAUUGAAUGGGGUUUUAGGUUUGGUUCUAAACUCUUUCUUUUUAGAAAAACUAUGUUUCUUAUAAGGCCUCGAGGGUUUCUUAUAAGGAAGUUUUCUAAAAUCAUGAAAGGGUUUCCUAUGGCUUUUAGACUUGUAAUGUUUCUUGUAAGGUUUUGGAGAACACUUACCAUUACAGUCUUUAGAAGUAGAAGUUUUAAAGGGGUCAUAAUUGAAUUGCUUACAGAAACCGCCUAAUUCUUGCUUAGAUUUCCUAAGCUCUCAUUUUAGACGUCUCUGUAAUUUCAAAUCUUGACAGAUCUUUAAUCCUUCUUUAUUGACAAAACUGACUAGUUCACCAUAGGUGAGCUCGUCAUAAGGAACACGAUUGUCAUAAAGAGCUUUGAUGGAAUUUCUAACCUUUUCUCCCAAAAGGGUAGGUAAACCUGCAAGGAAUUUCUCCUUCCAAGUUACAUGAUUCGCAUCAUCCCUUAGGAAGAGUCUGGUAAAGAAAGUGGUUUUGUAAUCUUGAAAUUCACUGAGUUUUCUACAUCUCAAGUUGUGUAGUAACUCGGCGUUUUUGUCUCUAAGGUGAGAAGGGUCACCUAUGAAGUGAAGGGAUAUGGUCAAAAUCAGGGUAGCAACAGCAUCCUGAAUAGGAUUAUUGAACUCGUCAAGAAUGGGGGCACCAUUCUCAUCGAUUUGAAUAGCAUUUAAGAUGUCUAAUUGCUGCAAUUUAGUGAGAAGAUGAUCCCACCAUCCUUUAAGUUGGCCGGUAAAACCAGCAAUUAGGAUUUCUGCAAUGGCCUUGUCAGAAGUUCCUGAUUGGGUUUUAUAGGCAUUGGCUGCCAUGGUCAUUUGCUGCAAUACACCUAAAAUGUUGUACUCAGACAUUCCAUCUAUAUUCCACUCAUAGACAGAGGAUGCAUUAUAUCGAGCUUGAUUUAAUGCACUAGGCCUGUUGUCUAUAGUCAAAUCAGGUGGAGAUUUGGAAAUAGGGAGAGCUAAUUCCCAUUGGAUUUUGUUGGCUUUAGGAACAGGUUCUUCGGUAAAGGCUUCUAUGUCUGAAGAGGCAAUAGAAACCUGGUCAAGAUUUAAUACUCCAAUCUUGCUAGAUUGAGGAGUAUCAGGGGCUAUCUGAACUUUGCUAGAUGAGGAAGAAGCAGCUUCUAUCCUAUCUAACUGUUCUCUAAUGGCUUUAGCAAAAUCCGAUUUUGACUCAUGAACAAGCCUUUGGCUAGUUUUCGAAACCUGAAAAGGUUUGAAAAUAGGUUCCUUAAGCUUUUUAUCAGAAUCUGAUUUUGAAGGAAUAGGUUUUAGACUAGGAGAAAUAGAUAUGGUUGACUGUUGGAAUUGGUUUUCUAUUCUAGUCAACUGUUUUCCUAUAGUAUUUAAGUUAGUAUUACAGAAAUUAUUCUGUUGGAUAAUACUACUUAAAUUGGCUUCAGAAUCAUUUGGCUUUGGUAUUUUGUAUGGUGAAGCUCUGAUUUGGACGGGAGGUUCACCAUGAUCAAUGGUAACACUCCGAAGAGGUGGGUGUUCCGACUCUAUGGUUCUAUCGCUAUCAAGAAGUUUCCAUUCAGGAAUUUUCUUCCUAAUAGUGAUAGGAUUUGACUCUUUGAAAUGAUAAGAGAUAUUGUUCUCAGAAGAAUAUAUUUCGAACCAAUCAAAAAACAAUAUAUGAACUUGAUGUAAAUUCACAAAUUCAUAAUAAGUCUGUUGGAUUUCUUUUCUUUGAUUUAGGAAAUGCUCAAAAAACCAAAGUCUUUUUUCUUUAUUGUUUUCUGAAUAAAAAUCAUUAUGAAGAAGAGUUUUAUCUAAAUCAAAAUGCUUCUCAAUAACAUUUAAAACAUUUUCUGUGACAGCAGAGAAUGUAGGGGAAGUUGGAGGAGAAGGUUCCUUCUCUUCCUGACUUUGUUCAUGUUGACUGCUAAUAUAAAUGGGAUGUGGUACUUUUGUGGUAUAGUCAACAGAACGAAUGGAGGAACUAGGUAAAUCCGAAGUGGAAAACCUAGGUUGACUUUGAAAAGGAAGAUUUACAACAGAAGGAAUUUUUGUAAAUUUCCUUUCUAAUGAAGGAAUACUUGAGCACGACUCUCUAUCAGAAAAUCUGGUUGAAUUAGAUCUCCUGAACGACAAUUUGACUUUACCAUCAGAAUACUGAGUCACAUUUUGCAACUCUGUAUUUGGCUCAAGUUGUCUUGGAACUGCUGGUGGAGCAAUUCCUUCAAGAAUCCAUUCCUCUGGAAGAUUGACAUCUUUCCAUUGGAUUGGUUUUGGAAUGACAGUGUUUGCUUUAGACAAGUCAGUCUGCAAGAGAAGAGUCUCAUCUCUUUUUUACUGGAAUUUAUGCUGCGUGCUAAACGCAGAGAUCAUAGCCUUAUAUGAGAUUUUAAAGAUUAAAGCAACCGGGACAUAUCCCUCUAUCAUAUUAUAAUUAUGUGUUUUAAUCUGUAAAAUCAUGCUUUUCAAAAUAUUUUUGUCUUUAAGAGAAAGCGUUAUGUUAGGAUAACAGUCAAAAGAAAUUGGACCUUUACAUAGACUGGACUCAAUGCUACUUAGCAAAGAAUCAUCAAAAGAGAUGAAACGGCCAUCUCUAAGGACAGCAAGGAUAGAAGUAUCCAAGCCUUCUUUGGUUAAAGGCUUUAUUCCUAUUUGGAUUAAACCAAUGUGGAUGUAAUUAAAAUUCUUUUCUUUUAAUUUCUUUAAAGAUUUCUCUGAAAACAGAUGUAUUGUUUCAAAUGGUGAAGAAAGGGUUAUGUCUCUUUCUUCGGUUUUUAUGACAUAAUCACUCUUUAGAAAAUCAAACUUUUUUGUUUUGUAAAUCUGUUCUUUUGAAAUCUUUGGAAGUUCCCAACAAUCAAUUGCUUUAUCAAAGUUCUCAAUAACGAAUUCUUCUGAACUCACAACAUGCUUUGAAUCACUAGUCUUCCCGGAAGAAGAGCUAGAAAAGGACGAUGUUCUAUAGUGUAGAGGAUUCAUGGUUAGAACCCUAUAGUCUAUUUAUGGUUUGGUCAGAAUGGCUACAGGUAUGGUUUUACAGCCCUAAACGGAAAACUUAUCCUUGGACGGGACUUACUACUAGUAAAAAUUCGCCACACAAAAAAACUUCAAAAUAAAACACAAGAUUUUAAACACAAAAUUCUAAACUGCUUUACACAAUCCUCCCCUUGGCUCUGAUACCAGAAGGAAAUAGGAUCGAAGGAUGGGUGUGCUUUCGUUGGAACUCAAAAUUAAAAACUCAAAUUAAACAAUGGAUUGAAAUGGAUCGGCUUUGUCCAAAUUUUAAAAUAAAUUACCAGCUUUAAAUGAAGUAGAUUUGCUUUGGAACGCGGUUGGUCAAAUUUUAUAGUAUUUAAAGUACGUGGCGUUGUUAGACCAGAUCGAUCGCAGAAGUUAAUCUGCCUUUGGACCCAGAUCUGACUUAGACCAGAUCAAUAGUCCGCACGUUCGGGUUUCCAGCCUAUAUACUUCAAUAUAUUUACCAGAUAUUUGUUAGAUUCUUUAUCAAGCCUAGCAACACAUACAUCUAAGGCUUGGGUACAUACACUUAAGGCGCUUACCACUCGCCCUAAAAGCUUAAGCUGUUAGGAGAAGGCGCUACUUUAUACUUAAGCACCACCCGGACCAAACCAGGUAACGUCUCCACGUUAUGCCACGACAUCGUGACCCCACAUCGGCCUUACAGGAGUCACCACAAGGGUGCGGGCCCCAGUUCCAGUACUGGGAUAAUAUAUUAAGCCCAUUCCUCCCCCCCGAGUUUCGAACCCUGGCCGGCUCUGAUACCACUUAAGGCGCUUACCACUUAAGGCGCUUACCACUCGCCCUAAAAGCUUAAGCUAUUAGGGGAAGGCACUACUUUAUACUUAAGCACCACCCGGACCAAACCAGGUAACGUCUCCACGUUAUGCCACGACAUCGUGACCCCACAUCGGCCUUACAGGAGUCACCACAAGGGUGCGGGCCCCAGUUAUUAGUCUUCAUGUUUUGCACAUGUUCGAACGGAAAUUGUAAUAUUAAAUAAUAUGGCAUUAUUAAAGUUUAAAAAAAAUCUAAAAUUAAUCAUAAAAAUAUAUAUAUUUUUAACUCUUAAUGUUUUGCACAGGUAUGGACGGCAAUUAUACAAUGAGAACGAAACAAUAAUAUAAUCGUGCGUUUGACACACUGUAUUGUAUUAUGUUGUAUUGCAUUAUUUUAUUGCAGGUGUAUUGUAUUAUGUUGUAUUGCAUUAUUUUAUUGCAGGUGUAUUGUAUUAUGUUGUAUUGCAUUAGCAUUGUAUCAUAAUAAUGUUGUACAAUGUUUGGCGUUACACUGUACUGUAUUAAUUUUUUUGUGAUUAAUUUAAAUUAUAUAUUUAAAAUAAUAUUUAUUAGUACUUAAAAAUAAUAAAUAUAAAAUUCUUAAAUUUUAGAAAUUUAACAUUUUUAUUAAAAAUAUAUAUUGAAAUGUCAUAAUUCUUCCGAAGCUUAUAGUCUUAAAUUUUUGGAAGUGUAUUUUUCAGUAUUUUCUAAAUAUAUAACUUGUGAAACAAAGAUCGAAGUAAAUAAAUUAAUCAAAUAAUCACUAAAUAAUUUAACAACAUAAAUAAAUAGUUAAAAUCUUCAAGAUUAAUUCAAAAAUCAUUUGAGGAUGAUAGAAUAAAAGUUUAUACAUAUUACAAGAUAAUUGUAGAAUAAUAAAGUGAUACAACUGUUAUGACAUAUUCACUAAGAAAAUAAAUUGAGCUAAAUAAUCCAGUAUUUUUUUAUAUUAUUAAUUUUCAAUUAAUAUUAUUCAAAUUUAAAUAUUUAUUGUUAGUUAUAUUAAAUUAUUUAAAAAUAGCUAAAUUAAUUAUUGUACUAUAAUUAAUAAAAUAUUAUAUUAUUUAAGUAUUUAUUACUAAUUAUAUUAACUUAUUAAAGAUUAAUUAAUAUACUUUUAUAUAUUAAUUAAAAUAAUACAAUUAAAUAAUACAUUGUUUAGUUAUAUAUUUAAAAUAAUAAAAAUUAAAACAUAAUUUAAUAUUAUGUAAUAUAAUCUUAAAUUAAAAAAUUAUAUUAAUUUGUUAUUAUUAUUAUUACAAAGAGAGAAAAAAAAAAAAAAGGCAAACUAAGUUGCCGCAUUAGCUAACCCCAACUAAGGGUCGGUUAAACACCCCCAAAAUGAACACUGGUUAAGCUAAUUGGGGUGGUUAAAAUUUGCACUCCCGUGACUGCGCACGAGGAACGCCCCUUUGCUUAUAAUAGCUUACCGUUCAUCUAGUAAUUAUAUAUAAAUCUUUCCAAUGUGGGACAAAUGUAUUUUCCUUUAAUUUUUCAAAUUCAUGAGUGCACUUUGAGUAACAAUUUCUCAUUCACUUGAGGAUCAUUUUGAUCAUAUAGAUAACAUUCCGAAGUACUCAUAGAGGAAUAUGCGAAACAAUUUCUGACUUUUCGCUUAUACCAAAUAGGUCUCAUUCAAAAUCAUGCCUCAAGUAGCUACUUGCGCAUUAUUUUUCUAACACUUUCUUUUUGUUUUUUUUAAAUUUGGUUGCGUGCAGAAAAAUUGAGCGGUAAUGAAAAUUUCAUCUUCUUUCAUUUAUGAUGUUUAGGGUUAAAAAAAAAAAAAAUGUUAGUUAGCCCAUGAGCUAUGGUAUGUAUGUUACAAAAGAUAUGAUUAGUCUUGUUUAUUUUCCUAUUUGAGCCAUUAUUUAUAACAAUUCUUUUCUUUGAACUUUUUUCCUUUUCUUAUUUUGGGUAAUACUUAAUAUCUUAUACUACUAAUAAUGCUAUUAAUUAUUUCUAAUAUUGUCCAUAUUAUCUCAUGUUUCUGCAAAGUUGUUCAAAUAGAUCUACACCUCACAAAUACAAGCCGAUAAGGUUAUAUCUCCAUGAUUGAAUCCAUCCAGAGAAGACAUUGACUCACACUAUUUGAAAACGCGUAUUGGAAGUUAACACCGGGAGCUUGCAAAACAAUUAAUUCUUAUAUAAACGCUUUGCUGAGAAUCAAAUGUAGCUCAAUCAACCGAAAACCACCAUAAACAUGGCAUCAGCGUCCUCUGUUUCGAGACUGGUGGUCAUUAUAAUUUUAAUUAAUGUUGGUGCUAUAAGUGAUACGACAAUAUCUGUAACGACAUCAGCUGCAGGAUUAUUGUCGUCACCCAUACUGUUAGAAAGGGAAGCUUUACUUGCUACAGGCUGGUGGGUCAACAAUUGGGCGACGACGGGCAACUACACGUCCGAUCAUUGUAAGUGGACUGGCAUCAGUUGCAAUUCAGCGGGAAGCGUAAUCGGGGUCAGCUUACUCUGGUAUGAAAAUGAUAACAUCAUAGGAGAGCUUGGUCGUUUCAAAUUCUCUUGCUUUCCCAACCUCAGAAGUUUCAAAAUUCGUUCAAAUUAUCUUCUCUCUGGGAGCAUUCCAUCUGAAAUUACUGUUCUUUCAACAAUCCGAACUCUUGAACUGACCUCCAACAAUCUUACCG
rnacentral:lncRNA from 1 species